rnacentral:lncRNA from 1 species
UUUUUUUUUUUAUGAUAUGUGAGCCAAGUCGAUCUACAACAAAAUUAUCCCCCCAAACUUUAUAUUCAAUAUACACGUUUAAAACAACAAACGUGUUAAAUUAUGUGAAUAAUUUAGUAAGUAAGCAAAGAAUUAAAAUAUUACCUUUAUCUUCAAUUAAAUAUAAAUAUUUAAACACAAUUAACAAACUAUAAAGAUUUAAACUUAAACUAAAAAUUAAUAACAUAACAUGAUUAUUUGUUGCCUUUUACUUACCAUUCUUACUUAGCCCAUAGUAGACAUGAAUGAACAAGGUGGAUACACAGAAUAUAACACAAGAUUCAUAGAGCGCAUAAGUGCUAGUAGCACAGACACCGAAGUGCUAGAAACAUAGACUUUGAAGUGUAAGAAAAUAUAAGAGCGCUCAAGAAUUUCUAUGGCAUGCCAGCUAUAUCCAAAAAGUUCAAAGUCUAGUCUACAUGAGCAAUUCAUUAACACAAAUAUCACUAUAUCAUUCACAAUAUCAUUAUUUCACAAAUUUCCUAUUUUCAUUACACUUUUUUGCAUUUAGUAAUUAAUCCACUAUUUCACAUCAAUAAUACAUAUUACAUAAUUUCAUGACUCAUUACUUUACUCAUAUUCUUUUUCACAUCAAGCAUUUAUCAUUAUAUAUAUAUAUAUAUAAACUUUUUAUGUAAUCAACAUUCUCAUAUAAAUUAAUAUAACUAAACUUUACAUAUUUUACAUUUUAGUCCUUAUCUCACUUAUUGAAGCUCUCACAUCAUUAACACUUCUUCUCACUACUUUUUUUUACUUACUUUUCAUGAAAUGUAACGCCCCAACUUUCGGGAAUUCUAUGAAUGUUGGCAUAGGUUUAAUUAUGUUAGUGGGCCUCUAGAAGGCCCAAGCUUAAGAUAGAACCCAGUAAUUUUAGUUAAUUUUUGUUUUCGAUAAGAAAAAAGGGGUGAAAUUAUGAAAUAGGACCUAUGUGAAAAUGUUUGAAAAUACUAUAGGCUAAAUUGAAGUGGCCAAAUAAAUAGGAGUGCAAAAUAGGAGGAUUUGCAUGACAAAUCUCCCAUUUUACAUGAAGUGGUCAGCCAUCAUGUUGUUGUAGACAAAAUGUGCACUUGAUAUCCAUAAUUUAUGGUACAAAUUGAUACAAAUUGAUAAUGGGUUAGGUAAAUGUUCCAUGAUAAUGGGUUAGGUAAAUGUUCCAUGAUAAUGGGUUAGGUAAAUGUUUCAUGAUGGGAAUUUCAUGUCUUUUGUAUUAAAGAAUUAAAUGGAUGAAAUAUGAAAUUUUAUUAAAAAAAAGGGGGUGAAAAGAACAAAGUUUUGUCCAUCUUUGUUCAUCAUAGUCUAAAGUUAGAGAAGAGAAAGGAGAGGAGAAAGCUCUUGAAUGUUCGGUCACUUGGGGAAGAAAAUUGAAGGUAAGUUCUUGAUACCUUGCUUCUAUUUUGAGGUUCAUGAGUUCUUCUUGAUUCUACCUUAACUCUUGAAGCAUAUUUUGGUUUUUAGUUGUGUUGUGAGCAUUUAGUCAUGAAUUAAAAUGAAGGAAAUGGUUGUUGUUUCAUGUUCUUUUGAUGAUAAAUGGAAGAUAGGUGAAGUUGAGCCAAACAAAUGAGCAUGCAUGUGCCUUAGAUGCUAAAGGGAAAAAUCGGCUAACAUGUUGUGCUUUAAAAUGAUGAAAUGGAGAUUAUACUUAAGUAAAAUCAUAGAUAUGUGAUGAUUGAUUGGUGAUAUACAUGUUUAAAUAACAUGCAUACAAGUUAUGUGUGAAAGAGUGAAUUUGGUAAUAAAUCUGCUUGAGACAGCAGCAGUAAUGUGACUUUGGAAAAUCACCAUAAAUUGUGGGAGAUGAAUUAGAAGCUGAAUAAAUUAUGUAAUUAAAGCUUGUUGAGUCUAGUUUCAAAUGAAAUAAACGAGAACAUAUUUUGAAUUCUGUACAAUGAGAAAUUUGAUUCGUAAUGAAGAGUGGUCAGAUUAGUCAAACAGUGAAACAUACGAAACUUUGAGAAAAAUCUGGUAUUGAUUGGCCAAACCAAAAAUUCUGAAAAUUUUAUGGAUAUAAGAUAUAUGAGUCUAUUUUUAGGGAAAAUUAACGGCACUUGGUUUGGAGUUUAGUAGAUCCAGUUAUAAAUGAUUUAGUGACUGUUGUUCAGGAAGACAGCUUGCAGUGAAAUUAUGAUUAUGUGGUAAACAUUGACAAAAAUUUGUUAAUGAGUUGCUUAUUGAUUUCUUAUAAGCUUACUAUAAUCUGUAGGUGUGGUUGGCCGAAUAUUGUAAGGGGUUAAUACGUAGUUUGUAUUUGAAUAGUUAGAUUAACGUGUUAGUAAUCCAAUUGUAGGCGGUUCGUGUGUGGAUCUCGUCAGCAUAUCGUCGCAAACAGGUGUGUAACUAACACCAUCUUUCUUAGUCUGGAUCGGCAAAAGUCGAAAAGCCGAAAUACCGAAAAUCGGUAUUUUGUAGAUUUGCGAGUGUGCGAAUGCUCGUGAGGUAAAUCGAUUAAUGUUUUUGGUAAGCUGCAAAAUUUGGACUGCAAAGUGCAUGAUUUCUGUGCCCUCGAUAUUUUUGGGCUUAAUAGGCCAAAAUUGGAAUGAUGGGCCAACGGGCCCAAUUCGGUAAGAACCCUCGGUACAUGAUUCUAUAGUACGUGAAAGGUAGGAAUAUGCAUGAAAAACCCUAAAAUAGAUAAAUUACUAAAAUACCUUUAAAAGUGGAAAAUUUAUAGUUUUACCCCUAGGAGAUAAAUUACCGAAAUACCCCUAGGGUUAAAUUGACUUAAAUGCAUGUUUGACUGUUGUUAUUUACUGCAUGCCAUUUUGUUAUUAUCUGAUGCAUGGGAUUGGAAUAUUGACGGAGGAAGUAAUGAAAGUGGCUUGUCCACGUACUGGAAGCUUUGCCUCAAUUUACUGUUAACUAAGCAGCAAUGCUGCAACUGUAGAGUGUUGGGCUGGGUGGGUUGAGCUAUCCCCACAUGGAGUGUAUGGCUGGUACGGGUGGAGUGUAGUGGUUGGUGGGUUGAAUAGUUUCCCCAAAUGGGCUUGCAUAUGUUAUUGAUGUUGCAUGUAUUUUGAAAUGGGCCUAUGGGCCAUAUUGUUAUCUGAAUAAGGGGCUAAGGCCCUGUUUAUUGUAAUCUGAAAAGGGCUAUGGCCCAGUACCACUGUUACCUGAAUAGGCUUAGGCCCAAUGGGCUGGAGCUGACUUGGGCUUUGAAUGGGUUUUCCUUACACACUGAGUUUCCCCAAACUCACCCAUUUUAUUUUCAUCCACGCAGGAAAUCCCCAACCAUAGUGGGCUUGGAGCUGUGAGGGAAUUCGGAGUGGCCACCCGUUCUGAAAGUUUGAUUUUCUUCUGGUGAACUAGACAUCCUUUUAUUUACGUUUGAAGUUUUUUGUUUUUAAAUGUAAUAAGGCCGCUUAAUUAUUUUUGAUGGUUUUAAUAUGUAUUACUAAGAUAGGUAUUACUUAUUUUAACUGUUGAAAUUGGAUAGCUUUAGGGCGCAUUUUCAAAAACAACAAUUGAUUUCAAAAUAACACGACAACAAGCAAAGCUUCCACAAUGAAAGUAUUUUCCAAAAUUAAUCACUUUUCCUAAAAAUAACUUAAUAAAAUCGGUUUCCUAGAAAUAUCCAUGACGUUAAGGUGUGGCAAUGGCGGUAUGCAUGUCUAGGAUUGGAUCCGAAGGGAGCUUGGUACUUAAGCAGUCCGAUGGACUCACCACCUCUUUUCCGGUUUCCUACCUGGUGCACAUCUUCCAUUCACUUUAACCUAUAAUGAAAUUAUCUUUUAAAACACUAAGUAAGUUUUUCUGGAUCAACAAUAUAAAAUAUUUUGAACGCUUCGAUGAGGCAUGUCGAAUCCGGUCAUAACGUCUGGGCCGGGUUUGGGGUGUUACAUGAAAUCUUUUACUUUAGUUAUUAUUCAUAAAUAAAUAUUAAGUUCAUUUGAUUAACAUACUAUUCCCAAGUAUUUAUACUUAAUUUCUUUUCAUGACAAGAAGAAUUCUAAGAGUACUUGGUAAAUGGCUUGAAUAUGAUUUCUACACCUUUCUUCAACCCUCGAAUACACUCGUAGGACCGACCUCUAUGUCUUUCUCUUUAUUAGAAUAUCAUUAAUCACAAAGCACACAUAAUCAAUACACUUUUCUAAUAUCACUUUCAUGCUCUACUAACUAUAAUAAACAUGAUAUUAUCUGUAAAUUAUGAAGCUCUUACCUUGAUACCUUAGUCUCUCACACUAACAUGAUAUUUUCCCUCAUCUACCAUGAACAUAUCAUUUUCUAGCUUCAAAAUGACCUCGCUAGCUUGUUAAAAAUUGUAAGAAAAAUAAAGCUUUCUUCCUUUAUGGUGGGUGGUGUUGGUGAAUGGAAGGAUUGAGAGACUUCUCUUCAUCUUUUCCUUUAAAAUACCCAUUUAAUCAAUUAAUCAAUUAAUAUUAUAUAAUAAAAAAUCUAGAAAUAAUAAUUUAGAUCCAAAGGUUAAGAUUUCUUCUUCAUUUCCCAUAAAAUUCAAUGGCUAUAAACAUGACAACAUUUGUCCUAUUUUUCCUAAUUUAAGUAUUUCUUAAUACCAUGAAAAUUCCAAUUUUAGGAAUGACCUUUUUGCCUAUAACAAUCUUUACAAUUCUUCUCUUGAGUCACUAUUCAUUUAUGGUAAAAUUAAAUUUAUUAUCCUUUCACUUUUCCCACUAAUUCAAUUAAUCUUUUUAUGCAUUUAAUUUUACACUUUGACCUAACACUUUUCAAAACCUUACAAUUUAGUUUAUACCCCGAGUAAAUAUUUCUUAAUAUAUUAGUCUUUUCAACUCCCUCCAAUAUUAAGUACCUUUCAUAUUUUAUUUACUCUGAACAUUCUAGUCAUAUAUUCUCGAAUUAACACUACUUACGACCAAGGGAGUUUUACGGAUGUUACAAGAGGCCCAUCUAGAAAGAAGUGGGUGGCAGGUAUUUCCAAUAAGAAAUAUUUGUAUAUUCCUAUUAAAAUAAUAAUAUUUACUUAACCCUGUUCAACUAGAACUCUUGUUUUUUUUUUCUCUAUAUAAAGGGGCACAACUUAAGCCAUAAACAUAGAACACUAACUAUUGGUCUUUAUUCCCAAUAGAGAUAACUAAUUUUCCCCACUGGAAAAAUAAUAAAUUUUCAUUUUAUUCAAUUAUUUCGUGAAAUUGGAGUCACACUCUAAGCAAAUAGGAACUCAAGAAGAGUAGAGAAGAUCAUUUUGGUCAUAAGAUGAUAAACAAAUUAGAAGCCUAACUCAAAACAUAUGUUUUAAUUUGGUUAGGAUUUAUUGUUAUAAAUAACACAAUCACUCGCUUUUAGAAUAUUUUAAUUUUUCUUUGUGCAAAAAAAAAAAAAGAAAAAGAAAAGAUUUCUAAAUCGAAUUUUUCCAACAAGGUGAAAUCACAAUCUUAGCUUUCCACAACUACCUUCAUAAUGGUUUCCAACUUGUCAUCAAACUCUUGCAAAUGUCUAACCAUUAGAAGGAGAAGUUGGCCUUGCACAUGAAUCGACCAAAAUGGAAGCCCCCCCUACUUGCCAAAACCAAUGGCACAUACAUCAUUUUCAAGGUUACAAAAGAUUUUUUACUUAAAAUGUCCAUCUCACAAUUGUAACGAUUCGAUUUUCAGUGGUGUCAAAAAAUACGAUUUCGAAACUCCACUUUCAUAAACCAAGUCCGUAAAUAUAAAAUAAGAAUCUUUACGAAGUUAUUAUGAAAAUAUAGUAAAGAACAAUUUAGUCAUUUAAUCGAUAAAAUUGUUAAUUAAAGCUCAAGGACUAAAUUGUAAAAGUAUUAUCACUAUUAAGUUUUAAUUAAUAAAAGGCUUGAGGACCUAGAUAGAAAUUAUCCAAGAUACCAAAAUGUUUAUUUAACCAUUUUUUAAAAUGAUUUAGUGGAUGAUGAAGAUUAUGACUGCUUAGUUUAUAUUAAUAGUUAAAUUAAUAUAAUAAAACCUAAUUAAUCUAAUUAACCAAUAUUAAUUAAAUGUUAAUCUAGUAUAUAUAAAAUUGUAGUGGAAAGAAAUAUGAUAUUAUCAUUUUCUUCUAUCGUCAAAGAGAAAAAAGAAGAGAAAAACUCCAUUUUUGGAGCUUAACAUUCGAUCAAGCAAAAUUCUAAGAUAACAAAGCCUUUUUCAUGUAAUUUUUAUAGAUUUAUGAUCAUGUAAGCUUUAUUUAGGUAGCUCAUAUAUCAACUUGUUCAAUUGUUAAGUUUUUAGCAAGUUACCAUUGAAGAGAAAUUAAUGAAUUAGGCUUGAAUCUGAUAGUUAUUAAGCUUAUAUCAUGAUAUGGACUAAAUUGUAAAGCUAAUUAAGCUUGUUAGAUAACUUUGUAACAUUAUGGAAUAAAUUGAACAAAUUGAAAACCUGUCAAGAAAUUAUGUUAUGAAUAGAAAUUUUAGGGUCCCUGAUGAAAGAAUGUGAAAUUGGAUUUUGAUCUGAUGCUAAAUAUCGAAAGAUACGCAUACCCUGAAUAUAAGAACUAAAUUGAAUAAAAUGAAAAAUAGGUUUGGCAUUGUAUUUGGAUGUGAAUUGAAUAAAAUUUGAUAUUGUUUUAUUUUUUAAUUUAUCGAACGUAGCUAAGGACAACGCCGAUGUUGGAAAAAAAUUGGUUCAAAAACAGUUUUCUUGUAAAACAGAAAAAUAAAAUUUUGAAAACUGAGCCAAUGUUUUACAUUUAUAGCAAUAAUUUUUUUUCUUGAAAUGGUACCUAUGCUUUGAGCAAGAUGAAUCCCAGACAUUCUCGGCUUUCAACCGAAUGACUUUCUUCACUAUUCUCAUUCCACAAACUGCCUCAAGUAUGGACUUCAACAAUCUCGAGUCAAACAUAGAAUCAAAAAAAAAAAUACUUUUAGUAGGAAAGUAAUAUCUCUCUUAUAGAAAUUUGUACAAUUAUUAUUCUAGGAAAAUAGAAUUUAUACUCUAAAAUAAAUUCUGACUAUUUUCGGACAGAAUAACAAUAUUUAAAACUUCUAUAUUUUUCUAUUGUAUUUUUCCCUACCAAUUUCAUCUAUUUAUAGGGAGAGGUAGUAAAACCUUAGUUGAAUUAUUAGAAUAAAAAUAAUAUUUAUUUAAUAGAAAACUAAUCCCUUAGUUAAAUUAUGAAAGAGAAGGGUAACUAACCCUAGUUAUUUUAUUAGGGCUACCACCCCUCAGAAUUAUUAUGAUGAGGUUUUGCGCCUCUUUUGUAUUAGAUCCAAUUAUAUGUGCUUCUUUGACUUUUGACCUAGCACUUUAUAAUUUAAUCCAACCUAAUACAUGUUUUUCUAUUCCUCAAAAUAAAUAUUUUUAUUAAAAUAAAAAUUUAUUUUAAUUAAUUAAUUUUCCAAUUAAAUAAUUUUCUCAACCUAAUUCUAAUUCCGUUAAAAUCAUGACAACUUUACCACAAAUUAAUCUACAAGAAAAUAUAUUUAAUUUCUACUUUUAAUGGAUUCACAAUGACCAAUUAAUUUAAUUUUAUUUUCGAACUUCAAUUAAUUAAAUAAUAAUUUGAAAAACUUAAAUUAAUUCUUAGAUCAUUUCCAUACUUAGUGAGAAACCACAUUCAUUUCCGAAUGUAACCAAUUUCUCUACAUUUAUCAUUUCUAUCCAUUUUUGUUCAUUUGAUUCAACAUGCAAUUCAUUUAUGGUUUCAAUGAGCUAGCGAACGGACCAAUCGGACAUAUAUAAUUAGGUAUCAAAUGAUUUAUAAUUAAGUUUCAACUUUUCGCCUAUUAAUUAUAAACUCAAUUACUCGUGAAGUCAUUCCACUAUAGUAUUGUGACUGAGCUGUCCCUAAUAACAUACCAUUACGAAAACUACUCAAUCAAUGUUUGUCCAAUGACUUUGUGAUAAGUGUAUUACCCUCAUAGGAUACCCUUAAUCUCUUUGGGAUAAAUUUUCUCUCCCAAUAUGGUCCUAUUCUAUCUCAUGGUAAUCAUUGCAUCUUCCUUCAUGAAAAGUUAAUUACUAUCAAAUAGUAAUUAAGUCAUUGAUUAGAAAGACAAAUGAACCGUGGCCAUGUUUACUUUUAUCUAUCAUGUAAUGUCAAUGAGAGGAUAUCAUUUACCCAUGUCUUGGGCUAUGGGUUCCACUAUUGUGAAUGAUUCUACAUACUAAAAAAUUAUUAUACUUGACGCACCAGUUUUCAGUUCCUUUUCUAUUUGAACUCAAGCUUUUACUUACAUCAAAGUAUACGAGUCACGUAUACAUAGUCCAUCAUCCACUCAGGAUUAAGGUAUGACACACUAUGAAUGUCAAAGGUGAAUAAAUCCAUAAACAAAUUCAGGAUCUAUUUUACUUGGGUCCUGUCCGAUGUACUGUCAGUCCAGUCAGUCACAUCUAUGUCCCUAUCUUUUGGGAGUCAUCUACUAUAAUGCUCAAGGCAAUGCAUGUAACAACCCAUUUUUUAGUGAAAUCGAAAUAGUGGUUUCAGGACCACAAAUCCGACCCAAAAAUAAGGUUUAUUUUUAUUUCAUUAUAUGGUCCGUAUUAUAAUAGGCAUGUCAUGUGAAAGUGUUGAUACGAAAAUUUUAUUGAUUAAGUGUUUUUAAUUAUGAGAAGGACUAAAUCGCAUAAAAUGUGAAAGUCGAAUUCUAGUAGCUAUAAGGAUCAAAUAGCUAUGGAAUUCAAAAAUAGAGGUCCUUAUAUGGUAAUUAGACCAUUAAAGAAGUAUGUAGAUUUUUUUAUGACUCAUCUAUGGAAAUGUAGAAAAAGGGGAAGGACUAAAUUGGAAAUUUUAAAAUACUUAAUUAAUUAAAAGAUGAAAAGAAAAUAUCAUCUUAUUUUUGUCAUCUUCAACCUAAAAUUCUAUGGAAACCCUAGGAGAGAGAGGAGAAACUUUCAAGGCUUAAUUGGGUAAGUUUUCUUGUCUCAUUUUUAAUAAUUUUGAUAUUUUUAAAAUCGAGAUAGCUUAAUCUCUCUAUUUGAGAGAUUAAUUUGAAAAGUUAUCAAAGUAUGGAAAAUGGUUCAAUGAUGUAUAUGCUGAAAAUUAGAAAUUUAUGGUAGAAAAUGAAAGGUUGUUGAUAGAUAAACAACUUUUACAAAGUGAUUUUUUAUGGAAACAUGGUUUAGGGUCUAAAGUGGGGACUUGUGAAAUUGAAGAAAAAUUCUAAAUUUUUAUGAAUAUAUGUGCUGUAAAAUUUGUAAUGGGAUUUUGGUUAUGCUUGGAAUGGGAGUAAAUUGCACAAGUUUCAUUUUCCAAGCCUAGGGACGAAAUUAGAAUUUAUGGAAAAGUUAGGGGCAAAAUGGUAAUUUUUCCUAGGACGUAAAUUGAGUCUAUUUAAAUAUGAAAUGUGUGAAAUUGAUGGUUAAACUCAUUUAUAUAGAUCCAGACAACACUAAUUCGAGGUUAGAUCGAGGAAAAGAAAAGGUUUCGAAUUUGUAGAUUUCUAACGCGAACAAAUGUCGAGGUAAGGUCAUGUAACUUAAUCCGGCUUGUAAAUAUGUUUAAUUGAAUGUUGUGAUGAAUGGAAUGUGAUUUAUAUUAAUGUACAUUACUUGAAUUGCUAUCAUGAGAAAUUCAAUACAUGCUUGAAAUGGUGAAAAAGGGUUAAGUCCCGAUUGAAUAUUGGAUUCUGAUGAUUAUAUGCGCUUUCCCAAAAUGAAUAAGGUCUUACAUUUGUUGUAGAUGGGAUUUAGCUUAGAAUAGUAAUCCUGUUGACCUUGUUAUAGAAAGGAUUUAGCCUGGACGGGUAAUCCUGACAUAAUACCUCUCGAGUAUACAUUACGAUUAGGGUUUAGCCUGGACUAGUAAUCCUAAUUGAACUCUUCUAAGCAUACAUUAUAUAAAGGAUUUAGCCUGUACUAGUAAUCCUAUUAUACCAAAUGUGGCUCUAGAGUGUGUUCCUUGAUUAAGCCUAAUGGGUACCAUAGAAUAAGAAUUGAUGAAUUAUGGAAUUGUACACCUCGAGUGUACUACUUGAGCAUCCAUCGGAAUUUCAAUGAUCUAUUGGAAUUUCAAUGAUUCAUCAGACAUAUAACUCUAGACAUGGCAUGAGAAUUAUAAGAUGAAAUGAUAAUUUCUUGAAAGAGUGUUGCAUGAUGAGCUCAUCUAUUCUUACUUGAUGUAUAUGUAAACUUUGUGACUAACAUGUUUGAUUGGAUGCAUGUGUUUAGGCAAUUUAGCCAAAUGGAUGGAAAACUUGUUAUUGUAUGCUCGGAUUUAAUAAACAGGAUUGAUUAGUUUAGUUUCCAUUAUACGAACUUAAUAAGCAUGUAAUGCUUACUCCGUUUUAUUUUUCCCCUGUUUUAUAGUGCUCGGAGGCUCGCAAAGGGUUGGAGAUCACUGGAACAUCGUCACACUAUCAAGUAGUCAUUUUGGGUAUACUUAGUAAUAUCAUUUUGGUAUAAUGGCAUGUAUAGGACAACUUGGCCAUUAGUAGCUUGACAAUGAUGUUUUGUAACCUAGCCAUUGGAAUGGCUAGUAAUGGUUCAUAUUGGUAUUGCUAAGUAGGUUAUCAUGAUAUAUAUAUACAUACAUGUGUUAUGUUAAGUAUAUGUGAACAAAGGAUGUUAUUUCCUAGUUAAUUCAAGGUAAGGUUGUAAACACACAUACAUAUAAUGGUAUGCUAUGUUGAAUGAUGGAAAUUACCUAAAUUGAAUGCUUGAAAUGGUUGGCAUUGGUUGUGUGUUUCAAGUGUAGGUCUUAAGUGAAAUUUUGGGUGAGAAAUGAAGCUAUAAAUGGCUUCUUUUUGUCCAUACUGGCAGACACACGAGUGUGUGUCUAGACCAUGUGUAACACACGGCCUGGUAACAUGGGCAAGUGGUUAGGCCGUGUGUCCCCUACACCUUAAUUUUGAGAAACAAAAUCCUCAGAAUUAGGCACACGGGCAGAGACAAGGGUGUGUGUCUCAGCCGUGUGGUUGACACGGCCAUGGGCACGGGAGUGUUACACGGUCAUGUGAAAACUGCACCUAAAUUUUGAAAAUUAAAUUCGCCAUACAGCCUAGCACACGGGCGUGUGACUCUGCCGUGUGACUUCAAUUUCUUCAUGCCUUAAAAGUCAGAGAGUUACACGGGUUAGGGACACAGGCGUGUGUGGUACACGACCUAACUACACAAGUGUGUCCUUAGACCACACGGGCGUGUGAGCCUUGUAACUUUGGAAAAUUUUUGAAAUGUGGCGAAAAAUUUUAUGAGUUUCCGAUUAAGUCCCGACUUGACUUUAAUGCUCAUAUUGGAUCUCGAGGGUCCAAUUAAGGGAUGUUUUGAAUUAUCUCGGUAAAUAAAUAGUAAAUUUAUAAGAAUUAUUUGUAAAAUGUUCUGAAAGUUUUCGUAAUGCUCUGAAACCCUAUGUCGACGUCGGAUAUGGGUUAGGGGUGUUACAAUGCGUCUUACCAAUCGGACUUAAUAGAUGGCAUAUUAGUCUUUUAAUUAGUUUUCUCAUUUUUGAUUAGAUUAAGGACAUGUUUAGAUUGAUCUACUAAUAUCAAUUGUCUUUGUGUAUUACGAUUCGACCAUGUAAUAUCGCUUACUAUUAGUUAAACAUUAGAUAACUAGUGAGCUAAUAUUUGCUUCCAUUUUUCUUUGCAUGCAAAAAACAUUAGGAAAAUGUACAAAGGAAAUUAAUAUAAUUCACGAAUAAUUCUAUUAAACCAAUAUGCUCAAAAAAUACAAGUAUAUAAACGAAUAUACUACACUUAUGGCACUAGAUCUAAUAGCCAGACCAUCGAAAAGGAAAGGAAAAGCGAGAGUCAUUGACAAGUGAUGAAAGAAUUGAAUUUUUAUUUUUAUGACUCGAGAUCAUUAUAUUUAUAUACAUAUGCAUAUUGAAUGCAUGAGUGACUAUUGAGGUAAGUUUAUGUUUGUCAUAUGAAAUGAUAUAAUUGAUAAAUGAUUUGUGAUACAAAAUUAGGAUGAAAUUGGUAUGAAUUAUGUUAUAUAGCAUUGGAUAUAUAUAUGUAUUGAUGAUGUGAUGAUUUAAUCUUGGACAUAUAUAUAUUGAUGAUGUGAUGAUUAAGAAUGGUGAUAUAUGAAUUGGAUUGUAUAAUGUAAUUGGAACAUUGGCACCAUCCUAAUUGUUGAAACAGAGUCAAAUAUAGUUGGCAUGCCAUUGGAUAGAUUGUGUACGGGUUAUCCUUUGACUAUAUGUUGAUGAAUGUUGAACGCAUUUUUCUUCGGAUGUUUUGAUGAGUGUUGGACACACCUUUUACUUCAGUUAUACCGAUGAACAUUGGGCGCAAUUUAUAUACUUCAAACAUUUUGAUGAGGCAUUGAGUGCUAGGUUGGUGUGUUGGUUGGACAAUCCAUGUAUCCAUUUGAGUUGGUGUCAAGUUAAUAAGAAAUAUAAAAUGUGAAUUAGUUAAAUGAUAUUUGAAAUGAUUUGAUAGUAUGCAAUGGUAUUACAAAUGCAUAUACGAGAUAUGUGAUUAUCGAUAGCAUGUGAAAGAUCAUGCGAACUAGUUAGACACAAGCCCCAUGGUUGAAUCAAUUAUGAAUGAGUUAAUAGGCUUGGGAGAGAAAAUUAAAUAAAAAAAAUUAAAGAUUAGAUAGAAUUGGUUGAAAAAUGAAAAUUGAGUAUCAUAGUGUUAUGUGCGUGUGUGUGUGUGUGUGUGUGUGUGUGAGUGAGUGAAAUUGAGAUGGAAUUGAAUUGUAUCCUUGAUGAUAGAAAGUAUGAUAAAGAAUGUUCAAUUGAUUAACAAAUGAGCUUAUGUAAAAAAAUUGAUAUUUGUAUGAUGAGCAAGUAAUUUGAAGUGGUUGUAUCAUAACAUAUAUUGAUUGAAACCCACUUGUUAUUAUGAUCAUUUUAUGACUUGAAUCAUUGAAAUACCACUGAGCUUUAUCAAUCAAUGUAUGUUUUAUUUAUUACUUGCGUAGCUAUAAGUGAAUCUCGAGGUUACUAGAAGUGAUCCAACAUCCAGAAAGUGAUACUCUACUCAGCAAUGUUUGUAUAGUUUCUUUUGUUUUAAUAAAUGAGAUGUACUGAGGUUUUGAGUUGGUUUUGUAUCAAAUGGUCAUUUUGGAUCCCAAAUUCGUAAUUUCAUUUGAGUUUAAUGUUUAUAACUUAUUGACACCAUCAAUCAUCUCUAUAUGCAUUCAAUUACACAAAUAUAUACAUACACAUUUUUCAUAUAUAUUCAAUUAAGUCUUUAUCAUUAUCAACCAAUCUAAAUCAAAUCAAGUCAGCUCAUUUCUUCAAAUCAUCACUUCAUCACGUAACAUAUCUUAUUUCAGUCCAAUUUAAGGUCAAUUCCAUAAUUAUUUCAAUUUACAAUUUAUCGUAUUCAAUUUAGUUUUCUAUCUCACCUUUUUGUACCGAAUCGUAAACAAUUAAAAUUUCAAUUAAACAUAUUUAAAAUUAUAAUUAUAAAUGCAUAAAAUUUUAACACAAAUAUAUUGUAUGAACUUACCUGGUCAAGACAACAAACAAACAACUCUCUAAGGACUAAUUAAUAAUUUUGGUCAUUUCCCCGAUUUUCUUCAAUUUGGUCCAAUUUCUGAUUUAUUCAAUAAUUCAAUUCAAUUUAUCAAUUCCAAACAUCUUAUAUCAUUCUAUUAUAAGUAUAUAUCAGUUAACUUUAUUAUUAGAAUCCCCCCUAAACUUUUGCAUUUUAUUUAAUUUAGUCUCUAAAAUCAAACUUAUCAUAUCUUCCAAAUUUGAAAUCCAAAUUUUAAACCCACUUCAAUUAUGUCCAUAUAAAACCACCUAUUAUCACAAAUUAUAAAAAUUUCAUAUCAAUUUCAAGAUAUUUACAAUUUAGUCCCUAAAUUCAAAAAUAACAAAAUUUACUUAACAAAUUAAUCAUAUUUCAUUUCUAAGCUUCAAAAUCUACCAUAAACAUUCAAAAACUUCAAAUAACAUCAAUGGAAACUUUUUAAAUCUUUGAAAGUUUUGAAAACAAAGAUAUAGGUUAGCUGGACUUAGUUAUAACGAUCUUGAAAAUAUAAAAAUUAUGAAAAAUCGACCCCAAAUAGCUUACCAUGCAUAUGUCGAUUGUUGAAGCUCCAAAAAUAUUUCCUCCUCUGGUGUUCUAAGGUUCGACCAUAAGAGUAAAAUAAAAUGGUAAGAUGAUGGCUCCAUUUUUGUUUUAUUUGUUUUAUUAUUUUACUGUAAUAAUUAAUAAACAAAGUCAUAAUUCAUAUUCUAUCGUCCACUAAUAUUAAAAGGUGGUAAAUUUCCACUUAAAACCUUAAAUAAUUUUUAAUUAAGUAUUUUAGCUAAUAAAAUUCAAUAACGAAUAACUUUUAUGGAUUUUACGAUUUAGUCAUUUUUUAUUAAUUAAUUAUUAAAUCUUAAAAAUCACCACACCAAAUUUCAAUCCACUUAUACAAAAACUCUAUAAAUAUUUAAUAAAAAUAUUUACAAACUCAGUUUAUGAAAAUAAGGUCCCGAUACCUCAUUUUCCAAAAUCACUGACUUUCGGUACACAUUACUUGUACCUUGACUAACUAACCAAUUAAUAAAAUAUAUAAAAUCAAAUUUCACAAUAACAUCAUAUUUAAAUUGUAAAUAUUAUAUAAUAAUAUUUACAGACUCACUCGUCAGAAUUGUGGUCCCGAAACCAUUAUUUUGACACCACUGGAAAAUGGGUUAUUAUAGUGAUCCUGACCUGAGCCAUAUUAAAUGUCAUUUUAAUAUGUUAGAUGAUUCGAGAGUAGUGGUUGAUAAAAAAGUACAUAGUAAUGCUCUAAAUUGAAGCAAGGGAGGCAGCAAUUACCUUCGGCACUGAGAGUACCACUCGGUCUUGAAGGACUAUAAUGAGAAGCAUUCUUUAAAAUGAUGAAUGAUUGGUUUCAUUAGUUUAUGGUAGCUGCCCCUCAAGCUCUCAGACCUCUAGUUCCUUCCCUUAUAUUUUAAAAGGUAUCUUUUGACUUGUGACUUAGGUCUUUAUACCUGUUCUUGCACCCCGACCCCUAUAUGUGAGGCUCUAUAAGCAUGGAUUGAAGAGGUGAAAGUUAGAUUGAAAUUGAGCUUGGACUUAAGAAUGUGAAAACAAUCGAUAAGAGAAUAAGUACUUUAAUCAAAGAGGUUUUAUGAAUUGUGUGCCAUAGUAAGAUGGUAUUGAAACCUUUUAAAGUUUAAUAAGAGUGUAAUGAGGACAAAAGAAUCAAGUACAAUUAUAAGUGUAAGGUAAAUGGUAAGGUAAGACUUGAUGUAACUUCAAAUAUGAUUGGAUGAAACCUACAUAAGAAUUUGAACAAAAUUUUAAUGAUAUUCGAUCGAUUAUAUAAAUGCAAAAUAUAAGAACAAGGUGUGACUAAAAUAAUGAUAAUAUAACAAAUGAAUAAGGUUCUAGAUAUAGUAUAAGAGGAUUGAUUGAUUAGGGUCAAGUUGGGAAUUAAAAAAUUAUUUAGUAUGAUUGCAAUUGAUAAGAAUCUUGACUGAUAAAGAAUUUUAUCUGAUUACACAAAUACGUUAUGAGUAAGAUGGAAAAUUGGGGUAUCAUUAUGCUAAUUGCAACUGAAAGUAUUUAGGUGCAUAAAAUAUUGUUAUGUGGAUAUAUUAUAUUAAAUGAAUUCUUAAAAAAAUUAAGGGACCUUAAUAUUUAGAUGAAAUAUGUGUGCAGUGGAACUAUGAUAUUGAAUGUAAUGAUUGAAUUUUGAUGAUCAUAAUGAUAAAUUUCAAAAGUAAGGUAUUGUAACAAGAAUAAAGGUUUAGACAAAAAGUAUUCAAGAAUCAACAUCAAUAAAGAAUCUACAAGGUUAUGUCAUAUUAAAAGAGUGUUGAGACUUCUUUUGAGGAGUGUGAAAGUUUAAAUUAAUGGUAAGUUUAAAUGUGGAUUAAGGAACAUUUUGAUAUCUAAAGAAUUUCAAUAAAAGAGUAGCAUAAGGAUUGCUAAUAAUGGAUUGGUGAAAAAAUUUGAUUUAAUUGCUAAUAAUGGAUUGGUGAAAAUUUUUGAUUUAAUGAAUAGAUUUCUGUGAUCAAUAUCUGUAUAGAAACUACUUCGCAUAUACGAAUGACUCUUAUGAGUUAAGAGGUUAUGCUUUAGAAAAUGGCUUAGGUUCCUUAACGUGUAUAUGUAACUAAUCCUUGAGGUGUUGUAAUACAUAAUUGAGAAAGAUGUUAAAUUUUGGCUCUAUGUGUAUACAUGAUUGAGUGGAAAUCUUGAGAAUGGGAUUCUGAGUUCGAAGUACAUUGCAAUGUGAUUGCUUUUGCAAAGUGGAAUUGUGAGGUUUGGAGACCAUUGGUUGAAAAGAAUUUGGUUUCCACUAUGAAUGUGAUGGUAAUUAAGGAUUUCAAGAUGUGAAAAUCAAUUUGAUAAUUGGUUUAAAGUUUGAUUUUACCAAGGGAUCGUGACUAUUUAAAAGAAGAUGAACUUUGACCUCAAAUAGUGACCUCGAGCUUAUGUCGGCAGCGUUCAAGUCAGUAGGAUCUCGAGGGUAGGCCUGAGAGUUUUCCUUUCUAUCCACAAAAAAUUAGAGGUUUCAAGAUUCUUAUAAAACAUUCACAAGGCUAAUAUCGUUGGGUGGUCAAUCGUGUCUCCAAGAUAGGGCUGGAAAAAAUUCAGUUCGAAAAUAGUUUUCUUGCACAGCGAAAAAAAUUAAAAAUCGAGUUAGUUUAUGAUAUUUAUAGCAAUAAAAUUUUCCCAAAAAUUACCUGUCAUUUGAGUGAGACGAAUCCUUGACGUUCCCAACUUUCAACUGAAAGAUCUUCUCCGCUAUUCUCGUAACAUGAACAGCUUCGAGUGUGGGCUAGAACUGUAACAUCCCGAAAUACGGUCUAGUCAAAACAGUGGUUUUGGGACCACAAAUCUAAUGUUGAAAUAUUUAUUUUAUGAUUAUUAUGAGGUCUAGAAUAUGAAAAUAUCCAUGUGUUAAAGUUUUAUGAAGAAAAUCUAUGAGUAAGUGUUCAAUUGGAAAAUAAUGACCAAAUUGAAAAAAUUGCAGAACUUGAAUUCUAGAAGCAAUUUGCAUGAAUUUGUUUUAGAUUAUUAAUUAAAAGUCCUUAAAGAGAAUUUUCCCAAUUUCUAAGUUUUUGGACAAAAAUGGGCAUGUAUGGAUAAAAUUUCAAAGAAAGGGCUUAAGGGCAUUUUGGUCAUUUGGCUAAUUAAUGAAAUAAAAUGGGAAAAUAAGCCAAAAAUCAGCUCAUCUUCUCCACCUUGCUGCCGAAAUUUGAGAGCCACCAUAGCUAGGGUUUUUCACUUUUCAAGCUCAAUAGUAAGUGCUCCCAAGCCCCUUUUUAAUGUUCUUCGUAUUUUUGAAAUCCCGGUAACUUACUCUCUCCAUUUCUACCCAUAUUUUGAGUUAGGAUUCAUGUUUGCAAAGUGACCCAUAUGUGACAUGUUUAUUAUUUGAUGAUUUAUGGAGGAAUAUGAAAGUUGGAUGUGUGUUAAACAUCUUUUUCUAGGUGACUUUCAUGAACAACCCCUAAAAGGACCUUUUUGUAAAAGGUGUAAAAUAUGUGGAAGAAAUGUGAAAUAAGGGAAAAAUAUGGGCUGCCAUAAGAGGAAAGAACAUUCGGCUAGGCUUGGGUUGUAACACUCCUAACCCGUAACCGACAUCGGAUUAGAGUUAUGAUGCAUUACCAGACAGACAGAACAUUUCAGACCAAUAUAGAAUCACAGAUAUUAUAUAACAUCAUUUCAUAAGCAAUCAUCUCUUAAGAUGGUCUACGAGACCUAAUAUGUACUUUUAGGAGACAUUCGAAUCUAAACCGAACACAUUCAUAAAGUUCAGAACAUAGAAAAUUUUUCAAUUCUGUUGAGGUCACACACCCGUGUAACAAGGCCGUGUGCCUCACACUGGCAUCAAACACACCCAUGUGAACCAGCCGUGCCAAAUCAAGGUAACCAUACUGACUUUCACCCGCGACCAAUAGGCACGCCCGUGUGCUAUGGCUGUGUGAUACUUGGCUAGCUACUGACUUUAGCCCAUGGCCACAUGACACACCAGUGUCCCCUGACUGUGUGGCACCAUGCAGGCUUGAUUUAAGCCAAUUUGCCACCCCUUUUUGGGUCCAAUCCUGCAAGCAAUAAUAUACAACAUUCAUACCAAAAUUUCCAAUCAGUUCUAUGCUUAAGAAUGAACGAAACACAUUAGAACUUAACACAUUACAAGCAUACACCAAAACUAUACACAAACUUAUCAUUUGUUAGCCAACUCUCAUGGCAUAAUAUAUACACAACAAAACUUAUAUAUAUAGACCUUCUAGCCUAUACAUGCCAUACUUUAAAAUAUGUACACUUUCAAAAGUACCAAAAUGAGAUCGAUAGUGAAGUGACGAUCCUCGACUAUCCCCAAGCCUUCAGUAGCUACGAUAACUAUAAAACAAAUAGUAAACACACAGAGUAAGCUACAAAGAGCUUAGUAAGCCAAAUACAAUUGGUUUAACUACUAAAGCAUAUAAGUACAAUUCAACCAUAAAGAUUCAUAACCAUUUCAUAGAAUAAUUCAUAAACUUCACCAUGCUCCUUUGUUUGCAUAUAUGUUAUGCUUCAUUUCCAUACAUAUUUUACAGAGACAGAGUUUUUCAUAUUUAGAAAUUUAGUACGAUACAAACGUACCUGCAUAGGUUAUACAUUUCAUAUACUCAAUUUCAGAUUUCGUACGCUAUCAUCAGACGAGUCAGAAACGAUAUAGAUGCUCAUAAACAAGUACAAUGCCGACGUCCCGGACGUGGUCUUACAUGUAACUCAAUAUCGAUGCCUCUAUCCCAGACAGGGUCUUACACGAAAUCAGAUACGAUGCUGAUGUCCCAGACAUGGUCUUAUACAUAAAUCUCAAUCGAGGCCUGUGUCCCAGACACGGUCUUACACGAUGUCUCAGACAAAUGUCAACUUUGCUUAGGAACAUACAGAGCUUUUCAAAUAUUAUCAUAUUAUCAUACUUUACUCCAAAGAUAUUCAUUAGGAACUCAAGGCCAUCCAAUACAGUUUAUAGUUUAUAUGUGCAGAAUUUAUUUCAAUUAAUACGUAAUUGUAAUUUGACUUACCUCGGACGGAUUUCGGAUAAAACGAGUCGUUUACUCAACUGUUUUGGACUUUUCCCGAUCUAAGUCUGAUUUUCUUUGUUCUUGAUCUAAUACAAUACAAAUUCAAUCAUUCAUUUCAUUCAAUUUAAUCCAUAUACACAUAUUUAGGGCACUUUACAUUUUAGCCCUUAAAUUUUCACACUUUGACAAUUUAGUCCAUUUUUCACAAAAUCACCAAUAUGUAAAAUUUCUUUGCAACAAGGGCUAGCCGAAUUUUCAUGGCUUCUAUGUAAGCCCAUACAACAUGUUCAAUUCACAAUUUAACCCUUCUAAACCUCAUUUUCAAAAUUUAACCCAAAUAGCUCAAUUUCAUCAAAAACUCAAAGACAAAACUUAUGAACCAUCUACCAAGCCUUCAUAAUUCAUUCCAAAAACAUUCAUUCCAAAAACAUCACAAAACUCAUGAUAUCAACAAUGGCAUUUCAUGAAAUCUUUAACAGAAACAUAAAUUCAGACAUGGGUUUUGAAGAACACGAAGCAACGAUCACAGAAACGUAAAAAUUAUCAAAAAUCGCGUUAAAACCGUACCUUAAUCAAGAAAUCAAAGUUUCGAGACCUAAAAUGGCUUUCUCUUUUUUCUUUUUCUUUUUCUUUGAUUUUCGGCUAUAUGCAUGAUAAUAUGCCCAAUUUCAUGUUUUCAUUUUAUUAUAAUAUGCAUUAAUAUACAUUUUCCAAUUUUGCCCUUUAAUUAACAAAUAAAAAUUCCAUCCACUAGUGUGCAUUAGUACAAUGGUCCAAUUGACAUGCAAGGACCUUUACUUUAAAAGCCAAGCCAAAUAGGUGCUUUAGCAUCUAGCACUCAACUUUUACACUUUACGAGAUUUAAUCCUUUUUCAUAAUUAAGCACAGAAACAGACAAAUUAAAUCACAGAAAUUUCACAGAUGUAAAUUCACAUAUCACAGACAUAGAAAAUAAUAUUAAAAUAUUUUUUAGACUCAGAUUUGUGGUCCCGAAAUCACUAUUCCAACUAGGCUCAAAACCGAACUAUUACAAUUCUCCCCCCUUAGGGAUUUUCAUCCUCGAAAAUUUUAUCGUUAAACAGAUUCGAAUAUUGUUGUCUCAUUGCAUCCUCAGGCUCCCACGUAGCCUCCUCUACUUCGUGUCGAUGCCACAUCACUUUAACUAACGGAAUUUUCUUGUUUCGUAACUCUUUAAUCUUGCGAGCUAAAAUACGGAUCGACUUUUCUUCGUAAGUCAUAUCAGAUUGAAUCUCAAUUUCAGAAGGGGAUAUCACAUGGGACAGAUCAGAUCUGUACCGUCGAAGCAUCGAUACGUGAAAUACAUUAUGUAUCUUUUUUAACUCAGAUGGUAGCCUCAAUCAAUAAGCAAUCGGUCCAACUCGCUCGAUGAUUUCAUACAGUCCAAUGAACCUCGGACUCAACUUCCCCUUUUUACCAAAUCGAAACAGUUUCUUCCACGGAGACACUUUAGAAACACUUUAUCACCGAUCUCAAAUUCAAUAUCUUUUUGUUCUAAAAUCCGUAUAAGAUUUCUGACGAUCAGAGGAAGCUUUCAGACUAUCUCGGAUCAACUCGGAUACCAGAAGCUGAUACAAUAUAACCCAGAAAACCAACUUCUCGCAACCAGAAUUCACAUUUACUAAACUUUGCAUACAACUGUUUAUCUCGCAGAGUCUGUAGCACUAUUUUCAGAUGUUCAGCAUGCUCAGAUUCAUCACUUGAAUAAAUCAAAAUAUCAUCAAUGAAUACAACAACAAAUUGAUCAAGAUAUGGUCUGAAAAUUCUAUUCAUUAAAUCUAUAAAUACAGCAGGUGCAUUCGUUAAACCAAAAGGCAUAACUAAAAAUUCAUAAUGCCCAUACCUCGUUCUGAAAGCAGUUUUCGAAAUAUCAGAAUCCUUUACUCACAACUGGUAGUAACCCGAUCUCAGAUCUACCUUAGAAAACACAGUAGCACCUUUCAACUAAUCGAAUAAAUCAUCAAUUCUAGGCAAAGGGUAUUUGUUCUUUACAGUCACUUUAUUAAGCUGUCGGUAAUCAAUACACAUUCUCAUUAUGCCAUCUUUCUUUUUCACAAACAGAACAGGAGCACCCCAUGGUGAAAAACUCGGUCUAGUAAACCCUCAAUCAGUCAAUUCUUGCAAUUGAUAUUUUAAUUCCUUUAACUCGGUCGGGGUCAUUCUAUACGGAGCUAUUAAAAUCGGAGUAGUACUAGGUACUAAUUCAAUGCCAAACUCGGCUUCUCGUAUCAGAGGCAAACCAGGUAGUUCUUCAGGAAACACAUCAGAGAAGUCACAAAUGACAGGCACUGAUUCAACUUUCCUAUCAUUCACUUUCAAAUCUAACACAUAAGCUAAGUAGGCUUCACAACCUUUCUUCACAUAUUUCCGUAAUUUCAUUUCAGAUACCACAGUUGGUAGUCCAUUCAGAUCACUAGACUCAAUUCAAAUUAUUUCAUCAUUCUUACACCUUAAAUCAAUGACUUUUUGUUUGCAAUUCACAAUAGCAUCAUGCAAAGUUAACCAAUCCAUUCCCAGAAUUAUGUCAAAUUCAUCGAAAGGUAAAAGCAUCAGAUCAGCAGGAAAAUAAAUAUCUCGUAUCAUUAAUGGGCAAUUCUUGCAGACUUAUCAACCAAGACACUUUUUCCUAAAGGGUUUGGUACUCUAAUUACGAAUUCAGUAGACUCUACAGGCAAAGUUUUACUAUGCACUAAAUUCAUACAAAUAUAAGAAUGCGUUGAUCCAGGAUCUAUCAAUGUAAUCACAGAAGUAUCAUAGAGAGUAAAAAUACCAGUAAUCAUGUUUGGAGACUAGGCUUCCUCAUGAUCUCAGAUAGCAUAGCAUCUGGCAGGUACCCUGGCCUCAGAUCUAACAAUAGUAUCUCCAGUACCUCUUUGACCACUACUUGCAUUUCUUGCAUUUCUGGAAGGUCUACCUCUAGCUGAGGUGUUGCUCGGUCUCAAAUUCUGUACAUUCUCUUGCUCAGCAGGUUCAGAACAAUCUUUUACAAAAUGGUCCAAAGAUCCACAUCAGAAACAGGUUCGGUCAUUCAAUCUACAAUUUCCUGGAUGUCUUUUACCACAGUGUUUACAAUCUGGUCUCUCAGAUCAAACAUUCUCGACACUUGCAACGGAAGUAGUAGGGACUCUGAAGUUUGAAUGCGAUAUAGCUCUGUCUCGUUUGAAUGUCCCACAUUAGCAUUUGGACGACUUUGAUCAUCUCAAAAUUUCUUUGACAUAGAUUGAAAUGAUCUACUCGAAGAUCUCUUUCUAGCAUCUCUAGCUUAAGAAUCAGAUUUUCUUUUCUCUUUACUUAAUUCUUUAGCUUUACAUGCUCGCUCAACGAGCACUACCAUUUUUUUAAUUUCCAGAAUUCCAACUAACAGACGGAUAUCUUCGUUUAGUCCAUCUUCAAACCUUUUGUACAUUAUUGCUUCAUUCGAUACACAUUCCUGAGCAUACUGGCUCAAUCUCACAAAUUCACAUUCGUAUUCAGUAACAGACAUACGACCCUGUUUAAAUUCGAGAAACUCUUUACGUUUCUGAUCAAUGAAUCUCUAACUGAUAUAUUUCUUCCGAAAUUUAGAUUGAAAGAAAUCCCAAGUAACCCUUUCACUCGGGACUACAGAUAUUAAAGUUUUCCACCAAUGGUACGCCGUAUCUCUCAGAAGUGAAACGGCGCAUUUAACACAUUCCUCAGGACUCAGAGACAUUUCAUCAAACAUUCGUAUUGUAUUUUCCAACCAGAAUUUGGCUCUUUUAGCAUCAUCAUUCGUUGUAGCUCAAAAUUCUUCAGCCCCAUACUUUCUAAUCUUAUCAACCGGUGGUCUACUCAACUGUAACAGAUUCACUCAUGGCAUAUCAGGAGUUUGAGAAGGAUUAACCGAGGGUGGAGGUUGUUGUACAGUCGGAUUAGUUCUAAUGUAUUGGGUGAACCAUUCAUUCAACAUCUGAUAGAAGGCUUGCUUAGCCUUGCUAUCACGGCUACUCAUAGCCGGUCGUGAAUCAUCUUGCACCGUCCCUUACGCGGGAGCAAGCGCUUUGCUUUCUACAUCGUCAACUACAACUCUAUCAGGAUCCAUUUGCUAUAUAAAAGCACAUUUCAAUAUCAUGAGUCAUCACACUAUCACAGAUUCAGAUAUAUGACAUGUAUAGCUAGACUCAUAUACGCUAUGAUAGUCCUAGAACUGACUAAACCAUAGCUCUGAUACCAAUAAAAUGUAACACUCCUAACCCAUAACCGACAUCAGAUUAAGGUUACGAGGCAUUACAAGAAAGACAGAACAUUUUAGACCAAUACAGAAUCACAGAUAUUAUAUAAUAUCAUUUCAUAAGCAAUCAUCUCUUAAGAUGGACUAUGAGACCUAAAAUGUACUUUUAGGAGACAUUCGGGACUAAACCAAACACAUUCAUAAAUUUCAGAACAUAGAAAAUUUUUCAAUUCUGUUGAGGUCACACGCUCGUGUAACCAGGCCGUGUGCCUCACACGGGCAUCAGACACAUCCAUGUGAACCAGCCGUCCAAAUCAGGGUAACCAUACUGACUUUCACCCACAGCCAAUAGGCACGUCCAUGUGCUAUGGCCAUGUGAUACUUGGCUAGCUACUGACUUUAGCCCACAGCCACAUGACAUGCUCGUGUCCCCUGACCGUGUGGCACCAUGCAGGCUUGAUUUAAGCCAAUUUGCCACCCCUUAUUGGGUCCAAUCCUACAAGCAAUAAUAUACAGCAUUCAUACCAAAAUUUCCAAUUAGUUCUAUACUUAAGAAUGACCGAAACACAUUAGAACUUAACACAUUACAAGCAUACACCAAAACUAUACACAAACUUAUCAUUUGUUAGCCAACUCCCAUGGCAUAAUAUAUACACAACAAAACUUAUAUACAUAGACCUUCUAGCCUAUACAUGCCAUACUUUAAAAUAUGUACACUUUCAAAAGUACCAAAAUGAGAUCGAUAGUGUGGUGAUCUUCAACUAUCCCCGAGCCUUCAGUAGCUACGAUAACUGUAAAACAGACAGCAAACACACAGAGUAAGCUACAAAGAGCUUAGUAAGCCAAAUACAAUUGGUCUAACUACUAAAGCAUAUAAGUACAAUUCAACCAUAAAGAUUCAUAACCAUUUCAUAGAAUAAUUCAUAAACUUCACCAUGCUCCUUUGUUUGUAUAUAUGUUAUGCUUCAUUUCCAUACAUAUUUUACAGAGACAGAGUUUUUCAUAUUCAAAAAUUUAGUACGAUGCAAACAUACCUGCAUAGGUUAUGCAUUUCAUAUACUCAAUUUUAGAUUUCGUACGCUAUCAUCAGACGGGUCAGAAACGAUACAGAUGCUUAUAAACAAGUACAAUGCCGACGUCCCGGAUGUGGUCUUACAUGUAACUCAAUAUCGAUGCCUCUGUCCCAAAUAGGGUUUUACACGAAAUUAGAUACGAUGUCGAUGUCCCAGACAUGGUCUUAUACGUAAAUCUCAAUCGAGGCCUGUGUCUCUAACACGGUCUUACACGAUGUCUCAAAUAGAUGUCAACUUUACUUAAGAACAUACAGAGCUUUUCAAAUAUUAUCAUAUUAUCAUACUUUACUCCAAAGAUAUUCAUCAAGCACUCAAGGCCAUCCAAUACAGUUUCCAGUUUAUAUGUGCAGAAUUUAUUUCAAUUAAUACGUAAUUGUAAUUUGACUUACCUCGGACGAAUUUUGGAUAAAACGAGUCGUCUAUUCAACUAUUUUGGACUUCCCCCGAUCUAAGUUCGAUUUUCUUUGUUCUUAAUCUAAUACAAUACAAAUUCAACCAUUCAAUCAUUCAUUUCAUUCAAUUUAAUCUAUAUACACAUAUCUAGGGCACUUUACAUUUUAGCCCUUACAUUUUCACACUUUGACAAUUUAGUCCAUUUUUCACAAAAUCACCAAUAUGCAAAAUUUCUUUGCAACAAGGGGUAGCUGAAUUUUCAUGGCUUCUCAUGUUCAAUUCACAAUUUAGUCCUUCUAAACCUCAUUUUCAAAAUUUAACCCAAAUAGCUCAAUUUCAUCAAAAACUCAAAGACAAAACUUAUGAACCAUCUACCAAGCCUUCAUAAUUCAUUCCAAAAACAUUCAUUCCAAAAACAUCACAAAACUCAUGAUAUUAACAAUGGCAUUUCAUGAAAUCUUUAACAGAAACAUAAAUUCAGACAUGGGUUUUGAAGAACACGAAGUAACGAUCACAGAAACGUAGAAAUUAUUAAAAAUCAAGUUAAAACCAUACCUUAAUCAAGAAAUCAAAGUGCCGAAACCUAAAAUGGCUUUCUCCUUUUUCUUUUUCUUUUUCUUUUUCUUUGACUUUCAGCUAUAUGCAUGAUAAUAUGGCCAAUUUUAUGUUUUCAUUUUAUUAUAAUAUACAUUAAUAUGCAUUUUCCAAUUUUUCCCUUUAAUUAACAAAUAAAAAUUCCAUCCACUAGUGUCCAUACUUGUCCAUGCAUUAGUACAAUGGUCCAAUUGACAUGCAAGGACCUUUAUUUUACAAGCCAAGCCAAAUAGGUGCUUUAGCAUCUAGCACUCAACUUUUACACUAUACGCGAUUUAAUCCUUUUUCAUAAUUAAGCACAGAAACAGACAAAUUAAAUCACAGAAAUUUCACAUAUGUAAAUUCACAUAUCACAGACACAGAAAAUAAUAUUAAAAUAUUUUUUCAGACUUGAAUUUAUGGUUCCGAAACCACAAUUCCGACUAGGAUUAAAAUCAAACUGUUACGUGGGUAAUGUAGAAAAUUCAUACAUUUCAUCAUACGAGCCUAGGGACUAAGUCGUAAAUAAUGUGAAAGGUUAGGGGCAAAACGGUCAUUUUAUACGGGGAAGAAAUUUAGACUCAAAAAGAAUAAUAUGAGGUAUUAAUGAUUCAUUUUUAUUGUUAUAGACCCCGAGAACCAAAUUCUGGGGGUCGAUAGAGGAAAAUGAAAGGUUUUGGAAUAAUCAAAACGUGGAAUCGACACGAAUUCCAGGUAAGUUCGAAUAACUUUAAGUAAACUAUUAAUAUGCCUAAUUACAUGUGUUAUGAAUGUAUGAUAAUUGGUUAUAAUGAUGGCAUGAAAAUCCAUGAAAUGUGUUAAUAAUAAUGAAAUGAUAAUAAAUGUCCCGGUUGAAGUCAAAAGGGAAAUUCGAUAGAUAAACCAUGGCUUACAUGACUUAAGAUCCUGCAUGUGUUGCAAAAAAAGGAUUUAGCCCAGACGAGUAAUCUGUUGAUCUUAAAUAUAGAAAGGAUCUAGCCCGGACGGGUGUUCCUUGAAUGAUCGAGCCUCUUGAAGAAUAUGUGUGCAUUGUAGAUUUAGCCCAGACGGGUAAUUCAAUUAGAGUCUGAAUUUAGCUUGGAUUGGUAAUUCAGAUCCGAGUUUCUUAUGGGUGUUUGUCGUUACAAGAGAUUUAGCCUGGACCGGUAAUCUCGACAUCACCCUAUGAGUUUACAUUAGGGGAAUUUAACCUAGAUUGGUAAUCCCACCGUAAGAUGUGAGGUUCGUGGGAGUGUGUACUUGAGAUGAUCGCUCUUACGAUUUGACGGUAAAUGGAUAAUUCAUCGAGAUUUCUGAGAAACUCAACAAGAUUAACAUGAGAUAUAAAAAUGAAAAUGCUGAAUGAUGAGCUCAUCUAAGACAAAUUACAUGGUGUAUUUUUAUGAGACUAACUUGUUGAUUGAGUAUAAAUGAUAGGGAAACUAUUUCAUGCUUGUUGGUUUUAUUGCCUAAUAUGGACGCAUGCUAAUUAAUCGAUAAGUUUACUUUCCAGUUAUUCGGGUUUACUAAGCAUGUAAAUGCUUACCCCUCUCUUUUCCCUGUCUUACAGAGCUCGUGGACUCGUGAAGAUUGGGAGAUGGUUAGAGAGUCAACACACUAUCAUCUUGUCUAGCUUUGGUAUAUAGAUACUCUUAUUUUGUUCAAUAGCAUGUAUAGGGCUUUUUUUAUUUUGUUAUAUGUGUCAUUUGAUUAGCUAAUACAAAGGCUUGUAAAGGUACACAUAUUCACUUAUAUGUGGACAUGGAAUUGGCUCAAAUUGAUGUAGGUUAUGACCUACAAAUUUUAUGCAUGCUUGUGUUCAGUUGUGCUAGUGAGGAUGAAAUAUGGUAUAUCACAUUUAAACAUUUGUAAUGUGACCAAAUCACAUGGGAUGGCUAGGCCAUAACUGGAAAUGAGUUAUAAUAAUGAGUCAACCUUAAAAGUGAUAUAAGGCAUAGAAAUCCUUAGUACAAAGGGAAUAACCUAACAUGUAUAAAACUGAUAAGAUGAGGUUUACAUGCAAUGAGGUAUAUCGAGGUCAUUUGGGACAUAUAAUUAGGCCUUAUUAUUAUUAUGGAAAUCUAUAAGAGUAUGGGGAUGAUAAAAGGUGACCAAAGGCUUGGAAAAUAGCCUAGCAAGGUCCACACGGGUAGACACACGGGCGUGUGUCUAGGUCGUGUGUGACACACAGAUCGUCGCAUGGGCGUGUGGUAUGGUCGUGUGUCUUUUUCACCUAAAAAUUUUAAGUCAGAAUGCAUGGUAGUAAAAACAAGGACAAAGACAUGGCCGUGUGUCUCAGCCGUGUGGAGGGUACGGCCAAGCACACGGGCAUGUGUCUUGCCCGUGUGCCCUUAAAUGCAUGCUGACAUCAUAAAUAGAAUGAUUGAGUUUUUGAACACGGGCCACCACACGAGCAGGUCUAGGCUGUGUGAAGGACACAGGCCAGGGAUACGGGCGUGUGCUUAGCCGUGUGAAAAUCCCUGUAGGUUUGAAAUAGGAAGUAAAUUCAAUUAAUUCCACACGGGUAGGGGACACGGGCGUGCGCAUUGCCUCCACACAGGUGUGUGAGGCUUAACCUAGCAAAUUUUCCAAGAACUUUCUCAAGUUCUCAGUUUGAUUCCGGACCAUUUUCAAUGUAUUUUUGGGCCCUGUAGGCCCAUAAUAGGGACACUAAGGUGUUGUUUGAUUUGGGUUCAAAUUGGAACGAAAUUUUAUAACUCGUAUUUCCCAAAAAUGUUCGAGUACAUGUUUGGUAACACCUCGUACUUGGUCUCGAUCUUAGGUAUGGGUAAGGGGUGUUACAUUUAGUGGUAUCAGAGCUAAAAUUUAGUCAGUUUUAAGACUACCGUAGAGCUUAUUGAGUUUCUCUAUACAUGUCAUUAUACGAAUGUUGAUAGUGUGACAUUUCCUAACUGUUUAAUUGUCUUUGAAUAUAGUAAAUGUCUUCCAAUCAAGCGCAAGAUGAGUCUGAUGGAGCCAAGAGUCAUCCUGCAGCUUUCGUACAAUGAGUUAUUUCUACUAGUAGUAGAAGGCCUAUGUUUGAAGGCCGGGAAGAGGCUAGAGCCGCCUUCUUUGACAUGAUGGAUGAAUGGUUUGGGGAUUAUUUGAGGAAUCACCCUAAUAUACCACGACCUCCCCCGCCCCCUAAUCGAUCUGCUAAGGAAGUGCUGCGAGGUAUGGCACCUAAAAGAAUUGGUAAAACCCCUGUAGACAAGCUUAGAAAUUAUGGGGCUGGAGAAUUUAGAGCUAAGAUUGAUGAUGACGCUGAACGAGCCAAGUUUUGGCUCGAGAAUACUACACGAGUGUUGGACGAGUUAUCUUGUACACCUGAAAAGUGUUUAAAGUAUGCUAUAUCUCUACUAAAGGAUACUGCAUACCACUGGUGGAAGACCGUAUCUUUAGUGGUACCAAAGGAAAACAUUACUUGGGAAUUUUUCCAAGCGGAGUUUAAGAAGAAAUACAUUAGUCAGAGGUUCUUGGAUUCGAAGCGAAAGGAGUUCCUAGAACUCAAACAAGGACAUAAGACGGUAUUGGAAUACGAAAGGGAAUUCGUGAGACUAAGCCAGUAUACAACUGAAUGGGUCCAAACAGAGUCAGAAAUGUGUAAACGCUUCGAGGAAGGUCUGAAUGAGGAAAUCAAGUUUUUAAUUGGGAUUCUUGAGAUACGAGAGUGCGCUGCAUUAGCCGAUUGGGCCAAGAAAGCUGAGGAGCUCAAUAAUGAAAUGAAGCAAGCUAAGAGAGAAGCUCGAGUUACGAGCAAGAGAUCCAGCAGUAAGACGCCCUCAUUUUCCACAAAGAAAUCAAGGAGCCAACAUGAACGCUCCACUUUAUCAGUAGGAUAUUCGGGUAGAGCGAGAGGCUCAAAACGACAUAAUCAGAAGUCUUCCUUCCCGAUGGUGACUAGUGUGGAGAGUGUAGAUGACCAAAAGUCAAAGUGUAAAAGCUGCAAUAAAUUUCACUUCAGAGAGUGCCGAAUGAAGAGCGGUGCGUGCUAUAGAUGUGGUUCUCUUGACCACUUCCUCAGAGAUUGUCCAGAGCGAACUGAUAAAAGUGUGGAAGUAGCCCCGAAAUUGAGUGCACCUAUUUCACGAGAUAGAUCUCCGAGAUAUCCUAGAAGUACUAGUGGCAGUUGGGUUGCAUUCAAAUACACUGUGAAAUCAGACUCUUGAGCCCCGUCAAGAACGUAUGAAUACGCGCUUGAGAGGAAGCCUCUACUCCUGACGUCAUCACGGGUACUUUUCUCUUUUUAAUACUUGUGUUAUUGCCUUAAUUGGUCCAGGAUCAAGGCAUUUAUACAUUUGCAUGAGAUUGGCGUCUAGUAUGAACAUAUCCAUUAAACCUACGGAAUUUAUUAUCAGAGUGUUGAACCCAUUAAGCAAGUUAGUCUUAGUUGAUAAAGUCUGUAAGAAUUGUCCCUUGAUGAUUCAGGGUCAUUUUUUUCCGGCUAACCUUAUGUUAUUUCCAUUUGAUGAGUUUGAUGUAAUACUUGGCUUGGAUUGGUUAGCCUUGCAUGAUGUAAUUGUAAACUGUGGUAGUAAGUAUAUUGAACUGAAGUGCCCAGAUGGUGAAAUUCUACAAGUUGAUUCAAGAAAAUUGGAUACACCACUAGUUGUAAUCACGGCAAUAGUUGCUCAAAGAUAUAUGAGAAAAGGGUACAAAUCCUACCUUGAUUUUGUACUGAACACUAAGGAAAUUGAGUUAAAGAUUGAGUCCAUACCAAUAGUAUGUGAAUAUUCAGAUGUGUUCGCGGAAGAAUUACCCGGACUACCUCCUGAUAGAGAGAUAAAGUUUGGCAUUGAACUAGUGUUAGGAAUAGCUCCUAUUUCUAUUGCUCCAUAUAAGAUGGCACCAACCUAGUUGAAAGAGUUAAAAGCACAGUUACAAGAACUGAUGGAUAAGGGUUUUGCAAGGCUGAGCUUUUCGCCUUAGGGUGCUCCCGUAUUAUUUGUAAAGAAGAAAGAUGGUUCAAUGAGGCUAUGUAUAGAUUAUCGGCAGCUGAAUAAGGUAACUGUUAAGAAUAAAUAUCCUUUGCCAAGGAUCGAUGAUUUGUUCAACAAGUUGAGGGGAGCCAUUGUAUUCUCUAAGAUAGACCUAAAAUCUGGCUACUAUUAGUUACGAGUUAAAGAGUCGGACGUGCCUAAGACAGCUUUCAGAAUGAGGUAUGGCCACUAUGAAUUUCUUGUCAUGCCGUUUGGGUUAACGAAUGCACUGACCUUAUUUAUGGACCUAAUGAAUAGGAUAUUUCGGUCAUACUUGGACAAGUUCACCGUCGUGUUCAUUGAUGCCACUUUGAUUUAUUCCAAGGAUGAGACAGAGCAAGUGAAGCAUCUGAGAAUUGUGUUGCAGACUUUAUGGGAAAAACAAUUGUAUGUUAAGUUUAGCAAGAGUGAAUUUUGGCUCCAAUAAGUAAGGUUCUUGGGUCAUAUUUUUUUGGUUGAUGGCAUCCGAGUUGAUCGAAGUAAGAUCCUGCCAUUAUUGAAUGGAAACCACCUAAAAAUGUAACCAAGGUUAGAAGCUUUUUAGGCUUAGCCGGUUACUACCAAAGAUUUGUGAAAGGAUUCUCCAUGAUAGUGACUCUAAUGACGAGGUUACUACAAAAAAAUGUGAAGUUUGAAUGGACAAAAAAGUGUCAGUAGAGUUUCGAGAAGUUGAAGACAUUAUUGACUGAAGCUCCUAUUCUAGUAUUGCCCGAGUCGGGAAAGAGUUUGUGGUUUACAGCGAUGCAUCCUUAAAUGGACUGGGUUGUGUACUUAUGCAAGAUGGCAAGGUGAUAGCCUAUGCUUUACGGCAAUUGAAGCCAUACGAGAAGAAUUAUCUGACGCAUGACUUAGAGCUUACUGCUAUUGUUUUUGCCUUGAAAAUCUGGAGGCAUUACUUAUAUGGUAAGAUUUGUCGUAUAUUCACAGACCACAAGAGUUUGAAGUAUUUGAGGACUCAAAAAGAAUUGAAUUUGAGACAGUGGAGAUGGUUAGAACUAAUUAAAGAUUAUGAGCUGAUCAUCAAUUAUCACCCGGGAAAGGCGACUGUGGUCGCUGACGCGUUAAGUAGAAAAUCUUUGUUUGCAUUAAGGGCCAUGAAUGCUCGAUUGGCGUUGUUUGAUGAUUUUUCAAUUUUGGUAGAGCUAAGGGCUAGGCUGACAUUUCUUUAGGAAUUUUAUGAUGCUCAAACUAAUGAUAGGGUCCUUCCUACAAGCUAAAAGAGCUCAAUGUGAGUCUGCAAUGAAUCAAAUUUUCAGAUUAGUCCUGAUGGAUGCUUGAUGUUCAGAGACAAAGUUUUUGUACCGAGGAACGAUAAAAUUAUUCAGAAGAUUUUGCAAGAAGCACAUGAUAGCUAUUUGUCUAUUCAUCCGGGAAGUACCAAUAUGUACAAUGAUUUGAAGAAAAUAUACUAGUGGAACAGCAUGAAAAGAGACAUCUCUGAAUUUGUAUCGAAAUGCUUGAUAUGUCAGCAAGUCAAAGCUGAACAUCAAGUACCUUCUGGUUUACUACAACCUGUGAUGGUCCCCGAAUAGAAGUGUGACAGAAUUACUAUGGACUUCGUGACUAGAUUACCAUUGACCCCGAAAAGGAAAGAUGCUAUAUGGGUUGUGGUGGAUGAGUUGACGAAGUCAGCUCAUUUUAUCCUACUGAGGACGGGUUACUCUCUUGACAAGUUAGUUGACUUGUAUAUAUUUGAGAUUAUGGGAUUACACGGAGUACCGCUAUCGAUUAUUUCAAACAGAGACCCAAGAUUUACUUCGAGAUUCUAGAAGAAGUUACAAGAAGCCUUGGAUACAAAGUUGAGCUUUAGUACAGCUUUUCACCCACAGACUGAUGGUCAGUCAGAACAGAUGAUUCAGAUUCUUGAGGAUAUGUUGCGUUGUUACAUCCUCAAAUUUCAAGGUAGCUGGGAAAAUACCUACCAUUGGUAAAGUUCGCCUACAACAAUAGUUUUCAAACGAGUUUGAAGAUAGCGCCUUAUGAGGCCUUGUAUAACAGAAAGUGCUGAACUCUAUUGUAUUGGACAAAACUCAAGGGGAGUUAGAUUGAAGGAUUUGAUCUAAUCAAGGAAACUGAAGAAAAGGUUAAAGUGAUACGUGAUUGCUUAAAAGCGACAUCGGAUAGACAAAAGUCAUAUGCUGAUCUGAAAAAAGAAAGAGAUUGAGUUCCAACUCAGAGAUAAAGUAUUCUUGAAAGUAUCUCCAUGGAAAAAGGUAUUGAGAUUUGGCUGGAAAGGCAAAUUGAGUCCGCGAUUUAUCAGACCAUACGAGAUCACUGAAAGAGUUAGACCAUUAGCCUAUCGUUUGGCAUUGCCACCAAAACUGGAAAAGAUUCAUGAUGUAUUCCAUGUAUCUAUGUUAAGGCGAUAUCGAUCAGACCCCUCUCAUGUGAGUUCACCGACGGAGAUUGAAAUUAGACCGGACAUGACCUAUGGUGAAAAACCGGUAAAGAUUCCAGCUCGUGAAGUUAAACAGUUGAGAAAUAAAGAUGUGGCUUUAGUAAAAGUCUUAUGGCAUCGACAUGGUGUGAAAGAGGCUACAUGGGAGCCAAAAAAAACCAUGAGAAGCUAAUAUCUGAACCUGUUUACUGGUAAGACUUUCGAGGACGAAAGUCCUAAAGGGGGAGAAAUGUAACAUCCCAAAAUAGGACCUAGUCAGAACAGUAGUUUCGGGACCACAAAUCUGAUGUUGAAAUAUUUAUUUUAUGAUUAUUAUUAGGUCUAGAAUAUGAAAAUAUCCAUGUGUUAAUGUUUCAUUAAGAAAUUCUAUAAGUAAGGUGCCCGAUUGGAAAAUAAUGACCAAAUUGAAAAAAUUGCAAAACUUGAAUUCUAGAAGAAAUUUGUAUGAAAUUGCUUUAGAUUAUUAAUUAAAAGUCCUUAAAGAGAAUUUUUCCCAAUUUCUAAGUUUUUGGACAAAAAUGGGCAUGUAUGGAUAAAAUUUCAAAGAAAUGGCUUAAGGGCAUUUUGGUCAUUUGGUUAAUUAAUGAAAUAAAAUGGGAAAAUAAGCCAAAAAUUAGCUCAUCUUCUCCACUUUGCUGCCAAAAUUUGAGAGCCACCAUAGCUAGGGUUUUUUCACUUUUCAAGCUCAAUAGUAAGUGCUCCCAAGCCCCGUUUUUAAUGUACUUCAUAUUUUUAACCAUAUUUUGAACUAAGGUUCAUGUUUGCAAAGUGACCCAUGUGUGACAUAUUUAUUCUUUGAUGAUUUAUGGAGGAAUAUGAAAGUUGGAUGUGUGUUAAACAUCUUUUUCUAGGUGAUUUUCAUGAAAAGCCCCUAAAAUGACCUUUUUGCAAAAUGUGUAAAAUAUGAGGUAGAAAUGUGAAAUAAAGGAAAAAUAUGGGCUGCCAUAAGAGGAAAGAGCAUUCAGCUAGGCUUGGGUAAUAUAGAAAAUUCAUGCAUUUCAUCAUACAAGCCUAGGGACUAAAUCGUAAAUAAUGUGAAAGGUUAGGGGCAAAAUGGUCAUUUUGUCCAGGGGUGAAAUUUAGACUCGAAAAGAAUAAUGUGAGGUAUUAAUGAUUCAUUUUUAUUGUUAUAGACCCCGAGAAACAAAUUCCGGAGGUCGAUCAAGGAAAACGAAAGGUUUUAGAAUAACCGAAACGUGGAACCGACACGAAUACCAGGUAAGUUUGAAUAACCUUAACUAAACUAUUAAUAUGCCUAAUUACAUGUGUUAUGAAUACAUGAUAAUUGGUUAUAAUAAUGGCAUGAAAAUCUAUAAAAUGUGUUAAUAAUAAUGAAAUGAUAAUAAAUGCCCCGGUUGAAGUCAAAAGGGAAAUUCGAUGGAUAAACCAUGGCUUACAUGACUUGAGAUCCUGCAUGUGUUGCAGAAAAGGAUUUAGCCCGGACAGUAAUCCGUUGAUCUCAAAUAUAGAAAGGAUCUAGCCUGGAAGGGUGUUCCUUGAGUGAUCGAGCCUCCUGAAGAAUAUGUGUGCAUUGUGGAUUUAGCCCGAAUGGGUAAUUCGAUUAAGGUCUGAAUUUAGCCUGGACUGGUAAUUCAGAUCCAAGCUCAUUACAGGUGUUUGUCGGUACAAGAGAUUUAUCCUGGACUGGUAAUCCCGACAUCACCCUAUGAGUUUACAUUACGGGAAUUUAACCUAGAUUGGUAAUCCUGCCGUAAGAUGUGAGGUUCGCGGGAGUGCGUAUGGUAAAUUGAUAAUCCAUCGAGAUUUCCGAGAAACUCAAUGGGAUUAACAUGAGAUAUAAAAAUGAAAAUGUUGAAUGAUGAACUCAUCUAAGACAAAUUACAUGGUGCAUUUUUAUGAGACUAACUUGUUGAUUGAGUGUAUAUGAUAGGGAAACUAUUUUAUGCUUGUUGGUUUUAUUGCCUAAUAUGGACGCGUGCUAAUUAAUCGGUAAGUUUACUUUCCAGUUAUUCGGGCUUACUAAGCAUGUAAAUGAUUACCCCUAUCUUUUCCCUGUCUUGCAGAGCUCGUGGACUCGCGAAGAUUGGGAGACGGUUGGAGAGUCAACACAUUAUCAUAUUGUCUAGUUUUGGUAUAUAGAUACUCUUAUUUUGUUCAAUGGCAUGUAUAAGGCUUUUGUUAUUUUGUUAUAUGUGUCAUUUGAUUAGCUAAUACAAAGGUUUGUAAAGGUAUACAUAUUAACUUGUAUGUGGCCAUGGAAUUGGCUCAUAUUGAUGUAGGCUAUGACCUACAAAUUUUAUGCAUGCUUGUGUUCAGUUGUGUUAGUGAGGAUGAAAUAUGGUAUAUCACAUUUAAACAUAUGUAAUGUGACCAAAUCACAUGGGAUGGCUAGGCCAUAACUGGCAAUGAGUUAUAAUAAUGAGCCAACCUUAAAAGUGAUAUAAGGCAUAGAAAUCCUUAGUACAAAGGGAAUAACCUAUCAUGUAUAAAAUCGAUGAAAUGAGGUUUACAUGCAAUGAGGUAUAUCAAGGUCAUUUGGGACGUAUAAUUAGGCAUUGUUAUGUAUUAUGGAAAUCUAUAAGAGUAUGGGGAUGAUAAAGGGUGACCAAAGGCUUGGAAAAUAGCCUAACAAGGUCCACAGGGGUAGACACACGAGCGUGUGUCUAGGCCGUGUGUGACAUACGGAUCGCCCCAUGGGCGUGUGGUAUGGUCGUGUGUCCCCUGCACCUAAAAAUUUUAAGUCAGAAUGCAUGGUAGUAAAAACACGAACAGAGACACGGUCGUGUGUCUCAACCGUGUGGAGGGCACGGCCAAGCACUCGGGCAUGUGUCUUGGUCGUGUGCCCUUAAAUGCAUGCUGAUGUCAUAAAUAGAAUGAUCGAGUUUUUGGACACGGGCGACCACACGGGCGUGUCUAGGUCGUGUGAAGGACACGGGCCAAGGACACAGGCGUGUGGUUGGCCGUGUGAAAACCCUUGUAGGUUCUAAAAAGGAAAUAAAUUCAAUUAAUUCCACACGUGUAGGGGACACAGGCAUAUCCCAAAGCACACGGAAGUGUGCAUUGCCUCCACAUGGGCGUGUGAGGCUUAACCUGUCAAAUUUUCCAAGAACUUUGUCAAGUUCUCGAUUUGAGUCCAGACCAUUUUCAAUGUAUGUUUUGGGCCCCAUAAGCCCAUAAUAGGGACACUAAGAUGUUGUUUGAUUGGGUUCAAAUUGGAACGAAAUUUUUUAACCCGUAUUUCCAGAAAAUGUUUGAGUACAUUUCUGGUAACGCCUCGUACUUGGUCCCGGUCUCGGGUACGGGUAAGGGGUGUUACAUGAACAAUUACAGAUCAAACACAGAACCGAAAAUAAUUCUCUUACUUUUAUUAGGAAAGUAAAUCUCUCUCUUAUAGAAAUCGGUAGAAUUAUCAGUCCUAGAAAAUAGAAUUUAUAAUUAGAAAUAUAUUCUAGCUAUUUUUGGGCAAAAUAACAAUAUCUCAAAGUUGUAUGUUUAGCCUUACCAGUGUCAUCUAUUUAUUGGGAAAGAAAGUGAAACCCUAGUUGAAUAAGUAAAAUGCAAUUAAUGACUAUUUAAUAGAAAAUCAAUCCUUUAGUUGAACUAGGAUAGAGAGGGGCGGCUAACCCUAGUUAUUUUACUUGGGUUGCCACCCCUCAUGUUUAAUAUGAAGGGUUUUGGGCCUCUUCUGUAUUGGAUUUAAUUAUACGUGCAUCAUGGACUUUUAACCCAUCACUUUAUAAUUUAAUCCAACCUAGUACAUGUUUUUCUAUUUCCCAAAAUAGAUAUUAUUUAUUAAAUUAAUAUAAAUUAAUUAAUUUAUCAUUAAAUAAUUUUCUCAACCUAACUCUAAUUUCGUUAAAACUAUGACGACUUUACUGUAAAAAAAUACAUUAGAAAAUAUAUUUAAUUUCUACAAUCAACUGAUUCACAAUGACCAAUUUAUUUAAUUCUAUUUUCUAAACAUACUAAGGGCUGAAGUUAACAAAUUCCUAUUUUUAGAAUAACUUGACUUGACAUGAUAAAAGAGAUUACUUAAUCUAUUCGAUGCAAAUAUUUAUAUGUGUUUCUCGUGGAACUAAAUUGCUCCCUGUUUUUCUGAAUUAUUAUGUAAAUGCCAUUUACACUACUUUUAAAUGUUUUAUUACGCUUGUAUUUAGUUCGAACCACAAUUCUAAAGGUAAGUAUAUAAGGCAUUUCCAUAUUAUCUUACUAAGCUUUAUACUUAACACGUUGUUGUCUUUGCGUGUAGGUCUUCUGUAUUAAGGCUCAGUGCAUAUCGAAGAUCACAAGCAAACACCAUUAUCAACUCCAAAGAGUAUGAAUUUUGUGUAUUUAUGUAUUGUGGCAUGUACUUAGGGAAUCAAAGUGUAUAAAUAUACUUAUUUCAUAUGUAAAAUAGUACUUGAAACUUGGGUUAUGGUGUAUUGGUUGAAGGCUUAUGAAAUUAGUUAAAGUUCAAGAAUUUGUGAACUUGUGAAUGGUUACAGUAAUGCCUAAAUGGAAGCUUAGGCCGCAUAGGCAACUCCUUAUCGAACCAUCAAUAUUAGUUAAUACUGCCUAGGUGGUGGCUAGGGUCACCUGGUGGCACUUUAGGGGAAAAAUUAUUAACUCCAAUAUCGAGUAAGCAUGAGCUUUAGCCACCUAAGCAGUAACUUAACGUUGGUUUUACUUAAUUUCUUAUAAAUUCCUUAAAGAUUUGAGUAGCGUUUAACAAAUUGAGUAACAUUCCUAUAUUUUACAAAUUACUUAGUUCUUUUGUUUUAAUUGGCACUAUAAGAUUUUUUUUAACUUCGUUUUUGAAAACAUAAAAAUAUUUUGAAUAGAAUUUAAAUAUUUUCUAUAAUUUUAUAAAUAUGUUUUCACAUUUAAAAUUUCUUGAAUAAAUCAAAGGUUUUUUUUCAUGUUAGUGCUUUAAUAAAACCUUCCAUUCAUACUGUAUGCCAGGGCAUGUGAGUACAAAUGGGAAAUUCCAUCAAAGCACAAACAAAGUGGAAAUCUCAUAAAUAUUUAAGAUUUUAAACUUUGAAACAAUUUUAUAAAAUCAUAUAAAAAAGGUAAAAUUAAUUUGGUAAAAUAGGGUUGUUGAUGAGGAGAUAAGGAAGAGAAGGUGGCGAUUCAAAGAAAGCCAACUCACUUUGACAAAUGAAAAGAGCCAGAGAAGAACAAGAGGUGGAAAAGGUUGCUGUAAGGUUGAAAAGGCUAAGUAUAGGGAUUAUGUGCUUACAUUUGUUAAAGGGGGAGAAAAUUUUUUUGUCCUUCACGUUGGAGCGUAUUUAUAGGAGAUACCCCUUGGUUUGGUAGUAAUGGCGUGGUAAGUCAUUACCAAUGGGCUAUCAUCAUGGAGUGCGUGGUGGUGCCCAUUCUGCUAUUUAUUUUGAAGUGGUACGAGAUUGUUAUACUCAAGUAGACCCUAGUAGUCUCGAAAAGGAGUAUUCACACUGAAAAGUUGGUAGACUUUCAUACAAUGGCAGGUGGUCUAAUGUAAGAGAUGUUCCCACUAUUAGCCGAUGGUCCAAUAAGAGGUGAUUCGUCCGAAAGGCUGAGUGAUUGGCGAAGAUCUAAAAGACGAGAGGUGAAGAACUCUCCAUAAAUUUCUUUCUAAUGCUUUUUAAGAAAAACACGUGUCAAACCCAAAUAAAGAUAUAACAAAGAUAAAAUUCUGGUAACAACAAAAUCUACAAAUAUUAAUAAAUAAAAACUAUAAACAGGAUUACAAUAGUACAUUGAUAGUUCUUGUUUGAUAAAAUUUGUGCCAACUACUAAUUGUAGUUAUCUCUUAACUUGAUUCUUGUAAAAUUCCUGUGUCUCAAUCUUACUGAAAAGGCUAUAUAUAUAUAUUUAAACAUCUGGAAAAAAAAUAAUUCAUGAAAAGAAAAGUUUAGUUAUAUAAAAAAGGACAUUCCUAAACAAUAGAUUCAUUAAUUUCUUGUUAUUCGUAGGAACUAUGGCAAACCUAGAGGAAAGCUAACCUUUGACCUAAUUCCUACCGGUGACAUCCAACAAGAUCCACCACUUACAAUUGAUGGCCAACCCAGAUUUGUUUAAAGGAAAAUUUUAGGGUCAUUUGGUAUUUUUCUUUUCUUUUCGUAUAUUUGAUUUUUUAAUACAUAUGUUUUUAUUUUAUUUUGUUAAAUAUGACUCCUAUUUUCAGUCAAACUUGAAAAAUAAUCUUUUAGUUAAACUCUGUUUACUUGUUUCAAUCAAACACUAAUUAGUUUAGAUUAUUUUAUUAUUAUUUGACCUAUGAAUUUAGCCUAUAAAUAGGCUCUUUUAAAACCUUAGAAAGAUACACCCAUUAGAGAUUAGAACUCAUAACAUAUUUAGAGAAUUUUGUGUUUACGUUUUGAGGGUUCUUUAUUUUCAGGUUUUCGGGGUUCAGUCUUUAUCUCUAUUUUUGUACUCUUCGUUUUUUUUCCAUUAUAGUAAAAUUAUCUUUGCCCGUGGUUUUUUAUCCUCUUUGAAAGGGUUUUUCCACGUUAAAUUUGUGUGUUCAAUUUCUUAAUUUACGCUAUUUUUCUUGUUCGUUGCUUAAUCGGGGUGAUCCUAACAAAUGGUAUCAGAGCUAGUUUAAUUUUCAUAGAUCAGUUCAUUCAAAGAUGGCAACAACAAGGUUUGAAAUUGAGAAGUUCGAUGGUGAGACAAAUUUCAAUCUGUGGCAAGUUUGAAUUAUGGAAAUUCUAGUUCAAUUCGGUUUGAAAAAGGUUGUUAUUGGGAAAAAGCUUGAGAAUCUAAAUAAAACAGGAUGGGAAGAGCUUGAUGAAAAGGCUUUGUCUGCAAUCCAGUUGUGCCUCACGAAUACGGUAUUGCAGAAGGUAUUGAUGGAGAAGUCCUCAUCUGCCUUGUGGAAAAGGUUAGAAACUCUUUAUGAGACUAAGUCUCUAGCUAACCUUUAGUGUUGAAAUAACGUCUAUUUACGUUUCGCAUGAAUGAAUGUGAGCUUCUUAGAAAUCACAUCAGUCAAUUCAUUACUCUUUUAAAUGAUUUAAAGAACGUUGAGGUUUAUAUUGAUGAUGAAGAUCAAGCUAUGCUAUUAUUGUGCUCUUUACCUCUUUCAUACAAGUCUUUCAGGGAGAUCCUGAUUUAUAGCAAAGACAAACUCGACAAUGAGCUUCAUUUGGAUAGCAAGACAGAUAGACAAGCUUCCGUUUUGGUAGCAUCAAAUAAACGAGACAAAAGGUGUCGCUAUUGUAAAAAGUUAGGUCACGUCAAAGUAUAUUGUUAUAAACUGCGAAAUAAAAGAGAUGCCGAGAGUAACGAGGAAGAUGUAGCUGGUGCUAAUUUGGUCGAUGAAAAUGGUGAUGAUUUCUUGUUAGUGUCAACAAGCGAUAACUCUAAGCUCACGUCCGAGUGGAUCCUAGAUUCAGGAUGUUCUUUCCACAUGUGUCCCAAUAGAGAAUAGUUCUCCACAUACAAUUUGGAUGAAGGUAGAGUUAUGCACAUGGGAAAUAAUUCAUCUAGUAAGGUAAUUAGUAUUGGUACUGUUAAAAUUAAGAUGUACGAUGGGACGAUUAGGACACUCUCAGAUGUCAGGUAUGUACCUGAUUUACGAAAGAAUCUCAUCUCCUUGAGUAUUUUAGACUUGAAAGGAUGCAGAAUUAACAUCGAGUCAAGCGGCAUUAAAGUAUGUCGUAGAGCUCUCGUUUUUUUAAAAGGUAAAAGAACCGGUAGUCUUUAUAUUCUGGAAGGUUCUACAGUGACCGAUGAAAUCGGACGUCCCUCGAUAGAGCAGAGGCAACUUGGUCAUAGAAGGGAAAAAGGUAUGACCAUUUCGUUGAAGAGAGGUUCUCUUUUGGAUACAGGUUUUGAAAAAUUAAGGCAUUGUGUUCGUGAAAAUCAGACCCGAUUUAGUUUUGAUUUCACAGUGUACAAGUCGAAGGCUAGAAGUCUUCCAGUUUCUAAGCACAAAUUCGACUCAGUUAAUUCCCUGCAUAGUUCAAGAUAGGCUCGUGGCUGCUUUCGAAAAGAUGGCGUUGUGGAAAUAUGAGUCAAGGUGGAGAUUUGUUAAAUAUGACUCCUAUUUUCGGUCAAUUUUGAAAAAUAACCUUUCAGUUAAACUCUGUUUACUUGUUUCAUCAAACACUGAUUAGUUUAGAUUAUUUUAUUAUUAUUUGACCUAUGAAUUUAGCCUAUAAAUAGAUUAUUUUAAAACCUUAGAAAGAUAUACCCAUUAGAGAUUAGAACUGAUAACACAUUUAGAGAAUUUCGUGUUUACGUUUUGAGAGUUCUUUAUUUUCGGGUUUUUGGGGUUUAGUCUUUAUCUCCAUCUUUUGUACUCUUCGUUCUUUUGCCAUUAUAGUAAAGUUAUCUUUGUCCGUGGUUUUUUAUCCUCUUUGGAAGGGUUUUUUCACGUUAAAUUUGUGUGUUUAAUUUCUUAAUUUAUUCUGCUAUUUUUCUUGUUCGUUGCUUAAUCGAGUCGAUCCUAACAUAUUUUUUAUAAUAUUUUAUUUUUAAAUCGUUUUUAUAAUUUGUUAUCAAUUUUUUUUAAUAUUUUUAUUUUAUUUUGAAAUAUUUUUUAGAAUUAUAACUAAAUUAACAAAUUUUGUAAAUGUUGAGAGCUAAAUUUUUUGAAUUUUUUUGCAAAAUAGAAUUGAAAUAAUAAAUUUUUUAAACAUUGAGGUUUUUUAAUUUUUUUAGAUUUAAGAUCUAAUUGAUUGAAUGUGUAAAUAUUAAAUGGCUAUGUGUUAAUAAAAAGAUCCACAUUAGAAUUCUGUUAGAGGUGUUCAUGGGUCGAGUUUGGGUUGGGUUUAAGUAUGAUAUUAACAUACUUUAUGUUUGUCUAAGUCUGGCCCAACUUGAAAUCUGAGUCUAAAAUUUUGCCCAAACCCACUCAUAUUUGCUAAAGAUUAACUCAAACUCAUUUUAGGUCUGCUCAUAUUAUUUUAAAUUUUUUUAAAAAAAUAUUUAUAUUAUAUUAUUUUAAUAUUUAAUAAUUUUAUACAUUUUUAUUUAUUAAAAACUUGUAUAUAGUCAUCUUAACAUUGUUUUAAUGUUUACAUUAGAGUAGUAUUAUAUAUUUAAUAUAAAUUUAUUUUUUUAAUGUGUUCUAAAUUACAUAAUAUAUAAAAAUAACAUAAUAUAAAAUAUUAUAAACUUAAAACAGGUCGAGCUGGACUAGGCUCGAACUUUGAAUGUUCAAACCCCGAGCUCAGUCCAUAUUUUAAACAGGCCUAAUUUUUUUACCUAAAUUCAUUUUUUGGGCUUAAUAUUUUUAUCCAAAUUCUCUCAAAUUUCGGGCAAACCUUUAGGUAUAAACAAAUAGCCUGACAUAUGAAUAGGUCUAAAUUUUGUUAUUGAACUAACAACAAAAAAGCGGAAAUAUAAUUAAUUUUAAAAAAUUGAAUGAGGAAAUAAAUAAUAAUAAUUAUAUAAUAAAAAUAGAAGCAAGACUAUACUCAUAAUUUACCAUGCUGAAUAUAACCCUCCAGGGAAUAUAAUGUCAAAUAUUUGAUUCAAUUUAAAAAAGUGUAUACUUCGAAAAUAGUUAAAUUAAUAACGUGAAAACCUGUAGAAAGGCAAGAAAGAUGUAUUAAAUUGCAGAUGUAUGCGAGAGGCAACCUCCAUUGAACUAAAAUUCUUUGUAUUUAAUAAAUCCAAUUGAUCUUUCCAAGAUUCAAAAUUUGGUUAAAAGCAAACAAAAAUGUGAUGGACGGUUGCUAAACACAACAUGACGUGACAAUCAAACGGUCAAGAGUUUAUCAUCGACCCUACAUGACAUGACAACACCAUAAAUGAUGACCCUUGCAAUUACAAAUUAUGAUACUAAAUGAUGACUAACCUGCAAGUUAAAUGAAAAUGUGAAGGUAAAACUAUACACAAUCCUCUUAGAUGCAUCAAGUACACAGGAUGAUAAUAACACCAAAAAGAACACAUUGUACAAAAAUUUUAAAGCUCUCUCCCGACCACAAGUUGGGGAAACUCAGAAGAUACAGCUAGUGGGUACCCAGGCCCUUAUCAUGCAUUCCCCACCCCCAAUCAUGCACUUCUCCCCCGCUGUUUCCCCCUCAUAAUAUAUUUGGAGCUAAACAUUACUAUUUUCCUCUCUCUCUCUCUCUCUCUCUCUCUCUCUCUUGCGCGCAGUUUCAAUCAUGGUAUAGUAUACAUUCUAUAAAAUUAUUAUUAGCAUGCUUGAAUAUAAUUGAUCAUAUAAUGAAUAGUUUCUUUGCUGCCUGGAUUUUGCUUUGGAUGCUCAUAGGUUUUGGUUGGAAGCCAUGGUGAGAAAGAUGAUUCAAAUGAGGGAACCGUGGUUGAUUUCCGCGGGAAUCCGGUGGACAAGUCGAAAACCGGUGGAUGGCUCGCUGCAGGGCUCAUCUUAGGUGUUUCACGAUGAAUUUCAGAAGCUUAAAAGUGCGGUGUACCUUGGUCCCCAUCUUUCUUCUUUUGCUAAUAUGAAGGGAAAUUUUUGGUGCAGGAUCUGAGCUCUCCGAGAGGAUAUGUGUGAUGGGCAUAUCUAUGAAUUUGGUGACGUACUUAGUUGGAGAUUUGCAUAUCUCAGCAGCAAAAUCCGCAACUAUAGUUACCAACUUCAUGGGCGCUCUUAAUCUGCUUGGUCUCCUCGGAGGUUUCUUAGCCGAUGCCAAACUCGGUCGAUACUUGACUGUGGCACUCUCUGCAUCCAUAACUGCUCUGGUAAGGUUUCCCUUACCGAUAAUAAGAAAUAAAAAAGAUAUCUUUACGUCUACUUCUUUGCAAACAAAGACUUUAAUAUAACUUUUUUGGCUGCCAUCUCAUCUUAACUCAGGGAGUGAUUUUAUUGACACUGGCUACGACAAUUCCCAGCAUGAGGCCUCCUUACUGUGAUGACUACAGAAGGAAGCAUCACGAGUGCAUCGAGGCAAACGGCCGGCAACUGGCUUUGCUGUAUGCGGCACUGUACACAACAGCACUUGGUGGUGGGGGAAUAAAGUCUAAUGUCUCGGGUUUUGGGUCGGAUCAGUUCGACAUGGCAGACCCCAAGGAGGAGAAGGCUAUGAUUUUCUUCUUCAAUAGGUUCUAUUUCGGCAUCAGCCUGGGGUCAUUGUUUGCGGUGAUUGUGCUGGUGUAUAUACAAGACAAUGUAGGAAGAGGGUGGGGAUACGGGAUUUCAGCAGUAACAAUGGUGAUUGCGGUAGUGGUUUUGAUUUGUGGGACUCCAUGGUACAGGUUCAAAAAGCCUCAGGGGAGCCCUUUAACUGUCGUAUGGAGGGUUCUAUUAUUGGCAUUGAAGAAGAAAAAUCAGCCUUAUCCUUCCCACCCUAGCCUCUUGAACGAUUACGAUAACCGAAAGGUUCCCUACACGCCAAGAUUCAAGUAAGUCUGAUCCCAUUUGGUUUUCAUGCCACAUCUUUCUUUUCACAACUGUUGCAAAUUGCAGAGUUUUGGUUUGAUUUUCACUUGCAUCAGAUUCAAAACCCAAGCUUAAAUUUCAUUUUUUUUUCGCAAAACUUUGCUCUGAUUCAAGAACAUUAAACCAUUUUAAUUUUAAAUUGAGCUAGUGUUAAGUUAUUUUUAUACAAAUUGAAGGAUUUUGCUUCAUUGUCAGUUCAUAUGUUGCUCCAACCCCCAUAUGAUUAGAUAUGGGUUUGAGGAUCAAACCUUCCAAGUAGAUUAUUAAAAAAUAAAAAUAAACGCAUCUAUAUAAACAGAUAAUCUAACAUCGUAGCCCAAUAUGCGUAACAUAGUUCAUACACAACAGAUAUUAAAAAGAAAAAUAAAUGGUAAAAGGUAGGGCCCCGCAAAAAAAAAAAAGGCAGGGAAAGGAAAUCUUCCAACUUGAUCAUGAAAUGCAACUAAAAUCAGAUAUCUGACCCUUUCCCAUCAGUGUCUAUCCAUUCAUUUUACCUUAAAACAACUCCCUGCUCCUAACAGCUUCUUUUGGUUCAUGCUGAAGAUAUUCUACCUAAUUUUUAGAUUUAUGCAUUAGUAGAAAGAGGAGAAUCUGUUCCAAGUUUCCCUGACCAUGUUUGCAUCAAGAGCCAAAAGAAUUAAUUGACUAAUUACAUAUUUGCCAGAAAAGUAACCAAAUUUGAUUUCAACGUGCUUGUGAUGACUAGGUUUCUGGACAAGGCUGCAAUCCUAGACGACAACUGUGCUGCCAACGCAGAAAAAAAUAACCCAUGGCUAGUAUCAACUGUGACCCAUGUGGAAGAAGUAAAAAUGGUGAUUAAAUUACUCCCCAUUUGGUCUACGUGUAUACUCUUCUGGACAAACUACUCCCAGAUGACCACGUUUACAGUUGAGCAAGCCACCAUCAUGCACCGCAAAAUUGGUUCUUUCGUAAUCCCCGCAGGAUCUUUCUCCGCUUUUCUCAUCAUCAGCAUUCUCCUCUUCACUUCCCUAAAUGAAAAACUUUUCGUUCCCUUGGCUCGAAAAAUCACCCAUAAUCCUCAGGGAAUCACUAGCCUCCAGAGGAUUGGGAUUGGACUAGUUUUUUCGGUAGCUGCUAUGGUAGGGGCUGCUAUUAUUGAGAAAGAAAGGAGGGAAAUUGCUGUAGAGAAAGAAGUCAAAAUAAGUGCUUUUUGGCUACUUGUUCAGUUCUUCCUUGUUGGUGCUGGGGAGGCUUUUGCUUAUGUUGGACAACUUGAGUUCUUUAUUAGAGAGGCACCAGACCGGAUGAAAUCCAUGAGCACAGGGCUUUUCCUGAGCACCAUUUCAAUGGGGUUCUUUGUGAGCAGUUUGCUGGUGUCUAUCGUCGACCAUGUAACCAACAGGAACUGGCUUAGGAAUAAUUUGAAUAAAGGAAAGUUAAAUAACUUCUAUUGGUUACUUGCAGUCUUAGGAUUCUUGAAUUUCUUGGUUUUUCUGAUCUUUGCAUCAAGACAUCAGUACAAGAUGCAGCUGCCUAUAGAGCCCGAGUCUGGAGAGAAGGAACUUAAGGGCUUGAAUGGCGAAACCAUACAAGACAUGGAGAAGAAAGCAAGUCUUCAGGCAGUGGGAGAAGUAGAACCAUAGCCUAUGUGUACCUUUAAAGGUUGUAUGAGUCGUUGGACUGAUAUAGUAUACUCGUUAUUUUGGCUUGUUAAAAGGAAGAGGCUCAUAUCUAUCUGUCAUGGGUAAUUUGUAAGGUGAUUAUUCCAUUGUUCUUUCUUAUACUUCUUAUCAAGCUGUGCAACAUUAUAGGGGACACUUUUACUUAUCUUGCUCAAUAAAGUCGUGUUUAAUUAGAUCUGAUCUUCAUUUGUGCUCCCACAAAUCUAGAGUUGGAUGACACAUCAUGCAUCCACUGUUUGUGACUUCAACGAUCAAUCAGACAUAUUGCAUUUAACUGCCUAGUAGCCAUAGUGAAGCAACUUAUGAAUGUAUAUGUAGAAGGAUUCCCCGUUCAGAACCAGUUGAUGAGUUUAAGAAUGUCGGGUUUGAGGAAAUUUCAACCGAAGAGUGAGUCUUUAAUGCCAAUACAUCGAGGAAACAUAGCACAGAACAAGUGUUGGACGAAACACAAUAAGGAAGUUGAAAGCUGACCCCUAAAGAAUCCCAUAAAUUGUUAAAAAGGGUCAUCAAGUAGGUCUAGGUGGUUAUGACCUAUAGGGAAACAUAUAACCACGUAAUAUGAUCCUCCAUAUCCGACCAAACACAUCCACUUUGUAUUAAUUUAAUAACCCUUUUCUUAGUACAUUUGAACCCUUGUUGGAUCGAGUUUCAAAGUCCUCUCCUAUCCAUAAAUAGGGGUGUAAAUGAAUCAGGCUCAAACGAACAAGACUUGUUCGUGUUCAUUUGUUUAUUUUUGAAGUUAUUCGUGUUCGGUUCGUGUUCGUUUAAAUUUUUAAUCAAACUCGAUUCGUAUAUUAUUUGUUGUGUUCGGGCUCAAUUCAUUUAGCGAUCGCGAACAUAUUCAUUUAACGAUCGCAAACAUGUUUGCUUAUAUGUUCGCAAACAUGUUCGUUUAUAUAUAUAUUUCCUAUUGAUAAUAUUUUACAACCAGAUCCUAGUAACUUCUACAAAAAGCUAUGGAACUCACAUAUACCUCCGAAAAUAAAAACUACAAUUUGGAGGCUAUCAUGGAAUUAUAUGCCUACUUUAGCUAAUCUAAGGUACAAAAGAAUAGCAGUGAAUACUCAAUGUCCGAGGUGUUGUACUUCUGUGGACGACUCUAUCCAUACAUUUCGGGACUGCCUUCUUACAAUGAAGACAUGGGUCAGUUUGAAUCUCUCAUGGAUAUUAAAUAAUUUGGAUAGUAACUCUUGGGACUGGAUUACCUAGGUUUUUUGAAUUGCCACCAGUGAGCAAUGUAGGCUUUUUUGUUGUGAUCUAUAGGCACUCUGGAUGAGUAGAAAUCGCCUCGUGCAUGAAAGGAAAAAUAUGUCGAGAAAGGAGAUAUCAAACUGGACCAUUAUUUACUGAAGAGAACUAGAUGGUUUAGAAAAGAAAACUCUUACUCGUAGGAUUGUUCAUGAGAUGUGGGAACCCCCUUGCGAUCCAUUCAUUAAGAUCAACUUCGAUGGGCCUUUUAAACCCUAUCAGGAAAGAUCCGGUUUCGAGGUGGUGGCAAGGAACUCAUUAGGGGAAAUCUUGGCUUCUAUGACCAUAUGCCACAAAGCAAUUUCUUCUUCGUUUGUUACGGAGGCUCAGGUGUGCGUCUAGACGUUGCAAUUAGGCCUGGUUGGGACUAGAAUGUGCGACGAUCGAGGACGACUCCUUGACUACAAUCAAGAAAGCUAAAUUGGUUAGUAAAGAUAAAUCGAAGAUCGGGGCUAUUGUCAUAAAUAUUCAAUAGUACAAAGAACGCUUUCAACAGAUUAACUUUCGGCACAUUUCAAGAUCGGGCAACUCCCUUGCUCAUUAUUUGGCUAAAGCAAGUCUGAAAAAAGGGAAAAAUAUUUACCUAGUAGGUGGCGUUCCGAACUACGUUCAACAGGCGGAGGAGCGGAGAAGACAAUGGACCUCGGAAUGAUUUGGAAAGGGGAGAGUUUUCUGGAAAGCAAAGGAUAGCAGACAAACGUUUUGGGCGAUUUCUUUUUGGAAACUGCUCUCUUCCCUUGUUAUCUGGCCAGAGCAUUAAAUGCGCUUUAAUGAUGUUUGAUGGAGGCCAGUUGCCAGUUGACUAGAUAGAUUGAGUCGUUUCAAUUUUUUUUUGUUUAGCUUUUUGAACUACCUUUUUAUUUUUUAGUUUUUAUAUUCUAUCCAAUCCAGCAUUGCAGUCAAACAAAAAUAGAUGGAGAAUUGUUUUAAUAUUUUAUAAGAAAAUAUCAUUAAUAAAUACAUAAGUUAUAAACGAGUUAAUAAACGAGUUUUGAAACGAGUUUGUUUGAGAACAUAAAUGAACAGAACACACCUCUAUUCGUGUUCGUUCGUUUAUUAAAUGAACAUAAAAAUUUUGUUCAUAUUAGUUUAUUUAGCUUAAUAAACGAAUAUAAACGAACGUUAUACAAACUGUUCACAAACAAUUCAUCGAUCGUUCUGUUCAUUUACACCCCUAUCCAUAAAUCCCAAUUCUUUUCACCUUGGGAUUCGAACUUAAACUUUUGCUUGUUCAAGUUGUAUAGUCAAUUGCAUUUCACUUUACAACCAAUUGUGGUGCAACUUAGUAUGUGUUGGCAUAUUUAAACACAAAUUGCAUGAAAUUUUUGUAUAUUUUGUUGUGGAUUUUAAGAAGUAAUUAUAUGCAUUUGAUCUUGUUGAAUAUUAGUCAAGUAAGGAUUUUGUUUGACAAGUUUAUUUGUAAUCGAGUUACUAUAUAUGAUGAUAUUUAGUUCUUAUAAAAGUUUGAUCUAUGAAUCUAUCUACUUAAGUGAUGCCAUAUAGAAGUCCAAUUAAAGCAUAAUUUCUUGGGCAUACAUCAUUCACACUAGUUUGAAGAUUUACAUGCCUAUAAUGCCUAUUUAAAGAAUUUUUGUUUACUUGAUUAUGUACGAAUUGAAGAAGGUACAAAUUUAAUUCGUCUUAGGAACUUGUUUCAAUGGGAUAAUUUUAGCAGGGAAAGUGAUCUUAGUUUAUGUAUAGAAGUGAUGUUGCAACUUAGUGAAUGAGUUGAACUUCAGUCAUAUCUUAUACUAUUGAUACAUAGUAGAUUACUCUUGUAACGCCCAAAUUUCUGUAAUUUCGGCUUUUGUGGUUGUUGAGCAUGGAAAUAUCAAAACUUUUGUUUUGAUUCUUUUUGGUAUAUAUAUAUGUGGUUUAAGAGGUUAUGUACUUUGGGGUGUGUUUGGGAGGUUCCAAGUUCGAGCUUUAACUUGGGCUAAAAUUUUGGUUUUUUUAAGAAUUAAGCCUGGGUUUUGGUUAACGGGAUUAUAAGAAUUUAUUUGUAAGAAUAUGACAGAAUGGGCCUACUGGUCUGGUGGCUAAGUGGUAUAUUAGUAUGAUAGGGGUCUGGGGUUCGAUUCUCUGCGUGGGAAAAAAGAGGAGUAUUUUACUUCAAAUUUCGGCUAAGAGUUUGAAUUUUAGUAAAAUGCACUCUGAGUAGAGGAGUAGCAGUAGAUUGCAGGGUUAUCUAGUUAGUUUGCGAUUCUUCCCAAAAUCCUCUCUUGCCAAAAUUCUCUGUAAUUCUCCUCCCUACAUUUCUUUUUGUUUUCUUUUUGUCGAAAAUCCCCCUUUUGUGCUGCCGAAAUUUUGCUUCUUUUAACCUUAUCCUCCGUUUACUCUCCUCUGAUUAGUUUUGGCAUGAAUUCGGUGAGUAUGAUUUUGUUAAUUGCGUGGUUCGUUGGGAGAUUGUUUAAGAGGGAUUUUUGUUUGCUGUAUAGGGGAUUAUCAAGGUUCUGUGGAUCUCUAAUCGGGGUUCUAAGAAGCAAAGAAUCAACGUUAUUCGUUGAAGGUAAGUGGAACUCGCAUUUUAGGAUUUACCUAUUCUUAAUAAAUCAUUGAAGUGAUCGAUUUUGGUCUCGAGUUUGUUAAUAAUAGGUUCUGGAGUGCUCAGGAUUGCGUUAGCUUCAAAACGAUACCAGGUGUGUACUCCAAUCGAUCUGAAAUCGCGUUUUGGAAAAAGUCGAAAACGCUACUGUUAAUGCUACACGAGCGUGUGGACCGCCCGUGUGGAGGCCGUGUGGUGAUACACGACCGUGUGUUCAACGAGCCAGACCAUGCGCGUGCAAUACAGGUGCGACGGACACGGGCGUAUGAUGGCUUGUAAGCCGUGUGCGAGGUACGGACUUAGCCACACGGGCCGUUAGCAUGAUUAUUUGAUCUAUUCUGUUCUAUAAAUAAAGGUAUGAUCUGUUUUUCUACAUUAUAGCAUGCCAUGCUUGUAUGAUGCAUUGCAUCGGGGUGGGUUUGACGAAGUAAAGGGAGUACAUGAAGGGCUUUAUAAGCUCGUUAUCUGUCAGCUAAGCUGCAUACUUAUGAUAUGUGUUGCGGUGCGGUACUUUAUGGUAUGUAGGGUUGGAUGGGUCGAUUAUAUCCCCAUAUACGAUGUGUAGGGAUGGGUGGGUCAAUUUUAUCCCCACAUGGUGUGUUGGGUUGGACAGAAAUGGUGUGCAGGGUUAGUGGGCAUGAUAUUUCUGAUAUCUGAUCUGCUAUGCAUGCUAUAUCUGUAUGACUGAGGCCGAAUAACUGUAUUCCGUUAUCUGUUUGUAUGCAUGUUAUUUGUUGGGAUGUACACACUAAGUUGCGAAAACUCACCUCUUUAUUUAUUUAUCUGUUCAAGAAAUCCCCAGCAUUAGAUGGACCACUGUGACAGAGAGCUCGAUAGUGACCACUGGUAGACAUUUACGGAUUUUUUAGUAACACUUUAUUUUGUCUGCUUUAUUUAAAUAUUUAUUUUGGGUUUAUUUUGGGAAUUUUAAAUUGUUAAAGUAUUGAUUUAUGAAUUAAUGAUGUUGUAGCUUCCACGUUAAUGAAAUGUUUUCACUUAAUAUUUGGAAUAGAGAUUUCACGACUUAAGUAAAAAUAACAAAUUGGACGAUUUUUAACUUGCUAAGGUUUAUCUAAAAAGAACUCACAUGUGACACCGCUAGAUUCGGGCAUAGCGUCUAGGCCGGGUUUAAGGUUGUUACAUUUAGUGGUAUCAGAGUCAGGUUCAAAAUUGGCUGUGAAUUUUGGGUUUCAAAAUUUGGUUUGAAGAAAAUAAUUUGUGAAAUGAUUUGAAAUAUUUUGUAAGUGGUACACCGAGCCUCCAGCACUAAUCCUGUAAGUUCUUUAAAACUCUGAUAUGUAUUGUUUGAGAGCAUGCUUAUACUGAAAUUUUGUCUGUAUCUGUCUGAAAUACUGUUUAUGUGUUAUGAAACACUUUAGGUAGUGUAAACUAAAAACCGUAGUUAGCUUACUACUCGUGAUAACUGACUCUGAAACUCUAUUACUAUAUUUCAUAAAAUAUUUGUUAACAAAUAUCGAAACUAUAAACUGAUUGCAUAAAAUUUCUAAAACAGAUUAAUCUGAAAUUACAAUAAGCAUACAUGGUACUCGUGGACGAGGUACUAGAGGCCGAGGUAGAGAUCGUAGAGGGAUUCAAGUUGAGUCUUUCGCAUCUAAUACGAUCCCUAAACUGGACACUGGCGAGACACCGGUGUCACCUGUUACUGAGACUAGUGCUGAGUUUCAAGAUCGUACAGCUGGGGACAACGUAUUGUCUCAGGCCAUGCUAUGAAUCCUGGAGAAGGUCGCUGGGGCUAAUGCUGGAUCUGGAGGCCGUGGGUCGGUUACGGAACGACUUCGGUCCAAUGGGGCUGAGGUAUUUAGGGGCAUCACUGGAGUUGCUUCUAAUGUGGUUGAGUACUAGAUAGAGGCCACAGAAGCGUAUUAUGGAUGAUCUGGAUUUUACUACCGAGCAGAAGCUCAAGGGGGUUGUCUUGUUGCUUCGCGAUGAAGCAUAUCAAUGAUGGCUGACAGCUAGGGAUGACACUCAGUCUGACAGUCUGUCAUGGGAUUUGUUUAAGAUGGCUUUCCAGAGCAAAUAUGUGGGGUUCAGUUAUAUCGACGCUAGGCGACGUGAGUUCCUAAAUCUUACUCAGGGAGAUCGUCCGGUGGCCGAGUAUGAGGCCGAAUUUCUGAGGCUGAGCCGUUAUGCACGACGCAUGGUGGCGACUGAGUAUGAGCGUUGUAUCCAUUUUGAAGACGGUCUAAGGGAUAACUUGAGGGUCCUGAUAGCUCCGCAGAGGGAGCGUAAGUUUGUUGUGUUGGUCGAGAAGGCCAAGAUUGCGGAGGAGGUUAAGCGCGCUGAACACCAGAACUGUGAUAGAGGGAAGGCUAAGAGGGAUGUAGAAUCUUCGAAUGUUGGGGUGAGGUCUAGGAAAAAGGCCAGAUCUAAUGGACCCGUAAAAGUUGGGCCUACUGUUACACCUGUCGGAGUGGCGAUUUGUCAGCUUUGUAAUAGACGCCAUCCAGGCGAGUGUUGGAGGUCUACUGGAGCUUGUCUUAGAUGUGGAUCAUUUGAGCAUUGUGUUAAGGACUAUCCAUUGAGGACUAAUCAGAUGCAAGCUCUGGCUACUGAGACUGCAUAGCCGCUGAGGGGAGUUAAGCAGCCACCUAGGGGUCAAGGUCAGGCUAGGGGUGAUAAAAGUAUGGGCCGAGGAUAGGGAGCACCGGGCAGAAGUGCUGGGCCGACUAAGGGGAGGCAACCUGCACUUGUCUAUACUGUACGUUAUCGUGAGGAUGGAGUUCCAAACGUCAUCACGGGUACGUUCUUAAUCCUUAACAUACAUUAUGUUGCACUGAUAGACAUAGGCUCUACACAUUCCUACGUAGCAUAUUCUGUGUCUGAGACUUUAGAAUAUCGUAUGAGAGCAUUUCUAAUGAUAUUUUAGUGGUGAGCUCGUUGGGUCAGUCUAUUAGGGUUAGUAAACUAUUCAGAGACGUUCCGUUGGAAGUCCAAGAAACGAUAUUUCUGGCUAAUCUGAUGGAACUUCCGUUUGGGGAGUUUGACUUAAUUCUGGGAAUGGACUGGCCAGUGAAGCAUCGUGUAAGUCUGGAUUAUGCUGAAAAGAUGGUGGUUUUGAGGACCGAGGAGGAUAAUGAGAUAAUCGUGGUUGUAGAAUGACAGAAUUAUCUAAGUAAUGUGAUAUUUGCAUUAGUGGCAGAGAAACUGGUGAAGAAAGGAUGUGAGGUGUUUUUGGCCUGCAUCAGUGUCUCAGAUUCUAUAGACUUAUCGGUUAAGGGCAUCCGUGCUGUGAAGGACUUCCAGAUGUUUUUUUAGAAGAAUUACCAAGACUGAGCCGUCAGGUAGAAUUUGGGAUUGAGUUGAUUCCUGGUACAGCUCCGAUGUCUAUCGCCCCUUACCGAAUGGCACCGAAGGAGCUGGUGAAACUGAAGGCUCAAAUUCAGGAGCUAUUGGAUCGUUGGUUUAUUCGUCCCAGUGUUUCUCUGUGGGGAGCACCUGUUCUGUUAGUUAAAAAGAAGGACGGUACAAUGAGGAUGUGUAUCGACUACUGUCAAUUGAACAAGUUGAUGAUUAAGAAUAAGUACCCACUUCCGAGGAUUGAUGACCUAUUCAGUUAGUUCAGAGGGGCUUCAGUGUUUUCCAAAAUCAAUCUGUAGUCAGGUUAUCAUCAAUUGAGGGUAAAGGAGGCUGAUGUGCAUAAGAUGACAUUUAGGACUCGUUAUAGGCAUUACGAGUUUCUAGCCAUGCCUUUUGGGUUGUCUAAUGCACCAGCGGCAUUUAUGGACUUGAUGAACCAUGUGUUUCAGCCCUACUUGGAUCAGUUUGUGGUGGUGUUCAUCAAUGACAUUUUGGUGUAUUCUAAGUCUGAGGACGAGCACGAUGAGUAUUUAAGAAUGGUUCUACAGAUCCUUCGUGAGAAACAGUUAUAUGUAAAGUUCACGAAGUGUGAGUUCUAGCUCAGGGAGGUAACCUUUUUAGGGUAUAUGGUUUCUACUGAGGGGAUUCAAUAGAUCCUCGUAAGAUUGAGGCUAUGAUGGAUUGGAAAUAGCCGAAGAAUGUGGCAGAGAUCCAUAAUUUUCUAGGACUGGCAGGAUAUUAUCGAUAUUUCGUAGAAGGGUUCUCGUUGACCGCAGCGCCGUUGACUAAGUUGUUACGCAAAUGAGUUCCUUUUGUUUAGACUGACGCGCAGCAGGAGAGCUUCGUGAAGCUCAGAACAGUUUUGACUCAGGCUCCAGUUCUGAUACAGCCUGAGCCUAGUAAGGACUUCUUAGUUUAUAGUAAUGCGUCACAUGUGGGUUUGGGUUGCGUCUUGAUGCAAGAUGGUAAGGUAGUUGCCUAUGCAUCUCAACAGCUUAAGACUCACGAGGCUAAUUAUCCGAUGCAUGAUUUGGAGUUGGCAGCAGUUUCCUUUGCAUUGAAGAUUUAAAGGCACUAUCUGUACAGUGAGAAGUGUACCAUCUACACUGAUCACAAGAGCCUCAAGUAUCUCCUCACUCAGAAGGAGUUAAAUCUUAGGCAGCGUCGGUGGUUUAAGCUGCUCAAAGACUACGACUGCAGUAUUGAGUAUCACCCUGGUAAGGCCAAUGUGGUGGCUGAUGUGUUAAGCCGUAGGGCUAUGACCGAUCUGAGAGCGAUGUUCACUCGAUUGAGCCUUUUUGACGAUUGGAGUCUCCUGGCUGAGUUGCAGGUUAAACUGACAUGGCUAGUUCAAAUUAAAGAUAAGCAGUUAGGAGAUGAGUCUCUUCAGUUGCGAUUUCAUCAAGUUCAGACUAGGACUACUAUUGAUUUUGGGAUUAACAGUGAUGGAGUACUGUGUUUCCAAGGUAGGAUCUGUGUACCUAAUGAUGAGGAUUUGCAACUGUCGAUUUUGAGGGAAGCGCAUAGCAGUCCGUACGCUAUACAUCUUGGUGGGAAUAAGAUGUAUAAAGAUCUCCGAGAGUUGUACUGGUGGCCAGGGUUGAAGCGUGAGGUGACCAAUUUCGUUACUCGCUGUCUGACUUGUCAGCAGGUUAAGGCUGAGCAUUAGUUACUUUCGGGAUUGCUGCAACCGGUUAAGAUACCGAUGUAGAAAUAGAAGCGUGUAAUGAUGGACUUCGUUAGUGGGUUGCCUCUAACACCCACUAAGAAGGAUUCUGUUUAGGUCAUCGUGGAUCAAUUGAUCAAGACCGCAUAUUUCAUUCCUUUUAGGACAAACUUCUCUCCACAGAAAUUGGCCAUGCUGUACAUUUCUGAGAUAGUGAGGCUGCAUGGGGUACCUGUGUCGAUCAUUUCCGAUAGGGAUCCCCGUUUUACGUCUCGGUUUUGGUAGAAACUUCAUGAGGCUUUGGGUUUUCGUCUUGAUUUCAGUACUGCAUUUCAUCCUCAGAAAGAUGGUCAGUCGGAGAGGGUGAUUCAGAUACUAGAGAACAUGUUAAGGGGCUGUACUAUCGAUCUUCGAGGCAGUUGGGAGGAGUACUUGCCUCUAGCGGAGUUCGCUUACAACAAUAGUUAUCAGUCUAGUAUACAGAUGACACCUUAUGAGACACUUUAUGGUCAUAAGUGUCGCACUCAUUUGUGCUGGACUGAGUUGGGUGAGCAACGUGUUCUAGGUCCGGAUUUAGUAUCAGAAACUAAGGAUAAAGUCCGUUUGAUUCGAGAAUGUAUGAAAUCGGUUUCUGAUAGACAAAAGUCCUAUGCUGAUCUGAAGAGAAAGGACAUCGAGUAUUCUGUGGGGGACAUGGUUUUCCUUAGGGUCUCGCCAUGGAAAAAGGUUCUAAGAUUCGGUCGCAAGGGUAAGCUGAGCCCUCAGUUUAUUGAGCCGUACCAGAUUCUGAAGCAAGUGAGGCUAGUCGCAUAUCAGUUAAAGCUACCUCUAGAGUUAGAUUGUAUACAUGACGUGUUCCAUGUCUCGAUGUUGAGACGCUACCACUCUGAUCCUACGUACAUUAUGCCCAUGGAGGAGAUUGAGAUUAGACCGGAUCUGAAGUUUCUAGAUCGCGACGUUAGGGUCUUACGUAGGAAGUCUAUUCCCUUGGUGAAGGUGCUGUGGCGGAAUUAUAGAAUUGAGGAGGCUACUUGGGAGCCAGAGAUUCGAUGCGACAUCAGUAUUCUCACCUUUUCUGAUCAGGUAAAAUUCGAGGACAAAUUUUCUUUUAGGGGGUAGAGUUGUAACGCCCCAAAUUUCUGUAAUUUCGGCUUUUGUGGCUGUUGAGCAUGGAGAUAUCGAAACUUUUGUUUUGAUUCUUUUUGGUAUAUAUAUAUGUGGUUUAAGAGGUUAUGUGCUUUGGAUGUGUUCGGGAGGUCCCAAGUUUGAGCCUUAACUUCAGCUAAAAUUUUGGUUUUUAUAAGAAUUAAGCCUGGGUUUUGGUUAACGGGUUUAUAAGAAUUUAUUUGUAAGAAUAUGACAGAAUGGGCCUACUAGUCUGGUGGCUAAGUGGUGUAUUGGUAUGAUGGGGGUUUGGGGUUCGAUUCUCUGCGUGGGAAAAAUGAGAAGUAUUUUGCUGCAAAUUUCGGCUAAGAGUUUGAAUUUUAGUAAACUGCUGAGUAGAGGAGUAGUAGGAGAUUGUAGGGUUAUCUACUUAGUUUGUGAUUCUUCCCAAAAUCCUCUCCUACCGAAAUUCUUUGCAAUUCUCCUCUCCACCUUUCUUUUUGUUUCCUUUUUGCCAAAAAUCCCCCUUUUGUGCUGUUAAAAUUUUGCUUCUUUUAACCUUCUCCUCCAUUUCCUCUCCUCCGAUUAGUUUUGGCGCGAAUUCGGUGAGUAUAAUUUUGUUAAUUGCGUGGUUCAUUGGGAGAUUAUUUAAGAGGGAUUUUUGUUUGCUGUAUAGGGGAUUAUCAAGGUUCUGUGAAUCUUUAAUUGGGGUUCUAAGAAGCAAAGAAUCGUCAUUAUUCGUUGAAGGCAAGUGGAACUCGCGUUUUGGGACUUGUCUAUUCUUAGUAAAUCAUUCAAGUGAUCAAUUUUGGUCUCGGGUUUGUUAAUAAUAGGUUCUGGAGUGCUCGGGAUUGAGUUAGCUUCGAAACGAUACCAAGUGUGUACUCCAAUCGAUCUGAAAUUGUGUUUCUGCGAAAGUCAAAAACGCUACUGUCAACGUCACACGGGCGUGUGAACUGCCCGUGUGGAGGCCGUGUGGCUACACACGGUCGUGUGUUCGACGAUCCAGACCGUGCGCGUGCCACACGGGUGCGACAGACACAGUCGUGUGAUAGCUUGUAGGCCGUGUGCGAGGCACGGGCUCAGGCAAACGGGUCGUGUGGGCCACACGGGUGAACCAGACGGGCGUGUAAGAAUCUAGGCCAAGCCGUGUGAUCCACACAGGCAAGGCCAAUUUGGGCCGUGUGAACCACACGGGCGUGUGGGCCCAUACGAGCAAGGCACACAAGCGUGUGAGACUCUUUAAUCUGAAAUGUUCUGUAAGGUUGCACGGGUCGCCCAAGUCGACUGUGACCUGUAGUAGGGUCGGUAAGCCUUAUUUAGACUCUUAAUUCUGUGAUGUAUGGGUAUGAAUGAUAUACUUAGCAUGAUUAUUUGAUCUGUUCUGUUCUGUAAAUAAAGGUAUGAUCUGUAACACCCCGAAUUUGGGCCUAGAAGUAUUGGGCCUUGAGUGGGGGUCCGUAAGGAGGUUGUAUAUAGGUAUUUAAUUGUGCAAUGAAAUGAAACAAUUAAAUGUUUGCUUUAGUGGUUAAUGGCUUUGAGAAGUGUUGGAGAAAUCUUGGGUUCAAACUUGGGCUUUAGUAAAAAUUUUGGUAUUAAGUGAAAAAAACCUGGAUGCUAAGAUGAGGGCCUUUUAAAUUAUUGUUUUAAAUAAAUGACAUAAGGGAACAUGUGGUCUAGUGGAAGUGGCGUAAUUAAGGUUGUAUGGGAGCCUGGGUUCAAGCCUUGGCUCUUGCAAUUUAUUCUGUUUUUUUUAAGGGAACCUAGACUUUGGCCUUUAGACCUUAUAAUUAAUUGGGGAUAAAAUAUGACACAAAAAGAGCCUGUGGUGAAGUGGUAAGGUGGCGUUAUAAAGUUGGCAAGGAGGUCUAGGGUUCGAAACUCAUGGCAAGCAAGGAGCAUUUAUUUUGCUAACAGGGGGCGGCAAGAGUUGGUGUUGAAUUUAAACUCUGAUGUUGGAAGGAUCCCACAUCGGGAAGCUAACAUAAGAGUGGAUGCGAAGCUGGCUUUAAAUAGAGAGAACCAUAAGGAGAGUAAAGGUACCUUUCUUGGUUGAUCCCUUUCACUGUAUGGCGUGCUCGUUUGGGUUGGGCGUCGGCUAAGAGUGCUCGGAGCGUGGAUUAACUCCAGUCUCCAAUCUGGUGUGUAUUUUCUCACUAGGAUGGCUACUUCGGGCCGCGAUGGGCCGAAAGGGGUCAUGUGAGCUCAAUGGGCCUACGGGCCCAAUUGGAUAAGUUUGUUUGAUUGUGUAGUAAAUAUUGGACUAGGCUAUGUGAAUCUCAUAUUUGUGGCUAGAUUUGGGCUAAAAGGGCCACACGAGCGUGUGGGCCCAUUUGGGCCGAGAAUAGACUUUAGGCCCAUUCGUAUUGUUAUCCCUGUUUAGAAUAUUUUAGUUUACCAAAUUACUGAAAUGCCCUCAAAUUGUAAAAUUACCAAAGUACCCUCGAUUUACAGAAUUACUAUUUUACCCUCGAUUGACAGAAUUACCAUUUUAUCCUCGAUUUAUAGAAUUACCAUUUUACCCUCGAUUUAUAGAAUUACUGUUUUACCCUUAAUUUAUAGAAUUACCGUUUUACCCUCGAUUUACAGAAUUACUGUUUUACCCCUCGAUUUAUAGAAUUACCAUUUUACCCUCGAUUUAUAGAAUUACCAUUUUACCCUCGAUUUAUAGAAUUACCAUUUUACCCUCAAUUUACAAAAUUACCGUUUUACCCUCGAUUUACAGAAUUACUGUUUUACCCUCAAUUUACAAAAUUACUAAAAUACCAUUGGUUUACAAAAUUACCAAAAUACCCUUAGUUUGUAAAAUUACCAAAAUACCACUGGUUUUUGAAAUUACCAAAAUACCCUCAAUUUGUAAAAUUACCAAAAUACCCCUGAUUUACAAAAUUACAGAAAUACCCUAACUUUCUAAAAAUUAUAGAAAUACCAUUGGUUUACAAAAUUACUAAAAUACCCUUGGCUUGUAGAUUUACCAAAACACUCUUGUAGGAUGAAAUGACUAAAAUACCCCUAAUAGGUAAAGAGACCGUAAAGCCCCUGUAAGGUAAAGUGACCGUAAUACCCUUGUAUGGUAAAAUGAUGAAUACGCCCUUACGUUCCAUAUGACUGAUGUGCUUAGGAUUUACAUAUAUUGAUAUUGGAAUAGUUAAGUUUGAGUGACAGGUGGUGGUUAUCGUAGGUGAUUGAUUAUGGAAACGUUUCAACUUCAACCCAUAAUAGGUGUGUACUAACCCUCGUAAUAGCUUAUAUUAAUAUUUACUGAGAAGCCGAAAUGCUAAAAUAUCGGUAUUUCGGGAACUUGUAAUGUUGCGUUUGGGUAUAGAUGCGAUAAAUACGAUAAGAUCGGUGUUUGGAUCGAUGGAACAAGUAAGAACUCAAUUUUGUGCACAAUGGUAAGUUGGGCCUCAAUGGGCUGGAAUUGGGCCCAAUGGGCUUUCGGGCCUAUUUGGGUAAAACUGAUAGAAAAUGGAAUCUAGAAAAGUUGCAUGUUAACACGAUUAGUACUGUUGUAAAAUUUGGAUUAAGCAGGCUUAGUGGGCUAAAUCAGCAUUCGUAGGGCCCAUUAAGGGUUUUGGGCCCAAAAGCCCGAAUUUGAUAAAGUGGGUUAAAGAUCAUUGUUUAAACACUCGGAAAUAUUGACAAUUGUAAUGAACAUGGAAAACCAUGAUAUUUGGUAAAAUUACGAAAAUACCCUUAUAAUAUGAAAAAUGACUAUUUUGCCCUUGUGGGCAAGUGGCUGACUUGGACUGUGUGGUUGACGGAUUUGAUUGUGAAUAUAUGUUGGUGAUAUGAGUUACUUAACUGUGACUGUUUGAUUCAAAUAUGGGCAUGACAUUCUGCAUACAUGACAUAUUGCAUGGGAUAUGGGUUAUAUUGAUGGAGGAAGUGCUAAAAGGGCUUUGCCCCAGUUUACCGAAAAGGGCUCUGCCCCAGUUUAUCAGAAAGGGUUUUGCCCCAGUUAUUAAAAGAGGCUAGCCUCCAGUGAUAUGAUAAAGCAGCUAUGCUGCCAGUGGAGAGUUUGGUUGGGUGGGUUGAGUUGUUCCCCACAUAGAGAGCUUGGUUGGUACGGGUGGAGAGUAGCGGAUGGUGGGUCGAGUACUCCCCAGAUGGGCUUGCAUACAUUCAUUGGUAUUUCAUGUGAUAUUGAAAUGGGCUUGCAUACAUCCAUUGACAUUACAUACGAUAUUGAAAUGGGCCUAAGUGCCAUACCGUUUACAGUAAAGGCUUCGGCCCAGUGAUAUGAUUUAUGAAAAGGCUUCGGCCCAGUGAUAUGAUUUAUGAAAAGGCUUCGGCCCAGUAACUGUUAAACGAAAGGCUUCAGCCUAGUAUAUGUCAAGACUAAAUAGGGAUUUGGCCCAGAUUGUACUGAUACUGUGUUUUCACUGUUUGUUUGUUAUUGGGAUUACACACUGAGUUUUCGUAAACUCACCCCGUUUCUAACUGUGCAGGUAAUCCCUAAGCUUAGAUGGUUUGGAGCUGCGAGGGACUCGGAGAUGGCCACACUACUGUUUCUGUUUCUUUUAAUUGUAAUAAGUAACCAGUUUAUUUUUUUAUAAGUUUUAUCUUAAUUAAUAUUAUUAUUUGGUUUUGGGUUAUAAUAAGACCAUUUUAAUUAUUUUUCUAGGAUUAUUUUAUUUUAUACCUUAUAUUUUACUGAUAACAAUUCAAAAUGGGUUAGACUUAAGGCGCGUUUCCAAAAUGAUAAUUGUUUUCAAAAUAAUGCUAUGAUACAAUUAAUCGGUUUAUCAAAAAUAUCUAUUUAAAUGAAUUCCAACUCGUUUUUCUCAAAACCUAACCUCGCACUAAAGUGUGGAAAUGGUUGUGGGCAUGUCUAGGAUUGGAUCCAAUAAAGAGCUUGGUACUUAAGCAGCCUUCAUGGCUCACCUCCUCUGUUUCGGAUACCUACCUGGUGCACAGCUUCCAUUCACUUUAUUAACUUAGCAAAGACUAUCUUUUAAAACACUAAGAAGGACGUUGAAAGAGGCAUGUUUUCUUAAAUGUGACACGUCGAAUUCGGCCAUAAUGUUUGGGCCAGAUUUGGAGUGUUACAUGAUCUAUUUGUCUGCAUUAUAGCAUGCCAUGCUUGUAUGAUGCAUUGCAUCGGGGUGGGUUUGACGAAGUGAAGGGAGUACCUGAAAAGCUUCAUAAGCCCGUUAUCUGGCAGCUAAGCUGCAUACUUAUGAUAUGUGCUGUGAUGCGGUACUUUAUGGUGUGUAGGGUUGGAUGGGUCGAUUAUAUCCCCAUAUUUCUGAUAUCUGAUCUGUUAUGCAUGCGAUAUCUGUAUGGUUGAGGCCAAAUAACUGUAUUCUGUUAUCUGUUUGUAUGCAUGUUGUUUAUGGGGAUGUACACACUGAGUUGUUAAAACUCACCCCUUUAUUUAUUUAUCUGUUCAUGUAAUCCCCAGUAGUAGAUGGAUCAGUGUGACGGAGGGCUUGAUAGUGACCACUGGUAGACAUUUACAAAUUUUUGAGUAACACUUUAUUUUGUCUGCUUUAUUUAGAUAUUUAUUUUGGGUUUAUUUUGGGGAUUUUAAAUUGUGAAAUUAUUGAUUUAUGAAUUAAUGAUGUUUUAGCUUCCUCAUUAAUGAAAUUUUUUCACUUAAUAUUUGGAAUAGAGAUUUCACGACUUAAAUAAAAAUAACAAAUUAGACGAUUUUUAACUUGCUAAGGUUUAUCUAAAAAGCACUCACAUGUGACGCUGCCAAAUUUGGCCAUAGCGUUGAGGCCGGGUUUGGGGGUGUCACAACUCUCUUGGGAAGGCCUAGAAAGCAUAGGAAAGAUUUCCAAACAGUGUAACUAAAAUCUUAUGGCCAAAAUAAAUAAUGUGUCCUUCUUUACUUUUAUUCUUUCAAUUGCCCAUCCAUCUGCAACUUAACUAAAAAUUGAAAAACUCAUUGAGUGUUUUGGAGAGCCUAAUUUGAUGUAUCAAAUUAUGGCAGAUCACCCUUAAGGCUAAGUUUAGAUUGGUUCACAUGAUCUUUUAAUGCUAUCAUUUAUCACAUUUCAUAUAUAUACAUAAUAUACCAUUUUUCAUUAUCAUUUCAUACUAAAUGUCAUUUAGCAAGUUCAUGUUUUAUAAUCCCUAUUAACGAACACGGAUUCAAGAUAAAUACAUAGAUUAUCCAACUAUUAUACCAAUCUAGCACCUAGUGCCUCAUUGGAAAAUCCAGAGUAUAAUAUACGUUGCGCUCCUUAUCAGUAUAAACCGAAGUAUAUCCCGUACAAUAUUCCUAAUACAUGCCAACUAUAUCUGACUUUGCCCAAGAUAGUUAGUAAGGUAACCAAUGAAUCAAUACAUAUAUGUUCAUAAUCACAUAUCAUGGUUUCACACCAAGUUCGUUUAUAUUAUGCUCAUUUUAAUUCCAUUCUCGACAUUUUAUAUCAUCAUAUACAAACCGAGUCAUGAGACAAGUAAUUAGUUUACCUCAAUAGCUAGCUUGCAACUAUGUAUAUAUAUAUUGAACUUGAAUAAAAAAGUACAAACUGUAUUUUCGUCAUUCGUCUACAACUUUCGUCUUUCCUUUCUCUCAAGAUAGCCCAGUAUCGUCUUUAGCUACAUUCGAUAAUUAAAUUAUAAAAAUAGCAUUAGUUCACAUCCUAAUCACAUUCAAUACAUAAUCAACAUACUUUGCAUUUUAUUCAUUUUAGUCCCUAUAUUCAAAAUACUCAUAUUUUUCCAUAUCUAACUUCGUAUCAAAAUCCAAUUUCAUAUUAUUUCAUUAGGGACCUUCUAUUUUCAUCUAUAGCAUAAUUUCAUGAUAGUUUUCAAUUUAUUCAAUUUAAGCCCUAAUGUCACAAAAUCUUUUAACAAGUUUAACUUAAUUUCUAAUUUAGUCUUUAUCAUAAUCCAAGCUUACUAACUAACAAUCUCUUUGAAUUCAAGCUUAAAUUCAUCAAUUUCAAUAUAAUGCCAACUUGCUAAACAUCUAACAAUUAAAGAAUUUAACGUAUGUGCCAGCUAAAUUAAGCUCCCAUGAUCAGCAAUUUAUAAAAAUUUCAAGAAAAAGACUUGAUUACCUUAGCUAAUUUUGAACCGAAAUUGAAAUAAAAAAUAAGGUUUUUUUGUAAUGACUCGAUAGUCACAGGUAUCAGAAAGUGUAUUUUCGGGUCUCCGUUUUUGAAAAACAAAUUCGUAAAUAUUUAUUAAAAAUAUUUAUGGCGAUUAGUAGUGUAGUUAAUUAGGUUUUGUUUAGGUGAAUUUGUUUAAAUUAAGGUUAAUUAGGUAUAAGGAUUAAAUUGAAUAAAGUGUGAAAGCUUAAUAAUAGAAUAGAGAAAAGUAAAAGGACUAAUUAAGCAAAUAAACCAUAAAAUUUAUAGUUGUAUGGUAAUAGUAAAUUACAUGUAUAACAAUAUUAUACAUAUACUUGUAAUAAUUAUAUAUACUUACUUAUUAUUUAAGAAAAUUAAAAUAUAUUAUUUUAUUUUAUAUUAUAUUAUAUUAUAAAUAAAUAAGUAAUUAAACCAAAUUAUGACGAAUGUAUGGUAAUGGUGAAAUACAUGUGUAAAAAUAAUAAUCAUAUGUAUAUAAUAAUACAUCUAUUUCUUAUUGUAUAAGUAAAAUAUAUAUUAUAUUAUAAUAUAAUAAUAAUAAAAAAGAAAAAGAAAAGGAAAGAACAGAAUUGGGGAACGAAACAGGGGAAAGAAAGAAGAAAAAGAAAGAAAAGAAAAAGAAAAGAGAAAAUUUAGGGUUUUAAGGUGCAAACUCAAAGUGGUAAGUUAAUUUAGUCCAGUUUCUUAAAAUUUUUAUGUUUUUAGAACCCUAAAACAAAAUACUACUUGAUUUAUAUUAAAAUUUUAGAAGUUAGUAAAUUUUUAGAAGUUGUUCAUAUUGAAUAAACUGAAGUGUUAGGGGUUAAAUUGAUAGGAUUUCUAGUUAGAAGUGAAAAAGGGAUUGAAUUGUAAAAUAAAUCAUAAGUUUUGAGUAAUAGGGACUAAAUUGAGAGAAUUUUGAAAUUAGGGUUUAUGGUGAAAUUUGAAGGUUGAAAUUAGUCUAAAGUGGGAGUUGAAUGAAAAUAUGAAAUUAGUUUUAAAUAAAAUAAAGUUAGUUUUGAUUAAGGAUUAAAUUGAAAUGUGAGCAAAAGUUGAAUAAAAUUUUAAAUAUUCAAUGUGGAAUUUUGUGUAUUAAUGAUUUUAAAUUGUUUUAACUUCCGUAGCUAAUGUUGUGCAGGAGACCUCGGCUAAGAAAGGAAAAGACAAGAUUAACGAGGAGUAGCUCGAGAAUUACAAUUUGUAUUUCUAUAAUCCAAAUUUAGAAAUUUUUAUUUGUUGUAUUUUAAAUUAAUGUGUAUGGUAAGUAAUUAAGGUGAGGUUGUUUAUUAUUAUCUUGAUAUUGAAUUGAGAUUAUAUGAAUUUGUGAUUGAUGAAAUUAUUGAUUGGUAUUGAAAUGUGAAUUUUGUGACAAUGGAAUACUGAAUAUUAGUUGUGUCUGAAAAGUGAAUCGGAAACCCUAUUAACUGUAUCAGGCUGAGUCGAAUAUAGUUGGCAUGCUAUAGGAUUGGAAGAUUUUAGGGAUACUUCGACCAUGAGUCGAUGAUACACUGGGUGUCAAAUUAUUACUUCGGAUAAAUUCGAUGAGGUACUGGGUACCAACUUACUUCGGCAUAGCCGAUGAGACACUAGGUGUCAAUCUAUUACUUCGAAUUAUACAAUGAGGCACUGGGUGCCAAAUUGGUGUAUUUUGGUUGAAUCUGUAUGUACGUCUUGUUAAUAAGGGUAAAUGAAUAAUAAAGUCUUACAAUUGAUAUUGAAAUGAAAUGAUAUGACAAAUGGAAGUGAUAUAGUGAAUUGAAAAUAGAAUGUGAAAUAUGUUGACAAUACAUGGAAUAUAUGAGUUAUAUACUCAUGAAUUGAAUAUGGUAUGAAAUGAUGUAUUCAUGAAUUGAGUACUGCAUGACUGAUGCCAUUGUACGAAUAAAUAUGGUUGAUAUGUGAAUAAUCAUUUAUAUAGCAAUUGUGUGAAUUAGGAUAUUGUUUAAUAAAUGAAAAAUGAUAGUUAUGAUAUGAUACUAGACAUUAAUAUGUCUUUAUAAAUUUAAUUGUGCCUUUUAUUUUAUUAUAUAUAUUUUUUAAUUUUUGGAUUAUAGAAAUACCACUGAGUUUUUACUCAGUGUACGGUUUUUUUCCGUGAGCAGAUUAGGUAUAGUGAUUUUGAAAACUUGUAAUCGAGGUUGUGAGCAUUCAUCUCAUCACAUCUCCAAGUGCCAAAAGGGUAUGUUCAAUAUUUUGAAUAGAAUGGCAUGUACUUAGGAAGAUCAAGUAUGUUCCAAGAAGUAGGGACCAAAAUAUAAAUUAUAAUUUUUUUUAAUGUUCAAAUAUAUUAGUGAUUAGCCAAAAUCACAUUGGCACCAAAUGUAAUAUUCCUGUAUUAGGUUCCUUGGGUCGAACUAGAUAUAGGGGUGUUACAUUUUUCUUCUUUUCUUAUUGGUUUGGAUGAUAAAAAUAAGAAUGAAAGAUGAUGUUCUCAUUCCCUUUCCACUUAAUCCCAUAUAAUAUUAUAAUUAAUAACUUAAUUAACAUAAUUAAACUUGAUUAGUUCAUUAAUUAAGGCAUAUUUAUACAUCUUUAAUUAUAAAUUAAAGUUAAGUGGAAAUCAUCAUCAUCAUCCACUAUCUCAUAUUUAAAAAUGGUUAAAUAAUCAUUUUGAUUCUUUAAAUAAUUUUCAAUUAGGUUCUUAAGCAUUUUCUAAAUUAAAACUCAAUAGCGAUUGAACUUUUACAAUUUAGUCUCUAAGCUUUAAUUAAUGAUUUUAUCGGUUAAAUUGCUUAGCUGAUAUUUAAUAUAUAUUCAUACUAACUCUGUAAAUUUUUCUAUUUUAUCAUUACGAACUCUAUUUACGGAAAUGAGAUUCUGAAACCAUAUUUUUUGACAUUAGAAAAUUUUGGGUCAUUACACAAACUUUAGCACUAUAAACAAUUUAUAAUAUAUCAUCUCAGGAUAAAAGUGCAAGGUAUCAUAAUAAUAAGGGGAAGAAUAAGUAUUAUAUUUUUAAUAGACCCAUAGUAUAAAAAUUUUAGAGUGUUAUAAUUACAGGAACACUCUUGAUGAAAUCUACCUAUGUGAGUGAAGUGUGACCACUUUUAAAAGCUUAAGGACUUGGCUCUAGUGGCACUUAUGAUAAGAAAUUACAGGCACACAACCUUAAUAAAUCCUAAUACUUUGCAUUAACAAGUUUUUAAAUCGUUAUGUGAGAUGUGUUCAAAUAAUAAAAUAAAAUAAAUGGUUCAAAACAUAGUUUACCAUACAAUUUUGAUUAACUUAACAUGUUUUCACUAAGUAACAGUUCAACGGUAAGACAAUUUUUAUUUAUGUAAUUGAUAUACAAAAUGAUCAAAAUCUAAAAUAUUUUGAAAAUUGAGCAUUUCCAAAAUAUAUAAUCCAUUGAUGUUAAGGUUUAGUAAUUAAAGGGAUUAGACCAACACUCUUAUCUUCAAAAGAAUGACUUCUAUUAUGAAAUGGAUUGUAAUUUCAUAACGUAUAGUUAAUAAAAUUACUUUAUUAACAUCCCACUAAAACGUAGCAAUGAAGAAGAUAAAUAAAUAAAGAUAUAAUGGAUUUGGUAGGAUCUAGAUUUAAGGCUUUCUCUUGCAUUAACGAUGAAGAAGCAGAAAGUGAAGUGGCUAAAGAAGGGAAAUUGCCUGCUAAUUUUCAAAAAGGUGAGGUUUUGGAAAAUCUCAAACGGGGAAACUUAAAAGGAAAAAAAAAGGUGAAUGGUGGAUCCCUUGGGAUGAAUAAGGAAUCCUUCAAAAUAUUGGACCGAAUAAAUGAAAAUGGGUUUAGGGAAAAUUUAAAUGGUGCAGCCAUGGAUGAAAGUAAGCCUGGUAUAAAUAAAAAUAGGUCAGCUUUAGAGGAAAUGGGAUUGGCAUCAGCAGCCCAUAUUGUUGAGUUUCCCAAAAGGCCUUUGGAAAUCACUAGCAGGCCGCAAGUCCAAUUUGAACAAAAUCAUUUGGGGGUAGUUGAUUCAAGCGAUUCAUCUGGAAGGAAAGAGCAGCUAGUGACACCCACGCAUAUGGGUGAAGAUGAUGCCAAUUUUAUUUUUCUAGGUGCACUCCAAUUUAACACUACCUCACAUUUUAAUCCCACUUUUGAAGGGCCAGUGGAGUUGGUCAUUGAGUUAUCUACAAGGGUCUUGGAUUUGGGAAGGAACUUGACUAUUUAUUUUAAAGAAAACUCUAACCCAAAGCAUAGUGAUUCUCCAAUGGGUGAGAGGUUUAGAGGUACAGGCAAUAGGCAAGUGGCACUCAAAGGGUAUUAUUCCAAAAACAAAAACAAUCCUAACUAUAAUGGUAGGUCUUUCAAUAAAACCAUACAAGAGCGUGUGAGUCAUUUUAAACUCGCAAUCAAUUCUAGGGUCCCACUGCCAGAAACGAUGAACUCGAUGGCCAAACUUAUUAAUAUCAAAUUCAAUCUGAAGUGGGUAAAAGGGAAAAGGUCACUGAUGUAAGCAUUGUGGGGCGUUGGCUCUUUCAGGCAAAUAGUGGUUAGUACUUCCAUUUGUUUUUUUAAUAUUCUAUUAUUAUGAGUUUUUCCAUUUUUGCAUGGCAUUGUCAAGGGUGUGACAAUAUUAAAUUUUCACGUAUUUUUCGUGAGUAUAAAUAGGAGUUGAAGCUAGAUAUUAUGGGACUUAAUGAAAUGAGAGUCAGUAGAGGUAAAACAGACUCAAUCAUUGCAAAAGUUGGGUUCCAAUUUUCUUAUCGUGUAGAGCCAAUUGGGUUUUUUAGGAGGAAUCUGAAAUGGUUGGAAAGAAUCAUUAUGUGUUGAGGUUAUAAUAAAUCACCCCCAAUUCAUUUUCUCAAAGGUAUUCGAUAACUUCUUUUGACAUCCAGUCUUAAUAGCAUUUGUCUAUGGCAUCCCUGACAGACAGAAGUGGAAGCUCUUUUGGGAAGGAUUGAAAUAGACUAUUCAGAGUAAAAAGAUUCCCUAGCUUGCAAUCGAAGAUUUCAAUGCUAUUCUUUUGUGUGAUGAGAAGAGGGGAGGGUGAGUUGUAGGAAGGAGAUGUUCCUUAUUUGGUGAGUUUUUGGAAUCAACCGAACUUAAUGAUUUAAGAUUUAAAGGACUAGCAUUUACUUGGCAUUGAGGUAGGGUUGUGGAGAGAUUAGAUAAAACUAUUUGUAAUGAAUCAUAGGUUACUGCUUUUACUAAUAGUCGGGUGACUCAUCUUUUGAGACUCAAGUCUAACCACAUGCCUUUUUUCUUUCUCCUAAACUAGAGGUUUACCUUCUCUGAGGGCGUCUUUUCAAAUUCUUGGCUAGUUGGAUCGAGUAUAUGAAAUUCCUAAAUUUUGUUAAGGAAAAUUGGAUUUACAAUGGUAGUAUGGCAGAAUCGCUCGCUUGUUUCACUUCUAAUAUCAGGGUUUGGAACAAGGAUAUGUUCAGACAAAUUUUCACUCAGAAAAAAUGUUGACCCAGAGGCUAGCGGGUAUUCAUCGGGAGUUAGAUCAAGUACAUUCAGAUCAUCUUUCGCAAUUAGAAAUGGAGAUGCGUAAAGAGUUGGAAAUCAUCUUACACCAUGAGGAACAUCUUUGGAAGUAGAAGUCUAGAUAUGAUAGGUUGUAUUUGGGAGACUGCAAAACCAAGUUUUUUCAUAAGCACACUUUACAAAGGAGGAAUCUUAAUUGGAUUAAUGCCUUGAAAAAUGAUAAGGGAAAUUGGAUUUUUGAAGAGGAUGAACUUCAGAAUGAGACAAUUACUUUUUUUCAAAAGUUUUAUGGCAAAAAACCAAGUUCGAUGAGAGGUCUCUCCCCAAGUUCCUCUCCUAAACUUGAGGAUAUAGAGGUUUAUUUUUUGGGACAGCCGGUCACAGAUGAGGAAAUUAACAAAGCUAUUUUUAAUAUGGCCUUUCUGAAAGUUCUAGGAAGUGAUGGGUUCCACAUCUUAUUCUUUCAAAAUCAAUGAGAGCAAAUAGGUAGAUUUGUGUGUGAAUGGGUUAACGAGGUGUUUGCUAAGAGUAUUAUUGACCCAGAUUGCUAAGAGUAUUAUUGACCCAGAUUUGAAUAAUACAUUAAUAGUCCUUAUUCUCAAGGUUCAAAAUCCUAAGAGUUUUUCACAGUUUCAGCCAAUCAAUUUGUACUCGGUUAUUUACAAGUUGGUUAUGAAAGUGAUCACUAAUUGGUUCAAAAUUGUCUUCCCAAAGUUAAUUUCUCAAUAAUAGGCGGGCUUUAUAGCCAGUAGGAAUAUCACAGAUAAUAUCAUUAUUGUGCAAGAGGUAAUUCACUCGAUGAAGAGUAGAUAGAAGAAUGUAAGAUGGUUGGUUGUCAAAAUAGAUUUAGAGAAGGCAUAUGAUCACGUUCGAUAGGAGUUUAUUGAGGUAUCUUUUCAGGCUGCAGAUAUUCUAAUUUGUCUCAUUGGUGUUAUCAUGUCUACCAUUAAGAAUUAUACUAUGCAUAUUCUCUAAGAAUGGUAUCUCCUCAUAGAAAUUCAAGUAAACUAGAGGUGUCCGUCAAGGAUGUUCGUUAUCCCUGUACCUAUUUUUCAUGUGUAUGAAGUGGCUUGGACAUAGCAACAAUCAUUCAUUGACUCUAAAUAGUGAAAUCUGAUUAGAUUAACCCGUCUGAGUCCAACUCUAUCUCACAUUUUUUUGUAGAUGAUCUCAUAUUAUUUGAUCAUGUCGAUGUUCAACAAGUCCAAAUUCUAAAAGAUAUAUUGGAAAAAAAAUUUGAGUUCUCAAAGCAUAGAAUCAAUAUGAAAAAGACCAAUUAUUUGCUUUUCCAAAGGGGUUGGUGAGGAAUUAGCUAAGAGGCUUACAACAUUCUCAGCUUUUAUAGAGUGUAAAACCUAGGCUUUUACUUGGGGAUGUCUCUAUUUCACGAGCGAGUUACUAAUAGUACACUUCGAUUUGUUCUAAACAAGGUUAGGAGCAAGUUAUACAAUUGGGACGCGAGGUAACUUUUGUUAGCUAGAAGGGCCACACUUACUCAGUCAGUCCUUUUAACUAUUUCCAACUAUUUCAUACAGUCCAUAAUGAUUCCAAAAGGUAUAUAUGAGGAAAUUGAAUAUUUAGUUAGACAGUUCAUUCUGGGAUCUUCUAGUAGUGGAAAGAAAAUGGCCCUGGUUAGCUGAGAGUCUGUAUGUCAGCCUCAAGCCAAUAGUGGUUUAGGUUUAAGGCGAUUAAAGGAUCAUAAUACAGCCUUCAUAAUGAAACUUGGAUUUAAUAUUAUCUCAAAUUCUAAUAAUCUUUGGGUUUUUGUUCUUCAGACAAAAUAUGGAAUCAAGAAUGGAUUGUUUGAGACUUUGGAACAAAAAAGUGGUUCUUUUCUUUGUAAAGGUUUAUCACAGGUAUUGCCGCAAAUUCAGAAAAAAUUAAUUUGGUUAGUGGGAGAUAGGAGCAGUAUUAAAUGCUAAAAGGGACUCGUGGAUUCCUAUUGUUGGUCCUCUUUGUAAUCAUAUUUCAUCCCACUCCACUUUGGCGUCAGUUUUCCUUUUUAAGGUUACGAUUACUGAUGAAGGGUAUUGGAAUAUUGAUCUUUUCUGACUUUGGCUUCCAGAUGAGAUCAUAUGUAGGAUUGUGGGGAUUCCCCUACCAUGUCCAACAAUUGGAUCGAAUAGGGUCAUAUGGGGUGGUACAACAAUAGGAGUCCUUACAAGUAAAAGUGUCUAUGGAAAGAUUCUGGAAGGGUUGUGAAACCCAAAAGAGGCAGUUUAACAACUUCCACAGAAAUUUCAAGGUCCUCGAAGGAUUAAAUACUCCAUUUGUCUUGUCUUUCAAAAAUGACUUAUUACUAAUGUAGAAAGAGUGAAAAGGCACUUGAGUCAUGAUAGUUUUUGUGGGUUUUGUUGUCACGAAUUUGAAGAUGUGCUACACAUUUUAAAGAUUGUUUGGCAGCUAGAGAUAUCUGGGAACACAUAAUUCCAACAGAUAAGCUAUAUUUGUUUUAUUCAAGUAAACUUCUAGAGUAGCUAAAGGAAAAUUUAUGGAAUUCUCAACAGUUAUAUUUGGAAGAUGUUGAUUGGCGGUGCCUCUUUGGACUCAUUACGUGGCGUAUUUGGAAAAAUUUUUACCGUCUGAUGUUCUAGGGUAUUCCAUGGAAAGCAAGUGAAAUUAUUAAAGUUUCCUAUAGUUGGGCCAAACAGUAUGUCUUAUGUAGUAAUAAGGUAACAAAGGCUAAUUUGCAACCUAAAAUUUCACCUUCUUCACUUUGCGAGAAUGGGAUCUGCUUAAAGAUAGAUGGUGUGGCCAAAGUGGAUAUAGGAUUUGCUAUAACUAGAGGAGUAUUGUAGGAUCAGAGUGAAAGGUGGAUUAUUGGGUGUAAUAGGUAUCUGGGAUUUUGUUCUGUUAUCGAGUUUGAGUUAUGGGGCAUCAAAGAUGGUUUAGAGCUUUUUCUAGAAUGGAGUUAUGAUAGCUUUCUAAUUCAAACAGAUAGCAUGAAGGCAAUCAAUGCAAUUCAAGACCAGGCUCCUAAUGGUCAGAUUCAGCGUUGGUUAGGAGAAUUCACCAACUCUUAUCUAAAAUAAAACAUUGGCUCAUUCGACAUAUUCCUAGGGAAGAUAACAAGAAAGCUAAUAGAAUCUCUAAAUUAGUACAAGAAAGGAGAAGAGUACAAGUAUUUGAAGUUUCCCAUUUGGGAAGUUAGUUUUAUGUUAAUGUAAUUUUUUUUGGUAUUUUAUCUUUUAACCAAAAAAAGAAGAAGAAGAUAUAAUGGAAAAAGAAAAAAAAACUGUAACAAUCUAGUUUUGACCUUAGUCAGAAUAGUGGUUUCGGGACCACAAAUCUGAGUCUGAAAAAUAUUUUAAUAUUAUUUUCUGUGUCUGUGAUAUGUGAAUUUACAUCUGUGAACUUUCUGUAAUUUAAUUUGUCUGUUUCUGUGCUUAAUUAUGAAAAAAAGGAUUAAAUCGCGUAAAGUUUAAAAGUUGAGUGCUAAAUGUUAAAACACCUAAUUGGUUUGGCUUUUAAAAUAAGGGUCCUUGCAUGUCAAAUUUACCAUUUGUAUUAAUGGAGGACAAUGAUGGACAUUAGUAGGUGGAUUUUCAUAUGUUAAUAAUAAGGGAAAAAUGGGAAAAAGUAUUAUAAUAUGUGUUAAAUAAAAUAUAACAUAAAAUAAUGGCCAUUUUUAUCAUUCUCAUGGCUGAAUGAAGCAAGAAAAAGAGAAAAAAUGGGGUUUUGAUUUUCGGCUAACUUAAUCCUUAAUUAAGGUAUGAAUUUUCGUUUAAUUUUGAUAAUUUCUACGUUUCUGUGAUCGUUGCUUCGUGUUCUUCAAAAUCCAUGUCUGAAUUUCUAUUUUUAUUGAAGAUUAUGAAAUGUGCCAUUGAUGAUUAUAUGAACUUUGUGAUGUUUUUAUAUGGAUUAUGAAAGAUAUAUGUGAGAUUAUCGUACUUUGUUCUUGAAUUUUGAUGAAAAAGAGCUAUUUGAGCUAAUUUGUAAAAAUACUAUUUUAAAGGACUAAAAUGUGAAAUAAAGGAAAUGUAUAGACUUGUAUGAGAGUCAUGAAAAUUCAGUUAAGCUUGUGUACAAGCAAAUUUUGCAUAUUGGUGAUUUUGUGAAAAAUAGACUAAAUUGUCAAAGUGUGAAAAUGUAAGGGCUAAAAAUUAAAGUGCCCUAAAUAUGUGUAUAUAGAUUAUAUUGAAUGAAAUGAAUGAUUGAAUGGUUGAAUUUGUAUUGUAUUAGAUCAAGAACAAAGAAAAUCGGACUUAGAUCGGGGGAAGUCCAAAAUUGUUGAAUAGUUGACUCAUUUUAUUCGAAAUCCGUCCGAGGUAGGUCAAAUUAUAAUUACGUGUUAAUUGAAAUAAAUUCUGCACAUAUAAACUGUAAUUUGUAUUGGAUGGCCUUGAGUGCCUGAUGAAUAUCUUUGGAGUAAAGUAUGAUAAUAUGUUAAUACCUGAAAAGCUCUGUAUGCUUCUAAGAAAAGUUGACAUCUGUCUGAGAUAUCGUGUAAGACCGUGUCUGGGACACAAGCCUCGAUUGAGAUUUACGUAUAAGACCAUGUCUAGGACAUCGGCAUCGUAUCUGAUUUCGUGUAAGACCCUGUCUGGGACAGAGGUAUCGAUAUUGAAUUACAUGUAAGAUCACGUCUGGGACGUCGACAUUGUACUUGAUUAUGAGCAUCUGUAUCGUUUCUGAAUCGUCUGAUGGUAGCAUACGAAAUAUGAGUAUAUGAAAUGUAUAACCUAUAUAGGUACGUUUGUAUCAUACUAAAUUUUCGAAUAUGAAAAACUUUGUCUCUAUGAAAUAUGUAUAGAAUUGGAAAUGAAGCAUGACAUAUAUGCAAACAAAGGUGUAUGGUUAAGUAUGAAUUAUUCUAUGAAAUGGUUAUGAAUCUUAAUGGUUAAAUUGUACUUAUAUGCUUUAGUAGUUAGACCAAUUGUAUUUGGCUUACUAAGCUCUUUGUAGCUUACUCUGUGUGAUUACUGCCUGUUUUACAGUUAUUGUAGCUAUUGUAGGUUAGGGGAUAGUUGAGGAUCGUCACCACACUAUCAAACUCAUUUUGGUACUUUUGAAAGUGUACAUAUUUUAAUGUAUGGCAUGUAUAGGCUAGAAGGUCUAUGUAUUAAGUUUUAAUGUAUAUAUAUUAUGCCAUGACAGUUGGCUAGCAAAUAAAAUGUUGUAUAUAGUUUUAGUAUUUGGUUGAUGGUGCCAAAUGAUGUAUGGUUGUAAUGUUUUAUGAGCUCAUAUGUUUUUGUUAUAAUGAAUCAUGUUUUGAGCAUGGAAUUGGUUGAAAAUUGUUGUAUGAAUGUUGUUUAAUAUGGCUUGUAAGGAUGACCUCUAAAAGGGGUGGCAAAUUGGCUUAAAUCAAGCCUGUUUGGUGCCACACGGUUAGGGGACACAGGCGUGUCAUAUGGCCGUGGGCUAAAGUCAGUAGCUAGCUAAGUAUCACACGGCCAUAGCACACGAGCAUGCCUAAUGGUCGUGGGUGAAAGUCAGUAUGGUUACUCUGAUUUGGCACGGCUGGUUCAUAUGGGUGUGUCUGAUGCCCGUGUGAGGCACACGGCCUGGACACACGAGCGUGCGACCUCAAUAGAAUUGGAAAAAUUUUCUAUGUUCUGAAUUUUAUGAAUGUGUUCAGUUUAGCUCUAACCGUUCUUAAAUGUAUGUUUUAGGUCUCGUAGACCAUAUUUAGAGAUGAUUGAUUAUGAAAUGAUGUUAAAUAAUACCUAUGAUUCUGAAUUGAUCCGAAAUGUUCUGUCUGUCUGGUAAUGCCUCGUAACCCUAAUCUGAUGUCGGUUACGGAUUAGGGGUGUUACAUUUUAUUGGUAUCGGAGCUAUGGUUUGUCGGUUCUAGGACUACCAUAGCGUAUAUGAGUCUAGCUGUACAUGCCAUAUAUCUGAAUCUGUGAUAGUGUGAUGACUCCUAACUUUGAAAUAUGCUUUUAUUUUGCAAAUGGAUCCCGAUGGAGUUGUAGCUGACAAUGUAGAAAGUAAUGCACCUGCUCCUGCGUAAGGGACGGUGCAAGUUGAUUCUAGACCGGGUACGAGUAGCCGUGGUGGUGAGGCUAAGCAAGCCUUCUAUCAAAUGAUGAAUGAAUGAUUCACUCAAUACAUUAGAACCAAUCCAACUGUACAACAACCUCCACCCCCGGUUAAUCCUUCUCAAACUCCUGAUAUGCCACGAGUGAAUCUGGUACAGCUGAGUAGACCACCGAUUGAUAAGAUCAGAAAGUAUGGGGCUGAAGAGUUCCGAGCUACAACAAAUGAUGAUGCUGAAAGAGCCGAAUUCUGGUUGGAAAAUACAAUAAGAGUGUUUGAUGAAAUGUCUCUGAGUCAUGAGGAAUGUGUUAAAUGUGCCGUUUCACUUCUGAGAGAUACGGCGUAUCAUUGGUGGAAAACUUUAAUAUCUAUGGUGGAAAAAUUUAAUAUCUAUGGUUCCGAGUGAACGAGUUACGUGGGAUUUCUUUCAAUCUGAAUUUCGGAAGAAAUAUAUCAAUCAGAGAUUCAUUAAUCAGAAACGUAAAGAGUUUCUCGAGCUUAAACAGGAUCGUAUGUAUGUUAUUGAAUACGAAUGUGAAUUUGUGAGAUUGAGCCAGUAUGCCCAUGGAUGUGUAUCGAAUGAAGCAAUAAUGUGCAAAAGGUUUGAAGAUCGACUAAAAGAAGAUAUUCGUCUGUUAGUUGGGAUUUUGGAGAUUAAAGAAAUGGUAGUGCUUGCUGAAUGAGCAUGUAAAGCUGAAGAAUUAAGUAAAGAGAAAAGAAAAGAUGAUUCUGAAGCUAGAAAUGCUAGAAAAAGAUCUUCUAGUAGAUCAUUUCAGUCUAUGUCAAAGAAAUUCUGAGAUGAUCAAAGCCGUCCAAAUGCUAAUAUGGGACAUUCAAACUGAGAUCGAGCUAGAUUGUAUUAAAAAUUCAGAGUCCCUGCUACUUCUGUUGCAAGUGUUGGGAAUGUCCGAUCUGAGAGAUCUUAAUGUAAACACUGUGGUAAAAGACAUCCGGGAAAUUGUAGAUUGAAUGACCGAGCCUAUUUCUGAUGUAGAUCUCUGGACCAUUUUAUAAAAGAUUGUUCAGAACUUGCUGAGCAAGAGAAUGUACAGAAUCUGAGAUCGAGCAACACCUCAGUUAGAGGUAGACCUUCCAAAAAUGUAAGAAAUGCAAGUAGUGGUCAAAGAACUACUGGAGAUACUAUUGUUAGAUCUGACACCAAAGCACCUGCCAAAGCCUAUGCUAUCCGAGCUCGUGAGGAAGCCUCGUCUCUAGACGUGAUUACUGGUACUUUUACUCUCUAUGAUACUUCUGUGAUUGAAUUGAUAGAUCCUGGAUCAACGCAUUCUUAUAUCUGUAUGAAUUUAAUGCAUAGUAAGACUUUGCUUGUAGAGUCUACUAAAUUCGUAAUUAGAGAAUUGAACCCAUUAGGCAAAAGUGUCUUGGUUGAUAAAGUCUGCAAGAAUUGCCCGUUAAUGAUACGAGAUAUCUGUUUUCCUGCUGAUUUGAUGGUUUUACCUUUGGAUGAAUUUAACAUAAUUCUAGGAAUGGAUUGGUUAAAUUUGCAUGAUGCUAUUGUGAAUUGCAAACGAAAAUUCAUUGAUUUAAGGUGUAAGAAUGACGAGAUAAUCUGAAUUGAGUCUAGUGAUCUAAAUGGACUGCCAGCUAUGAUAUCUGUAAUGAAAAUACGGAAAUAUGUGAAGAAAGGUUGUGAAGCCUACUUAGCUUAUGUGUUAGAUUCGAAAGUGAAUGAUAAGAAAGUUGAAUUAGUGCCUGUUGUUUGUGAAUUCUCUGAUGUGUUUCCUGAAGAAUUACCUGGUUUACCUCCGAUUCAAGAAGUCGAGUUUGGCAUUGAAUUAGCACCUGGUACUACUCCGAUUUCAAUAGCUCCGUAUAGAAAGGCUCCGAAAGAGUUAAAAGAAUUAAAAUCUCAGUUUCAAGAAUUGACCAAUCGAGGGUUUUCUAGAUCGAGUUUUUCACCAUGGGGUGCUCCUGUUCUGUUUGUGAAAAAGAAAGAUGGCACAAUGAGAAUGUGUAUUGAUUAUCGACAGCUUAACAAAGUGACUAUAAAGAACAAAUAUCCUCUGCCUCGAAUUAUGACUUAUUCAAUCAGUUGAAAGGUGAUACUGUAUUUUCAAAAAUAAAUCUGAGGUCGGGUUACUAUUGUUACGGGUAAAGGACUCUGACAUUCUGAAAACUGCUUUUAGAACGAGGUACGGGCAUUACGAAUUUUUAGUUAUGCCUUUUAGUUUAACGAAUGCACCUGCUGUAUUUAUGGAUUUAAUGAAUAGAAUUUUUGGACCGUAUCUUGAUCAAUUUGUUAUUGUAUUCAUUGAUGAUAUUUUGAUUUAUUCACGUGAUAAAUCUGAGUAUGCUGAACAUCUGAAAGUAGUGCUACAGACUCUGUGAGAUAAACAGUUGUAUGCAAAGUUUAGUAAAUGUGAAUUCUGGUUGCGAGAAAUUUGUUUUCUGGGUCAUAUUGUAUCAACAUCCGGUAUCCGAGUUGAUCCGAGUAAGAUUUCAGCUAUUCUAGAUUGGAAGCCUCCGAGGAAUGUAUCUGAAGUCCGCAGUUUCCUGGGACUUGCUGGUUACUACACGAUUUGUAAAAGAUUUCUCUAUGAUAGCAACUCUGUUGACAAAAUUGCUUCAGAAAGAUGUGAAAUUUGAAUGGUCUAAGAAAUGUCAAAAAAGUUUUGAUCGGUUAAAAGCUUUGUUAACUGAAGCUCCGAUAUUGGUACAACCUGAGUCAGGUAAAAAAUUCGUUGUUUACAGUGAUGCUUCAUUGAAUGGACUAGGUUGUGUUUUAAUGCAAGAAAGAAAAGUUGUUGCUUAUGCUUCGAGACAGUUGAAGCUGCAUGGGAAGAACUAUCCGACACACAACCUUGAGUUAGCUGCCAUCAUGUUUGCUUUGAAGAUCUGGCAUCACUAUCUGUUUGGUGAAAAAUGUCACUUGUUUUCUGAUCAAAAAAGUUUGAAAUAUUUAAUGACGCAAAAAGAUUUGAAUUUACGACAGAGAAGAUGGUUAGAACUGCUAAAAGACUACAAACUUGUGAUUGAUUAUCACCCGGGAAAAGUAAAUGUGGUUGCUGAAGCUUUGAGUCGAAAAUCGUUAUUUGCAAUGAAUGCUCAUUUAGUUCUGUCUGAUGAUGGUUUAGUUUUAGCUGAAUUAAAAGCGAGACCAUUGUUUUUACAACAGAUUAUCGAAGCUCAGAAGAUUGAUAAUGAGAUUAUGGCUAAACAAAUUCAGUGUAAUUCUGAUUCUGAUUCUGAAUUCCCAAUAGAUGAUGAUGACUGUCUGAGGUUCAGAAAUAGACUUUGUGUUCCAAGAAAUCCAGAUUUGAUUCAAACGAUUUUGAAUGAAGCUCACAGUAGUAAAUUUUCUGUACAUUCGGGAAGUGCGAAAAUGUAUAAUGAUUUGAGACAACUAUACUGGUAGUCGAGAAUGAAAAGAGAUAUCCCUGACUUUGUUUCGAGAUGUUUAAUCUAUCGGCAAGUUAGAGUUGAGCAUCAGGUGCCAUCUGGGUUAUUACAACCGAUUAUGAUUCCGGAAUGGAAAUGGGAUCGAGUGACCAUGGAUUUUUUUUCGGGUUUGCCUCUGUCCCCGAAAAAGAAAGACGCAAUUUGGGUUGUAGUUGAUCGUUUGACGAAAUCAGCUCAUUUUAUUUCAAUUCGGUUUGGUUAUUCACUUGAUAAGCUAGCUGAGUUGUAUAUUUCUAAUAUUGUGAGAUUGCAUGGUGUGCCACUGUUAAUAGUGUCUGAUAGAGACCAGAGAUUUAUAUCAAGAUUCUAGAAGAAAUUACAAGAUGCUCUGUGUACUAAAUUGUAUUUUAGCACCGCUUUUCAUCCGCAAACAAAUGGUCAAUCAGAACGGAUUAUUCAGAUACUCGAGGAUAUGUUGAGAUGUUGCAUUCUCGAGUUUAAAGGUGUGUGGGAACAAUAUCUACCUUUGAUUGAAUUCGCUUAUAAUAAUAGCUUUCAAUCGAGCAUCAAAAUGACACCGUACGAAGCCUUAUAUGGUAGAAAGUGUAGAACUCUAUUAUACUGGUCUGAGCUCAGUGAGAAUACGAUUUAUGAAAUUAAUUUGAUAAAAGAAACAGAACAGAAAGUGAAAGUAAUCUGAGUUAGUUUGAAAGCUUCCUCUAAUCGUCAGAAAUCUUAUGCGGAUUUAAAACAAAAAGAUAUUGAAUUUGAGAUCGGUGAUAAAGUGUUUCUGAAAGUAACUCUAUGGAAGAAACUGUUCUGAUUUGGUAAAAAGGGGAAGUUGAGUCUGAGGUUCAUUGGGCCGUAUGAAAUCACCGAGCGAGUUAGGUCAGUUGCUUAUAGAUUGAGGCUACUAUUUAAGUUACAAAAGAUUCAUAAUGUAUUUCAUAUAUCGAUGCUUCGACGGUAUAGAUCUGAUUCAUCUCAUGUGAUAUCCCCUUCUGAGAUUGAAAUCCAAUCUGAUAUGACUUACGAAGAAAAGCCGAUUUGUAUUUUAGCCCGUAAGAUUAAAGAGUGACGAAAUAUGAAAAUUCCUUUAGUUAAAGUGAUGUGGCAUCGUCAUGAUGUAAAAGAGGCUACGUGGGAGCCCGAUGAUGCAAUGAAACAAUAAUAUCCGAAUCUGUUUAAUGGUAAGAUUUUCGGGGACGAAAAUCCCUAAGGGGGGAGAAUUGUAACAGUCUGGUUUUGACCUUAGUCAGAAUAGUGAUUUCGGGACCACAAAUCCGAGUCUGAAAAAUAUUUUAAUAUUAUUUUCUGUGUCUGUGAUAUGUGAGUUUACAUCUGUGAAAUUUCUGUAAUUUAAUUUGUCUGUUUCUGUGCUUAAUAAUGAAAAAAAGGAUUACAUUGCGUAAAGUUUAAAAGUUGAGUGCUAAAUGUUAAAACACCUAAUUGGCUUGGAUUUUAAAAUAAGGGUCCUUGCAUGUCAAAUUUACCAUUUGUAUUAAUGGUGGACAAUGAUGGACAUUAGUAGGCGGAUUUUCAUGUGUUAAUAAUAAGGGUAAAAUGGGAAACAGUAUUAUAAUAUGUGUUAAAUAAAAUAUAACAUAAAAUAAUGGUCAUUUUUAUCAUUCUCAUGGCCGAAUAAAGCAAGAAAAAUAGCAAAAAUGGGGUUUUGAUAUUCGGCUAACUUAAUCCUUAAUUAAGGUAUGAAUUUUCGUCUAUUUUUGAUAAUUUCUACAUUUCUGUGAUCUUUGCUUCGUGUUCUUCAAAACCCAUGUCUGAAUUUCUAUUUUUGUUGAAGAUUAUGAAAUGUUCCAUUGAUGAUUAUAUGAACUUUGUGAUGUUUUUUAUGAAUUAUGAAAGAUAUAUGUGAGAUUAUCGUACUUUGUUCUUGAAUUUUGAUGAAAAAGAGCUAUUUGAGCUAAUUUGUAAAAAUACUAUUUUAAAGGACUAAAAUGUGAAAUAAAGGAAAUGUAUGGACUUGUAUGAGAGUCAUGAAAAUUCAGCUAAGCUUGUGUACAAGCAAAUUUUGCAUAUUGGUGAUUUUGUGAAAAAUGGACUAAAUUGUCAAAGUGUGAAAAAUGUAAGGGCUAAAAUGUAAAAUGCCCUAAAUAUGUGUAUAUGGAUUAUAUUGAAUGAAAUGAAUGAUUGAAUGGUUGAAUUUGUAUUGUAUUAGAUCAAGAACAAAGAAAAUCGGACUUAGAUCGGGGGAAGUCCAAAAUAGUUGAAUAGUCAACUCGUUUUAUCCGAAAUCCGUCCGAGGUAAGUCAAAUUACAAUUACGUGUUAAUUGAAAUAAAUUCUGCACAUAUAAACUGUAAUCUGUAUUGGAUGGCUUUGAGUGUCUGAUGAAUAUCUUUGGAGUAAAGUAUGAUAAUAUGUUAAUACCUGAAAAGCUCUGUAUGCUUCUAAGAAAAGUUGACAUCUGUCUGAGAUAUCGUGUAAGACCGUGUCUGGGACACAGGCAUCGUAUCUGAUUUCGUGUAAGACUUUGUCUAGGACAGAGGCAUCGAUAUUGAAUUAUAUGUAAGACCACAUCCGGUACGUCGGCAUUGUACUUGAUUAUGAGCAUCUGUAUCGUUUCUGAAUCGUUUGAUGGUAGCAUACGAAAUAUGAGUAUAUGAAAUGUAUAACCUAUGCAGGUACGUUUGUAUCGUACUAAAUUUUCAAAUAUGAAAAAGUCUGUCUCCAUGAAAUAUGUAAAGAAUUGGAAAUGAAGCAUGACAUAUAUGCAAACAAAGGUGCAUGGUUAAGUAUGAAUUAUUCUAUGAAAUGGUUAUGAAUCUUAAUGGUUAAAUUGUACUUAUAUGCUUUAGUAGUUAGACCAAUUGUAUUUGGCUUACUAAGCUUUUUGUAACUUACUCUGUAUGAUUACUGUCUAUUUUACAGUUAUUGUAGCUACUGUAGGCUCGGGGAUAGUCGAGGAUCGUCACCACACUAUCGAACUCAUUUUGGUACUUUUAAAAGUGUACAUAUUUUAAAGUAUGGCAUGUAUAGUCUAGAAGGUCUAUGUAUUAAGUUUUGAUGUAUAUAUAUUAUGCCAUGAGAGUUGGCUAGCAAAUGAAAUGUUGUAUAUAUUUUAGUAUUUUGUUGAUGGUGCCAAAUGAUGUAUGGUUGUAUUGUUUUAUGAGCUAAUAUGUUUUUGUUAUAAUGAAUCAUGUUUUGAGCAUGGAAUUGGUUGAAAAUUGUUGUAUGAAUGUUGUUUAAUAUGGCUUGUAAGGAUGACCUCUAAAAGGGGUAGCAAAUUGGCUUAAAUCAAGCCUGCUUGGUGCCACACGGUCAGGGGACACGGGCGUGUCAUAUGGCUGUGGGCUAAAGUCAGUAGCUAGCUAAGUAUCACACGGCCAUAGCACAGGGUGUGCCUAAUGGCCGUGGGUGAAAGUCAGUAUGGUUACUUUGAUUUGGCACAGCUGGUUCACAUUGGUGUGUCUGAUGCCCAUGUGAGGCACACGGCCUGGACGCACGAGCGUGUGACCUCAAUAGAAUUGGAAAAAUUUUCUAUGUUCUAAAUUUUAUGAAUGUGUUCGGUUUAGCUCUAACCGUUCUUAAACGUAUGUUUUAGGUCUCGUAGGACAUAUUUAGAGAUGGUUGAUUAUGAAAUGAUGUUAAAUAAUACCUGUGAUUCUGAAUUGGUCCAAAAUGUUCUGUCUGUCUGGUAAUGCCUUGUAACCCUAAUCUGAUGUCGGUUACGGGUUAGGGGUGUUACAAAAACUAUCAUUAUUUCUUUAAUUGUAACUAAUGUAGUAUUUCAACUUCGCUUUUCCAUUGAUUAGUGUUCAAGUUAAAAGCACAUUCCAAGAUUUCAUGCCUUGGUGUCAUAGAUCAUCCGUUCCUUUGACCCAAAUAGUACGAUGUCAUACGACACUAUGAUUAUUUUUAAUCAUGAUCAACCUUUCAUAUGUUCUUUUUUGUCAACUAUUUUAGUUUCCAUUGAUGCCUUGUCAUAAAGGUCUCUCGCUUGGUUUGACCUUACAAAACUGUUCACAUCCAAUUGUUUAGCUUAAAGAAAAACACUCAUUCUCGUCACAUGUUUGGCACAUAUACUCGCAAAAGGUCUCAAACAACAUCUCCAUCAAUGAUUUUGUGUACUAAUCAUCAUGAUCCAAGAUGCAAGCUCCUAGGAUCAAGGCUUGGUGGAACCCAACACCAAGUCCACAUUCACUUGACGCUUCUCAUGUAUCGGAACCCAACAACACUACUCGAUUUUUGGUCAUUUACAAACUAAGGGUCACUUCUAGCUCAUCACAUUACUCAUAAGAGUCACUCUGACACCAAAGGUUGUUUGCCCCACUCAAGGCUAAUCUCAAGCAUGACAGACACCCAACAUCAUGCACUCAAUGCAAGACUCAUCCUAGGUAAUUGUCCCAACUAUGAGGCACGAGACUGAAUCGUUAUCUCUACAUUCCCACAAGACUAGUAGUUGGUCCACCUACUAGUUAACUCGAUUCACUAUCGCGUCUUGAUGCCACUCCUACAAAACAUUGUCUCAUGAUCCCAAAGGUAGUCCAAUGAACUUUAGGUGGAGAACCCCAUGAGCCUUAGAGAAAAUAUAAGGUCUAACCCCAGCUUUCCAUCCAUAGCGUGAUACGAAGCCCAUUGGCCCCGAACCAUUAUUGAGUUUCCUCCCGAAUAGACAUCGAACAUCCACUUGCCCAAUGACCACACACCAUAAUAAUGAAGAGUAAAUGAGUAUUAUAUUUCUAAUAGGCCCAUAACAUAAAUAUGUUAAGGUUAUAAUUACACGAACAAUCUUGAUGAGAUCUACUUAUGUGAGUGAAACGUAACCGCUUUUAGAAACUCAAUGAAUUGGCUUUAACAACACUAAUAAAAAGAAGUUAUCAACAUAGCCAUAAUAGUAUCUUGAUACUUUACAUCAACUAGUAUUUAAAUUAUUAUGUGAAAUGUGUUCAAAUAAUAAGAUAAAAUAGUUGGCUCAAACUAUAGUCUACCGUGCAAUUUUGAUUAUUCAAUAAGUGAAACUCAAUAGCAAGACAAUUUCAUUUAUACAAUUUAUUCAAAUUAUCAAAAUCUAAGAUAUUUUAAAAAAUAGAGAAAAUUUGUUUCAAUAUUUCCAAAAUAGGCUAAAAUAACUAAAUAUGUUGUUUUCUUAUUGGGCCUUUUAGGUCGUUUUUUUAAUUUAGGGAAAUAGGCAUUUUUGGAGAAAGAAAGGGAAAACACGUCUAGCUAGGCGCACUUUCCCUUUCUCUCUCUCAGGGUUAAGUUUUUUAAUUUUGUUAAGUUUAAGGUUUAAGGGUAAAACCAUAAAAGUUCAUAAGUAGAUUUAAAGGGUCAUGGAUGUGAUGGCAAGAUAGGACCAUUACCUUAGAAACCCAUCCUAGAGAAGUCAUGUUUUGGGAUGACAAUGCUUGAUACGAUCACGGGGCAAAGUCUAGAUUGAGGUCCCAAUCGGUGGCUGUGAUGCAGUCAUGGAUUUAAGUAUAAUAGGGGGUCAGUUGACGGUCGUUAUGUGGUCACGAGUUCAAGUUUUUUGGAUACCCACAAAUGAUGUCUUAUAUAUACCAUAUAUAAGAUUGAAGCCAUAAUCAUAAGGAAAACAAAGGGAUCUUCAAUGUAAUCAACGUAAUUUUUUUCUCUAUUUCUAGGCAGUCGGUAUCUUUAACCUUUCAUUUUUAUCUGAAGGCUGACACUGAGCUGAAUACAAGAGGGUUCUCAAGCGACGAGUAAAUGAUCCCGCACAGUAGAAGUUAAACUAGAAUCGACGUGGCAGCAAUUGUAGUUAUUAAUUAGUUGUUUAAUAACAGAAAUCAUUGUCACCCUGAAAGGAUCAUUGCCUUUACUGCACCAUAACAGCCACUCCUCGCCUAAGAGUCUUCUUGCGUCCACGGCAGUGCCAGCCUUCGAAUAAAAAGGAAUGUUAAAGGCGUCUACUGCCUAGAAAUGUAGAAAAAAUUGCAUCAAUUAUAGCGAGAAGCCCACAAUUUUUCCACAUGAUUAUGCACUCAAACUUUUGUAUUGUUUUUAUAAGGCAACAUUUCUAGGUAUCUGAAAAGUUUGAGCUCGCGACCGUGUAACGGUCGCCAAUUGGCUUCCCCAUUAUACGUCAAUCCAUGACCACAUAAUGGUUGUUGAUUGAGACCUCUAUGUAGACUUCCAUCUAUAACCGUACAAAGCAAAAUCACCUCAGAACUCGACCUCCCUAAGAUAGGCUUUGAAGGUAAUGUUUCUAUCUCAGCAUGAUAUAUUAAAUGUGUACGUCUCUCAUAGUGAUAUUGUAUCAUCAAUGACUCAAUAGUAUCUCAAACAAUCCCAAUUUUAUUAGCAACCAAAAUUUUUAACACUGAGAAAUGUUGUAUAGCAGAGGGAUGGAGAGGCUGAGGGAGAAGAUCUUUGAGGGAUGAUGAAGUAUAGAGUUUGAGACCCCUUUUAUAUGCACGAGGUAGGGUGGGAUUGCAAAGUAGAAAAUUCCCGUGGUCGAAAAUGUGCCACAAGACAAGUGUCUUCGACGAAUAUAUUCAAGUUGUGACUGAAAUCUGUUGAAAAAUUCAUGAGGUUAGGUACAUUUACUUUUUAGACAAGAAAAAUGUUUGAGAAGUCUAGUCAAGCUAGAUGAGCUUCCCUGUUGACAUGGCAAGAAAGCACACCUAGCUGGACGAGCUUUCUCUAACAUUUUCUUAACUAAAAAAUAAAAGUACCUAAACCUGAAUUUUUCAACAGAUUUGAAGAACGUUAUGCAAGGAAUACCUUGAGAAGUACGUUUCUAAUGAAAUUAUAUGACUUCUGAAACAUUUUUUUGAGUAAUACUUUGCAUUUCAUUAUCAUUGUUCGACAAAAGUAUGUAUUCAGAAAAAAAAUUUAUCAGCACGCAUUCAUUCUCUCCUUGUUCUAUUUUCCUAUUAAAGUAACACAAUUUUCAUAACUUAGGCACGCAUCAAAAUCAUAUCAAACAUUAAACAGUUGAGUUGCAAGAGUCAUGUGUAUUUCUUUGGACAAUCAUCAACUAAUUUUUUUGCUUCUGCUCAUCCAAUUCGUAAUCUAUAAUGAAAUGAGUAAACAAGUGAAAUUUGUUAUUUACUACGACGAUCAAAUCUGUAAUAAAGAAUUCACGAUGGUAUUUGCAGGAGCUCAGUUUGUGGAAUUGGAAUUCAAUCGUUCCAUCUAAUUGCAUGAGCUACGGACUAGAAUUAGGAGGAAAGUCAGGAGUUCAACCUGAGAAAGAAUUUUAAGGUUGCAAUGUAGAUAUCUUGCUUUCGUUCACCCCUAUAGGUAUGAGCUAUUUGAUGUGAAAGGUGAGCUCGAGGCGGUCAUAUAAUCUUACCUCUCAAGUGAAAAUACUAUAAUGGAGUUAUAUGUCGAGUUUGCGAAUGAUGAUGGGCCUGGCUAAUCUUCGACCACUAUUGAAGCUAAUGUUGGAACCGCAGUUGAAGCUUGUUACAAAAGCUCCUGCUACGAUGUCCUUGAAACAUCUAUGGGUAGACAUUCAUUGAUUUUCGGAAUGAAUUUAAACUUCAGUGGCCCUUACCAUUUGGGGUAUGAGCAAAACCUGAACUUCAACAUUCGGGUUUGACAUUCAAUCAAUGUAUUUGAUUUCAACUUUGAUGGAUCAUUGUUCUGGGGUGGAAGUAACUAUAUCAGGGGCAUCGACAUACAUCGGCCACCAAUCUGGUGCAGAUUUUAGCGGGCACAUGGGUUAUAAAAGAACUGAUGACUUACUCCUUUUGUUUGGGCCAGCGAGGGUACGUACCAGGUUUUGUAACCAAUUUGGAAACGCACCCAGUGUACUUUUGUGAUCAUAUGUCCCUAGGAAAAGAGUAUUCCAUCCAUUAUUUUAGAUCUUCAGCCAAUGUAGAGAAGCUUUAUGGCGUCUUUUGUGCAAAUUGACGACACUUGGCUAUAUGGGAGGUAUCAACAUCAGUUGUUGAUUGUUGUUACCCGUGAUGGUAAUUGGAGGAUUUUUUUGGUUGUGUUUGCAAUAACUCUCGGAGAAAAGACAAAUGAUUGAGAUUUCUUCCUAAGUAGAUUGUGCUGAUGCGUUUGCCCGUAGUCCAACAUAUGUGUCAUAUCAAACAUGGGAACAUAAAUUUUUUCCGCUAUUGUGCGGCAAGGUAGCCUUUGGGAUCACACCCAUCAUAGGUACUUCAUACAACAUGUUGGAUCUAACUACCACUCAAAAUGACCUUCGAAAAGUGAGCUAGAUCAAGUCAUUGACAUAGGUAUGUAGUUGUCACUAUUUGCAUAGUCAUGUUAUACCAUAUUUCGUUCAUUCUUUGCAUUCAUAGGUUUUCCUUUCUCGAAGGGUACAAGCUAGUCCAACAUCGAUUCCAUAAAAUGUUGGACAACUCAUACGCCACCAACAACUACGGUGUGGUGUACCUAGCCAACAUACCAUUUGAAAAGUGGACACAAUCAUACGACAGGGGUCUACGGUACGGGCACAUGAUGUCGAACUUAGCUGAGUGCAUCAAUUCCAUAUUAAAGGGGAUGUGUCAUUUGUUGAUAACCUUAGUUGUCAAAUAAACGUACUUUCACCUGGCUACCUUAUUUCAAAAACGGACGGCGAAGUAUGUUGGAUAUAUAGUGAGUGACCGUAUUUUGUGCGAGGAUGUCAUAAAAGAAAUUAGACGAAAUACAGAGAGAGUGAACAAUAUGUACGUAGUGUGCCACUCGCGUCGAACCUAAUUAUUAGGUUAUAGAGCACACUAGGAUCGACCAGGACAUGUCAGGGGCAUCAUAUCGUGUUGAUCUAACAUGAGGGACUUGCGAUUGUAGGAGGUUCCAAGCACUUCAAUUCCUAUGCGCAUAUAUAAUUGUCGUAUGUGGGAACCUAUGAAUUGAGUACACGUCUUACAUCAACGAUGAGUACAGACAAGAAACGCACGCACAAUGUAUAGAGUCUUGAAUUUCCACUCGUCCUAGAUGAAAGUAUGUAGCCGCCAGUGUCCAUGUAACAUCCCGAUUUAGGGCCUAGUUGGAACAGUAGUUUCGGGACCACAACUCUGACACAGUAAAAUUUUUUUAUUAUAUUUUUAUGGUCUACAAUUUCACGGGAUGAUUUUGUGAAAAUUUCGUUCAAAAAUUUUGACGUUUGGGCACUCAAUUUGGUCAAAAGGACUAAAUUGUAAAAAGUGCAAAAGUUUAAUUCUACAUGUUAGAAGUGUCUAAUUAUUAUGAAAUUUUAAAUUGAAGGCUCAUAAAUGGUAAUUAUACCAUUGGAUAAUUUUUUGGACAAAAAUAUACAUGAAAUGAGUGAAAUAGAAUAUUUUUAAGUUAGGGGCAUUUUGGUAAUCUAUAAUUAAAAUGAAUUAAAAACAAAAUUAAAAGCCAAUUUUUGUCCAUCUUCUACCCCAUGGAUGAAACUUGCAUCGAAAAGAAAUAGCUAGGGUUUUUCAAGCUUCCAAGCUCGAUUGUAAGUCCAUUCUAGCCCCGUUUUUAAUGAUUUUUACGUUUUUUAAAUCUUAGUAACAAGAUCUACUCAUUUCUACCCAUAUUUUGAGCUAGGAUUUGUGUUUAAAAAUUUACUCAUGGAUGACAUGCAUGUGUUUUGAUGUCUAAUGGUAGAAAAUGAAUGCUUGGUGUGUAAUAAACGACUUUUACUAAGUGAUUUUCGGUGAAAUUGUCAAAAAGGACUGUUUUACAAAAGUUACAAAAUUUGUCAUAAAAGUGUGAUUUAGUGGAAAUUAGAGGCUGCUAUAGUUAUGAAAACGAUUCGGACUACUUCUACUAAGGACCAUUUUGCAUAAGUUGUAAAAUAUGUGAUAAAUGUAUGAAAUAAUGAAAAUUUCGGACUACUUCUAGUAUAAAAAGUAUUCGGCUAGGCUUGAUUAGUGAGAAAAUGUGAUUAAAAUUGAAUUUCGAGUCUAGGGGUAAAAUGGUCAUUUUGUGAAAGCCUAGGGGCAAAAUGGUCAUUUUGCCCAAUUAUAAAUUUUUAGUAUCUAGAUUUAUAUGCUGAUGAAAUGAAUGAAUUUUAUCAAUAUAGAUCAAGAGAACGUGAUUCGGGUCUUGAUCGGGGUAAGAACAAAGUUUACGAGGAUUAAGCUCGUUCCCAUCAUUUUGUACCGAGGUAAGUACAAAUGUAAAUAAAGUGUCAUGUAGCUUACUUUUAAAUGUUUUAUUUUUUACCAUGUAUCAUAAAUUUUAUUCUAUGUCAUAAAAGUAUAAAUAAUGCGAGGUAAGAGUAACCUACGUUAUGAACAAGUGCAACAACGUCAGGUUAGAUACAAGAUCCCGUUGAACCUCGAAAAUAGUAUAGGAUAUAAAAAGGUAAGUCAUGAAAUUGAGUGGUCUGAACUCAUGAGUUGAGUCUGAGUUCAUGAGAUAAGCGAAAUAUGUAAUGUGGGUCCGGGUACUGACUUUGUAUGUAUACCCGUGAGUAGCUUAAUGAGUGGGCAUUACGUAAUAGAGCUAUAGGGUCCGGGUACUGACUUGGUAAAAAGGCCCGUGAGUAGCUUCAAUAUACAAGUAUUACAAAGUUCGAGGUAGCUUUGGCUACUUGUAUGGUACUUAAGAGUAAACUAUCCGAAUAUUUAUUGGUAUUUCUGAAUGUUCAAUGGGUAACUUGAUGAAUGGAUUGACGAUACUUCCAGUGGGGUAUGUCGAUAGAGAGAAUGAAUUGGAGUUAUUUUACAGGUAAUUGUAGGUAUGUAUACUAAACUCCCGAAUAAAGACCUUAGUAUGUGAUGAGAUGUAGUAAGUAUGGAGUAAGAUAGUGAGAUUAAAAUGACAUAUCAUUUAAGUAUGAUAAACCACAAUUUGAUGAAUGUAUUUCUAAUUACACUUAUUUACAUAUAUGUACUUACUAAGCUCCCAUGCUUACCCUAUUUCCUUUCCAUUUUCUUAUAGUGCCACCAAAGUAGUUCGAGAAUCGUCGCCCACAUCGGAGAAGCUAGCCAUACUAUCCUUGAAGCACUUGGUAUAGCUUGUUUUAUCAUUUUGAUUAUAGCAUGUAUAGGAACUUUUGAUUUUAUUUUUGUGUCAUAUUGUUUUAGGGCGAAACGUGUUAGCUUGUUUUAGCAUUUGACUUUUUUUGUAUAGGGCCAUGAAAUUGGCUAAUAUUGCAAGCCAUUAUAUAAAUGCAAGAUAGUCUUUUACGAAUGUGAAAUUUUUGGCUUGGUUGAAUUUAUGAAAUGUAUAUAGGUCUUAGCUAUGGUUGUUGGUUGAUAAAUCAUAUUAAGUUAGAUUUUGAUAUGUUGAUUGGUAUUAAAUUGUGUUUUAGGGUGGCAUAAGGCUUUGUAAAUAGCCUUAUAUUGUCCACACGGGUAGACACACGGGCAUUUGUCUAGGCCAUGGGCGUGUUGUCCGGCCUAGUUUGCCCUGCACGUAAAAGUUUCAAGUUAGUAUGCAUGGUAGUAAACACACGGGCAGAGACAUGGCCGUGUGUCUCAACCGUAUGGAGGACACGGCCUAUGGCCACCGGCGUGUGCCUUGGCCGUGUGCCCCUUAUUGGAUGUUGACGUUAGAAAUAGAAUGUCAAGGUUUUUGGACACGGGCUAAGACAUGGCAUGUCAUGGCCGUGUGAGGGACAUGGCCAUAGACAUGGGCGUGUGUAAGGCCGUGUGAAAACCCCUAUAACUUCAAAUUUAGAAUUUAAUUCACAUGGGCAUAGGACACUGGCGUGUCCCUUGAUGCUUAGGUUGUGUGUGUCACACGAGCCAUUAACACGGCCAUAUCUUAAUGACCACACGGGCGUGUGCUCUGUUUCAAGGGUUAUUUUUCUAAAGUUGGUUAAGGACCCGAGCCGGUUCCAAAUGGUUUCCAAUGGACGUUUGAGGCCUCGUAGGAAAAUGUUAUGGAGUUUAUAUAAAGUUUUAAAAUUUAUCAAGUCUUAAUGAUUCGAAAAAGUUGGAAUGAACAUGUUUAAGUGUGGUAACGCCUCGUAUCCUGUCUCAGUGUAGGACUUGGGUGUGGGGCGUUACAUAUAGGAUAUGAAUAUGCAUGAUUACAGAAUGAGAAGUUGCAAACAAACCGAUUACAGGGAUGAUAAUAUGUGUAAUUGAUACUAGUGUGAACUUAGUAAAAGGUUAGGAUACGAUUGGCAUGCCAAUAGGGUCAUAUGCGUACUUGUACAAUAUAUAUGUCUCUACGGAGAACCUAGUAUAGAAUUGUUCAAUUAGAGAAUUUGAUUAAAUAAUUUUCUUGAAAAAUUAAUUUGAAAAUUUUAAGUGACUUUUGAGAAAAUUAAAGUUGAUCAAGUAAAAUUAAAUUAAUCAAAUUAAUUAAAAUUAAUAUGAUAUUUUUUAAAAUUAAUUUUCAAGUCAGACAAUUGAUCCAAUUGAUAAUUGAACUUGAAAAUUGGGCUUGAGAUCAUAAAUUGGGCCCGAGAGCCCAAAAUCGAGACCAAGUCCCAAAAAUUGGUCAAACCGGGCUUGGUAUGUGAAACGAGGCCAACGGUCCAACCGGUGGCUGGACUAGACUAGUCAGGUCAUUACUGGUCAGGACUGAACCUGUUCAAGGUGCCGGUGGCUGCGACGAUGUCAUUCCAGUGGUCGAAAAAAUAGUCGGCGAUAGUGGAUUUUCGAUGGUUGAGCAAUGGAAUAAUUACACUCCUACUAGGACUUUACUAGAGAAUUUGAUUUCAGAUUAACUAUUCCAAAAAUAAUAUUAUUUUAAUAGAUUUAAUAUUAAAUUUAAUUUAAUACUUAUCUUAAUAGUAUUUUAUUAAUUUAAUAAUAAAGUGAUUAUCUUAAUAUUAAAUUUAAUUUAAUGUUUAUCUUGUAGAUAAAAAUUCUAUUAAGCUAAUAAGAUUUAAUAUUAAAUUUAAUGUAAUAUUUAUCAAGAUAAAUAUUAUAUUAAAUUUAAUAUUAAAGUGAUUAAGUUUAACUAUAAUUGAAUUCUCCAAACUCUCCCUAUAUAAAGAGAGUCUUUGGUCAUUAUUUUUCACAUACGUGAAUUCAAGAUAAAGUUUUAGAGUGAAAAUUCUCUGAAGAAAUUAUUUCAAAAAAUUUCUAGAGAUAUUUUUCUUAUUUUCAACUUGGUCCAAAAGUUUAGAGAAAUUAUGAAAUUACCCCACUGGUAAAUUUUGUGAAAAAUUUUCUAAUUCGAAGCGAGCCCACACUCGACAGACAUGAGCUUAAGGAUAGUGGAGAAGACUACUCGGUUGAAGCAUUCGGUCGAAGCGUUCGGUCGAAGCGUUCGGUUGAAGCGUUCAUCCUAGACGAAUCGAAAACGUACAAUUUUUAUUAAGUGCUUAUUACUUUAGAUAUCACAAUCAAGUUCUUGUUUUGAAAAAAAAUAAUUUUAAACUAUGGUUUUUCUCUAAAUUUAUUUUUCGUUGCGUUUUUUUCAAACCCAAUUUUCCAACAUAUUAACCCUAUGUACAUGCCAAAAAAUUGGGUUUUAAAUGAUAGAAAGACUAUCGAAUCAUAAACAAGAUAGUGUGAGCUCCAUACGAUCCGCUUGGCACGUUCCACAAGUUGGAGCUUUAUAGAGAAAAGGGAAACAACGGGGUAAGCUAUUGAAUGCUUAGUAAGUUCACAGGUAUUUAAACAAGAACUUACUUGAAAUUACAUCUUAAUUCAGUAAAAUACUAACUUUGUGGGUUCCAAUUGGGGGAUCGAAUUGAUUAUAGAAACAUGAGUUUAAUUAGUCGAUUUAUUAGUAAACAAGGAAAAAUAUUAUCUAGACGAGUAAAUAGAUUGACCUUAAAACAACAACGAUUAAUUACUAUUGCUAUAAAACAUGCUCGUAUUUUAUCUUCGUUACCCUCUCUUAAUAAUGAGAAAUAGUUUGAAAGAAGCGAGUCGACCACUAGAACUACUGCUCUUAGAACCAAAAAUAAAUAGGCUUACCCCUUCAAAAGAAUCGGAUCCGGUUGGGGAAGAAAAAAAUAUUUUUUAUUGAACGUCUUCGCUCAUCUUGUUUUGAUGACCUUAUCAGAAUCAGAAUUUUUUAUCAUAUUAAUUUUUACUCUACCUUCCCCGAGUUCAUUCUCGAGGGAACCCCAUUUCAUUUAAAAUAUUUCGUUGGAUUCUUUCCGAUCUCCAAUAACAUAUAUCAUAUCUUAUAAUAAAUCAAGCAUAUAACAUUCUCAAUGACUUAUAUCCAAUUUUUAUUUAAUUCAAUAUCAAUUUCAUAACAUUUUCUAUCUAUUAUCAACAAUACAUCCAAUUUCAGUAUAAAGUCAUUCACUAUUUUGUUUCGUUAUUCAAAUUUAUUAGUUCGUCACAUUUCCAUAUCGGCCCUUCGGGCUCGUAUAAUCGGUUUGUAUGAUCUAUCACAUGAUAUCAAUAUUCAUAUAUCUCAAUGUGUAUAUAAAUUAUCAAAUCAUAAUAUCAAUUCAUAUUCAAAUACCAUUUAUCCAAUUUAUAUUUUAUAUCCCAAUUAACUUGACUUGGACUUGGACAGAUACAUGGAUCCAACCAAUCACAUUAGUUUGACACUCAAUGUCUCAUUGGACAAUGUCGAAAUAAAUAGUUGAUGGUCACUAAACUAACUAUAAAUACGAAAAAGGUAAGCGCACCUAUCGAACAAUAGUAGAGUUAUGGUGAGUAGAGAAUAUCGUAUCCACAAGGACUAAAAGUACUAGUAAUUACUGUUUUUCUAUUAUUUAGUCGACAAUUUGGGGUGAUGUGUUUUAAUCUAAAUUUACUAAACUAAUUCUACUAAGAACACAACAGAGAAUGAAUCAAAGAAAUAAUUGAAUAUUAACUAAGGAGAUAGACAAUACCCAAGAAAGAAUCUACCUAGACUUCACCUAUUAUUAUGAAUCUGAAUUAAAUGAUUUAUUCACUUGUAUCUUGAUCCAUAGAAAUCCCUAAAUUAUGUUAAUAUCUCUUUCGAAAGUAAGAACAAUUGACUCUAGGUUGAUUAAUUGAAAUAUCUUUCUAAUUAAAACCCCUAUCGUCGCAUUAACUCGAUCUAUGGAUUCCCCUAUUAGAUUUGACUUUAAUCCGGUAGAUUUAUGUCAUCCUAUUUCUAUGAUUGCAUGCAACUCCACUCAAUUAUGCUAGAUCUACUCUUAAACAGGGACUUUUCCUCCACUGAAAUAAGCACAUUAAACAUGAAUUAAUAUCCCAGAAAUAUUAAAAUAAGAAAUUAAAUAAAAUGAUUCAUCAUAGGUUUCAUCCUCCUUAGGUAUCUAGGGAAUUAGUUCAUAAUCUUGAAUGAAAACAUCUCAAAGUCAGAAUAACCACAAGACAUAAAGAAACUCAAUAAAACUUCAAAAGAAAUUAAAAGGAGAUAUUCGAUCUUGAUGGAGAUCCACUUCUGAGUUGAUUCCGAUGGUGUUCUUCGAGUGUUUUAUUCGAUCUUCUCUAAUUGCUUCCUUAUGUCUUCUUCUAAUGGAUAUUUAUAGACUUUAGAAUGCUCAGAAAGCCUAAAAAUUGGGUUUUUUCCGCUUAUUUGGGAAGCAGGGUGCGAAAUCGACACGGGCUGGCACAUGGAAGAGUCCAGCCCAUGUGGCUCACACGGGCGUGCGCCCAGCACUCAUCAACUCGUAGUUGAAAUAAUCCGUACUCGACCUAUCCUAUUGCAUGCCAACUAUAUUCGACUAUGCUCGAACAAUUAAUAAGGUAACCUUUUAUUCAAUCGUCAUAUUGUUCAAUUCGCAUUUAAACAAUUCAAUUCAUAUCUCAAAUCAUCAGUUUAUCACAUGGCAUAUCCUAUUUCAAACCAAUUCAAGGUCAAUUCCAUAAUUCUAUCGAAUUAAAAUAUUUUAAAUUCUAUUUAGUUUAAUCCUCUAUCUUGAUAAUCAGUCAAAUUCAUACCAUUAUGAUUUGAUAUGUAAUGGCCUAAAUUUAAGGUUAUCGGAAUAGUGGUUUCGUAACCACAAAUCCGAUUUAAAGAUAAUUUUAUUUCAAUAUUUUUGCAUGAAAAUUGAUAUGAUAGGAAAAUCGUAUAAAAAUAUUGAUAGAAAAAUUUUACCGAUUUAGUGGUUAGUUAGAAAAACAAAUUAUUGAAGAAAUUAGGUAAAAUAAGGUAUCAGGACCUCUAUCUCGUAAAAUCGAGUCAAAAAUAAUUUUAUAAAUAUCUAUGAAAUGUUAGUAAUGUGGUAUUAAAAUUUAGUAAUGUGGUAUUAAAAUUUCGUUAGGAAAUUUUAAUGUUUGGAUAGUUAAUUAAAUAAAAAGGACUAAAUUGUAAAAUAUGUAAAAGUGGAUGGGAUGAUUAAAUAGCUUAAGUGUCUAAUGAGAGAGGAUUUAAAAGGCAAUUAGACCCAAAAUUUAUUUGGGCUGGACGGCAAGGGCAUGAAAUCAACAGGAAAAUUGAUAAAUUAAGGGCAAAAUUGGAAUAUUGCAAAAUUAACUAAAUAAAACUAGGACUAAAUAGGAAAUAUCUAGAUUUCUCUUCAUUUCUCUUCAAUUCCAGCAGCUAAAAAUGCCAUAGGAGGGUUCUAUAAGCUGGUAUUCCCUAAUUUUUGCACCAAGUGAGUUAAUCCUUGCAUUUUUCUUGUAAUUUUUGUGUUUCUAAGACUUUUACAACUACGUCCUACUAUUAAAUUCAUUAGUUUUUGAUUUCAUGGAUGAAAUUGAAAGUCACCAUGGUUUAUUGCUGUAAGUUUAUGAUGAAAUAGAAUUAAAUUAAAGCUUUAAUUUGUUUAUGAGAUGAUUUUAUUAGGUAAUUUCAAUAGAAAUUGAUUUUUAGGACCUAAUUGUGAAAAUAUUUUGAAUUAAAGUCUAUUGCUGAAAUUUUGAUUUCUAAAGGUUGUAAACUAGUUUAAGGUGAUAGAAUAAAGUGUUAAUUGAGAAAAAUCAGCUCAAUUGAGAGGCUAAUUGAGUAGGGACAAAAUUGUUAUUUAUUAAAAGCUUAGGGGAAAAUAGUAAUAAACAGCUUGCACUAAAACAAUAUUGGACAGCAGCAGUAGACUAAUUUUGAAAAAUUACCAUAAAUUGUAGGAAUCAAAUUAGAAGAUGAACAAAAUAUGAAAUUAAAGCUUAUUGAGUCUAGUUUCUCAUAGAAGAAAUGAUGUAAGCAAUGGAUCAGUAAAUCAUGAGAUAUAAUGAAUUUUGUGAGACAAGGUCAGAAUGAAUUCGAGUUCCCCUGUUCUGAAUUUGAAAAAUCAUAAAAAAUUGAAUAAAAAUAAUUAUGGGCUUAAAUUUAUAUGCAUAGAAUAUUUAAUGAGUAUAUUUUCAAGAAAAAUAAACAGAAACAUCAUCCAAAUUCUGUAUGAAGAGAUAAUUAAUUUUUAAUGAAGAAGGGUUAGAACUAUCAGAUAGCAGAACAGGGGUGACUUUAAAGAAUAAACUGUACUUAUUAGAUAAACCAAAAAUUCUGAAAAUUUUAUGGUAAGAAUAUAUUUGAGUCUAGUUUCAGGUAAAAUUAACGGAUCUUAAUUUGGAGUUCUGUAGCUCGAGUUAUAAAUAAUUUAAUGACUAUGGUUCAAAUAGACAGCUUUGAAUAAACUAUAAAUAAUAAUAAUGAAAUUAUAGAAAUUGUUGCAUAUGAACAUGAAAUGUAUUAAAUUGAUAAUUAAAUUUUUUUAUUUAGAUCCAGAAGAUUCAAAUAUGAAGCUAGAUCGAGGAAAGGAAAAAGUUCAGGAUUAGUAGAUUUUUGUACACGAACAAGUAUCAAGGUAAGUUCAUGUAACUUGAAUUAUAUUCUUAAAUACUUGAAAUGCAUGUUUUUGACAUGAAUAUGAUUUGAAUGUUCAUUAUAUGGAAAUUUAUGAAACAAUGAUAUAUUUGAUAAAAGAUGAAGAAAUCCCGGUUGAAUGAAAGGAAAAUUCGAUGGAUCUCUGAAAAGGAAUUGACGGUAAAAAGGAUCAAGCCCGGACGGAUGAUCCUAUCCUGAUAUAGCCCUCCCGAAGAAUAUAUGGAAAAUAGAUUUAGCCAGGACGGGUAAUCCGAAUCAGGGUCUGAAUUUAGCCUGGACUGGUAAUUCAAAUCUAAGCUAAUUAGAGUAAUUGUCGUUGCAGGGGAUUUAGCCUGGACUAGUAAUCCCGACAAUACUCUAUGAGUUUAUAUUGCAAGGGAUUUAGCCUUGGACUGGUAAUCCCGCUGCAAGGUUGAGGUUCGCGGGAGUGUGCUCUCUGAAAUAGAAAUGUGCGCACAUGAAUAUGAAUUGACAGACUCAGAAUUGUACACCAAAAGUGUACCUCUAAAAAUCCAUCAAAAUUUCGAUAAAUUCAACGGGAUAAAUAUGAAAAAAUAACAAGGAAAUGGAAAUUAUGAGAUUGAUGAGCUCAUCAAUCAUAGUCUAUAUUAUUGGUACAUGAAAAUUAUUGUACUAACUUGAAUGUUGAGUUUGUGCAUGUUAGAGUAAUAAUGCAUUGAAUGGAUAUAGGAAUGUUUAUUGUAUUGUAUUGAAAAUAUUAGGUAAGUAUAAUUCUUGUUACAUGAGCUUACUAAGCACAAAGUGCUUAUCCUGUUUCAUUUUCCCCUGUUUUGUAAUGUUAAGAGCUCGGAGGUCAGCUUUGGUCGGAGACACAUCACACUAUCAACAUCAGGAUUUCGGUAUAUAAGGAUACUUUAUUUUGGAAAUCAAUGGCAUGUAUAAGCUAAUAAAGUAAAUGUUAACGUGAAAUGAAUGUAAAGUUAGCAAUUGUAUGGUUAACAAACCUGGUUUUGGGUAUGUGAUGACGUUAUCUUAUAAAUAUGCAUGAAUUUAUCUUGAAAAUAUGUUGAAUUGGUUUGGUUGAUGUGGAUUGGUCUCGAUUUAAUAUUGUAGGGAAUGUUAGAUAUUUAUAAAGGGGUUAUAUUGAAUAUAAAAAAAAUAAAAAAAAUCGUAAACUCUGGUAAUACCUCGUACCCUAUUCCGGCAAUGAAUACGGGUAGGGGGUAUUACAUGAUAAGUCAUCAUCAACUAUUAAUUCGUUAGCAUUUCACAUCGCAGUUGAUCAUAUUCAAUUUAUCAAUUAAUUUAUGAUUUUCUUCACGAUUUAGUCCACCUCUCACAUUUUGUACUAAAUUGCAAAGAAUUCAAAUUACUAUUAAACAUACACAAAUUCAUAAUUUAAAUAUAUAUAGUAACUUAUAUACAAUCAUACCAUAUGAAAUUACCUGGUCCAAAUAGCAACAAACAACUCUCUAAGGACAAAUCAACAAAUUUUACCAUUUCCCCGAUUAUCUUCGAUUUGGUCUAAUUUCUGAUCUAUUCAAUAAUUCAAUUCAAUUUAUCAAUUUCUAUCCUCUUAUUUCAUCCUAUUAUAAGCGCAUAUUAGCUCAAUUUCAUUACUCGAAUGUCACUAAAAUUUUUUAUUUUAUUCAAUUUAAUCCCUAAGAUCGAAAUUGUAAUAUCUUUCAAAUUUGAGCCUCGACUUUGAAAUCGAUCUCAAUUUAAUCCUUCUACAGCCCUUUAUUUUCUAUAAUUAUAGAAAUUUUAUACUAAUUUCAAAGUAUUUACACUUUAGUCUCUAUGUUCAAAACUAACAAUUUUCACUUUACAAAUUACUCAUUUUUCAUAUCUAAGCUUAAAAUCUAAUCAUUUAACACCAAGAAGUUCAAGAAAUCAACACUGGAAACUUUUAAAAAUUUUAAUAAUUUUACAAUUUGGUACACGAGUUAGCUAAAUCAAGCUCCUGAGACCUCAAAAACAUAGAAAUUACAAGAAAAGUACUAAAUUAAACUUACCUAAUUAAUGCAAAAAGAUAAAAAAACUCAACCCUAAAUUUUUCUUCUUUAGCUUGUGAGGUUGAAGAUGAUAGGAGGUGAUGUUUUAUUUUCUUCUAUUAUUUUUAACUUUUAUAAUAAGUUUAACUUAUUUAAUUAUGAUUAACUAUAGUUAAACAUUGAUUAAUUAAUCUUUAAGUAUAAUUAGCCAAAUUAGUGCGUGCUAGCUUAUAUCCACUGCCGUUUAUCAUAAUUACAAGUUCCAAUUGCUUAAUUGGUCCUUUAAUUAAUUAAAAAUUCAUAGCGAUUAAUUUUUACCUCUUUAACAAUUUAGUCCUUGUACCUUAAUUACUCACUAAUUCGAUAAAAUUACUUAUUCAAAAUUCAAUUCACCUCUAUAAUAAAUCUGUAAAUAAGCUCAGUUUAUGGAAAUGAGGUUUCGACACCUCAUUUUCAAACACAACUAACUUUAGGGUUUAAACACUUGUACUUUAACUAACUAUCUAAUUAACAAAUUCAUCGAUCUUAAAUUUAAUGUAAUAUUAUAAUUGACUUGUAAAUGUUAAUUCAUAACAUUUAUGGACUCAAUCAUCAGAAAACGGGGUUCUAAAACCACCGUUUCCAACAUCACUGACUUUCAAGUAGUUACAAUCCUAUUUUAUCAGUUUACGGAAACAAGGCCCUGAUAUCUCAUUUUCAACACCAUUAAAUUUAGAGUCAAAACACUUGUACUUUAAAUAAAUAUCCAAUUAACAAAAUCAUCAGACCUAUAAUUGACUCGUAAAUAUUAAUUAAUAACAUUUACAAACUCAAUAAUCAGAGAAUAGUGUAACACCCCAAACCCGGCCCAAACGUUAUGACCGGAUCCGACAUGCCACAUCGAAGCGUUCAAAAUAUUUUAUAUUGUUGAUCCAGAAAAACUUACUUAGUGUUUUAAAAGAUAAUUUCAUUAUAGGUUAAAGUGAAUGGAAGCUGUGCACCAGGUAGGAAACCGGAAAAGAGGUGGUGAAUCCAUCGGACUGCUUAAGUACCAAGCUCCCUUCGGAUCCAAUCCUAGACAUGCAUACCGCCAUUGCCACACCUUAACGUCAUGGAUAUUUCUAGGAAACCAAUUUGAUUAAGUCAUUUUUAGGAAAAGUGAUUAAUUUUGGAAAAUAUCUUCAUUGCGGAAGCUUUGCUUGUUUUCGUGUUAUUUUGAAAUAAAUUACUGUUUUUGAAAACGCGCCCUAAAGCUAUCCAAUUUCAACAGUUAAAUAUAAAUAUUACCUAUCUUAAUAAAACAUAUAAAAACCAUCAAAAAUAAAUAAGCGGCCUUAUUACAUUUAAAAGCCCAAAACCUCAAACGUAAUUAAAAGGAUGUCCAGUUCACCAGAAGAAAAUCAAACUUUCAGAACGAGUGGCCACUCCGAAUUCCCUCACAGCUCCAAGCCCACUAUGGUUGGGGAUUACCUGCAUGGAUGAAAAUAAAAGGGGUGAGUUUGGGGAAACUCAGUGUGUAAAUUAACCCAACCAUAGCCUAUGUCAGCUCAAACCACAGAAAAUAGAAUAAGUUGGCCUUAGCCCAGAACAGAAUUCAGAAUAAAGCCCAUAGGCCCAUAAUAGAACAGAACAAAUAUUACAUGUUUAUGCAGAAACCCAACCCAGAUUCAUCCAUAACACCCCCGUACCAGCCUUACACCAUGUGGGGAGACUACUCGACCCACCCAACCGCUACACACCACAGAAAUCGCUGCGAGGCUACCAGAUAUUGUGACGAAGUCACCAGAUACAGAUAUUGUCGCAGAGCCACCAGAACAGAUAUAUGUGGCAGAGCCACUAGAUCAGAUAAUUGUGGCAUAGCCACCAGGACGCUUCCUCCAUAAUAUAACCCAUGUCCCCAUGCAACAGAUAUAUAAUCAUGGCAUACAUCAUACAGAAUCAGAUCGUCAUGCUUUUCAGUCAAAAUUAACCCUAGGGGUAUAACGGUAAUUUUGCACCUAAGGGUAUAAUAGUAAUUUUCCAUACAUAGGGGUAUUAUAGUAAUUUAGCUACUUUUAGGGUUUUCAUGCAUAUCCUAACUAUUUACGUACUAUCAGAACACUUACCGCGCAUACUUACCGAAUUGGGCCCGUUGGCCCAUGAACCCGAUCUUUGGCCCAUUAAGCCCAAAUUAUCAAAAUGUACGAAAUCGCGCGUACUGCAGUUUAUUACUUUAGAUUACCAAAUAUACAAACCCAACUAUCUUACGAGCAUUCGCACACUCGCAAAUUCCCAAAAUACCGACUUUUCGGCAUUUCGACUUUUCGGCUUUUGCCAAUCUAGUCUAUGAGAGGGUGUCAGUUACACACUUGUUUGCGACGAUAUGCUGACGAGAUCCACACACGAACUGCCUACAAUUGGAUUACUAACACGUUAAUCUAACUAUUCAAAUACAAACUACGUAUUAACCCCUUACAAUAUUCGGCCAACCACACCUACAGAUCAUAGUAAGCUUAUAAGAAAACAAUAAGCAACUCAUUAACAAAUUUUUGUCAAUGUUUACCACAUAAUCAUAAUUUCACUGCAAGUUGUCUUCCUGAGCAACAGUCACUAAAUUAUUUAUAACUGGAGCUACGAAACUCCAAAUCAAGUACCGUUAAUUUUUCCUGAAAAUAGACUCAUAUAUCUUCUAUCCAUAAAAUUUUCAGAAUUUUUGGUAUGUCCAAUCAAUACCAGAUUUUUCUUAAAGUUUCCCAUGUUUCACUGUUUGACUAAUCUGACCACUCUUCAUUACGAAUCAAAUUUUUCAUUGUAAAGAAUUCAAAAUAUGUUCUCGUUUAUUCCAUUUGAAACUAGACUCAUUAAGAUUUAAUGACAUAAUUUAUGCAGCUUCUAACUCAUCUCCCACAAUUUAUGGUGAUUUUCCAAAGUCACGUUACUGCUACUGUCCCAAGCAGAUUUAUUACCAAAUCACUCUUUCACACCUAACUUGCAUGCUUGUUAUUUAAACAUGUAUAUCACCAAUUAAUCAUCACAUAUCUAUGAUUUUACUUAAGUAUAAUCUCCAUUUCAUCAUUUUAAAGCACAACAUGUUAGCCGAUUUUUCCCCUUAGCAUCUAAGGCACAUGCAUGCUCAUUUGUUUGGCUCAACUUCAUCUAUCUUCCAUUUUUCAUCAAAAGAACAUGAAACAACAACCAUUUCCUUCAUUUUAAUUCAUGACUAAAUGCUCACAACACAACUAAAAACCAAAAUAUGCUUCAAGAGUUAAGGUAGAAUCAAGAAGAACUCAUGAACAUCAAGAUAGAAGCAAACUACCAUUAACUUACCUUCAAUUUUCUUCCCCAAGUGACCGAACAUUCAAGAGCUUUCUCUUCUCCUUUCUCUUCUCUAACUUUAGGCUAUGAUGAACAAAGAUGGACAAAACUUUGUUCUUUUCACCCCUUUUUUUUUUAAUAAAAUUUCAUAUUUCAUCCAUUUAAUUCUUUAAUACAAAAGACAUGAAAUGCCCAUCAUGGAACAUUUACCUAAACCAUUAUCAUAGAACAUUUACCUAACCCAUUAUCAUGGAAUAUUUACCUAAUCCAUUAUCAUGGAACAUUUACCUAACCUAUUAUCAAUUUGUAUCAUGAAUUAUGGAUAUCAAGUGCUCAUAUUGUCUACAACAACAUGAUGGCUGGCCACUUCAUGUAAAAUGGGAGGUUUUUCAUGCAAAUCCUCCUAUUUUGCACUCCUAUUUAUUUGGCCACUUCAAUUUAGCCUAUAGCAUUUUCAAACAUUUUCACAUAGGUUCUAUUUCAUAAUUUCACCCUAUUUUUCUUAUGGAACAAAAAUUAACUAAAAUUGCCGGGUUCUAUCUUAAGUUUGGGCCUUCUAGAGGCCCACUAACAUAAUUAAACCUAUGCCAACAUUCACAGAAUUCUCGAAAAUUGGGGCGUUACAAAUAGGGUUCCGAAACCACCAUUUCUGACACCUCUGACUUUUGGGUCGUUACAAUCAUAUUUUAUCGCAUGGUAAUCAUUACAUCUUCCUUCAUGAAAAGUCAACUACUAUUAAAUAGUAAUCUAGUCAUCUAUCACAAAGAUGAACGACCCGUAACCAUAUUUACUUUUAAUCAACCAUGUAAUUCCAAUGAGAGGAUAUCAUUUACCCAUGUCUCGAGCUAUGAAUUCCACUGUUGUGAAUGACACUACAUACUGCAAAAGUCGUACACCCAACGCACCAAUGCACCAACUUUCAGUUACCUUAGUGGCAUCAUCCUUGAUGCCUAUCACAUGGAAGUAUUGUUCCAUCCCCCAAAGAAAAUUGUCCACAUUUCUUACGGGUCUCGUCCCAUCGAACUCUUUUGGCUUAGGGACAUCCACUUUACGCUACUUAGGAACUGUAGCCAACAUCUUUUUUCUACGAAAGCUCUACACAGAGUAAGCUCUCCUUCGAGCUCCUCAAUUUUUGCCAUCAUGGCCUUAGUUUCCUCCUUCAAAGACACGACCAUCUUUUAGAGAGCAUCAUUUCUCUUAGUCAGCUUCUCUGUCUGAUCAUCCAUAGCAGCAUCGAUGGUCUCUCUCAUUGUACCUCAAUUGGAAGUAAUAGUUUCUAUCAUAAAGCCCUUAAGCUGCUCUCUCAUUGAGUCUAACUCACUAGUGCAUCCCUCAACUACCUCGAGUGUUUCUUUCAUACCACUCAUGGAUUCCUCAAGAUUGGUCACCUGACCUUUUAGAAUCGAUAUCAUAUCCCUCGAUUUGCUAUUUUCUUAGACCUUUCAUGGGUCUCCAUUGGGAUAUUCUACUCGCCUCCUCACUUUGUCAUAUCAUUUGGCGCCUUCAAACAUUAGCUCUGAUACCAACUGUCACAGGGCUAGAUCUUCAGUUUGGUAAAUAGUAUGGCUUUAGGCGAUUUGUUGGGUUCAAAUCCUACCUAACUCAGCCUACUCUUGAAUAAUAAAAAUUCUUGCAAAAAUUCUCUAAGGCACUAAGGCAAAGUGGAAGCAAACUCGAAAGACAAUAGAAGCUAAGAACGAACAAAAAGCCACAGAAAGAUAGUGCACACCAAGUGCUUGAGUAAAUGCUCUCAAUAGUAUUCAAUUAUUAUGAAGGAUUACAACUGAGUGAAUACAAAUGAGGGGAAAGACCUCUAUUUAUUGUUGAGCUCCUCUAAAACAAAUGGUAUGAAUUGAGAUACAUCAAUAGUCGAGAUAAAAGCCUAUCUACAAUUAAUAGUACUAAGAGAUUCGGACUCUAUACAAUCUUAUCCCUUUAGGAUUUACACAAUUUACCCUGGUAACUCUAAUUUUACUAGAGUGCUUUACUGGGUCACCAAGGCUUCAAGUAGAUGGACAUCUUCAUAGGUUCCACGAGUCAGGCCAGUUCAUGUGGAUCAAAUGAGCCACAUUUAGUAAGUUGGUCACUCUAUGGGGCGUUCUGUGCACAAUGUUCACGGACUUUGAUCCGUGGCCUGUGACACUAGAAGGGUAUAAUAAAAUAAUAAUAAUAAGUUUAAUAUUUAAAAAAAUCACAUGUCAAUUUUUUAAUAUUGCUUGUGGGAUAAAAAAUAUAUUGCUAGUAUAUUAUAUACUAAUUUUUUAAAUAAAAAAUAUAAAGUUAUAUCUUUUCAUUUUGAAGCCUUUAAAAUGUUUAAUUAGCAAAAAGAAAUUAUGAUGAUUUUAAAAUUCUCAUAAUUUAGUUAGAAUAUACUUCCAACUAUGCAUAAAAAAACUAUUGAUGCUCUUAUAUUUUUCCAGAAUAAAAUAUAGGAAAAAUCGAUUUUGAAGGUUUGAAAUGUGAAUUACCCUUGCGGAUUUAUGAGCCCUUAUGUUUCAUAUAUGGUGUUGGUUUGGAAAGGAUUGCUAUAUGUAGUUAACUUAUAUCAUCUACAAUUAUAUACAAUUAACUUACAUCAUCCGAAGCAAAGUGAGGGCUACUUACUAGGAAUAAUUGAAAUAAUAAUAAUUUAUUUUAAUCACUGGCAUUACUUUUUUUUUAUUGAAUUAAAAUAAUAAUUUUAAAAAUAAAUAAAGAAAAAGAUAUUUGUUCAUCCAAUUAGAAUAAUGAGUAGUACGUAAAAUGAUCUUAAGGCAAUAAAAUAAAGAUUUAUAGCUCUUUUGCUAAUGGGUGAAUUCCUUUAUAAAGCCACCCAUAUUUUCCUUAAUUAUUCAACAUUCCUGGAUCACAAUUUAAGCACUAAUUGCCUCCAACCUUUUAAAAAUUAAGAAAUUUCUUUUAUUCAAAAUAACUAUUAAAAAAAUAAAAUUAUUAUUAUAUCUCAAAAUUCCAUCUUAUAUAUAAAUAUGAUUAUAAAAAUAUGUUUUUAUUACAUCGUAAAAAGAAAAAAAAAGAAAAAAAUGUUACUUCUUUAAAAGUCAAUUCUAUCGCGAACGCUUUUACUUCAAAAUCAAAUCUGAAGUUUUCCACCGACACUUCAAUUCAUUUCUUUUUAAUCUCUGGAAGCGUAGGCUAUAAAAGAAAACAAUUGUUUGGAUUUGCAAAAUUUAUUUGUCUUAAUUUUCGCAGUUAAUUGUGGCAUUUUUGUGGAAUCUCAAGAUUUUGUUUUUAAAGCAUUUAAGCUUUUGGGGAGCAAAAUGAUUUGUUAUUUUAGAAUAACGUCUCUUCAACACUUUCUUAAAAACUCAAACAUAAAACAUUCCCAAAGUAUUUAUUUUGGUUGAAAUUAAUUAAAUAACUUUUGAACCUAAAAGUUAGCUCUCAAAAUAUGUAAAAUGAUACAAAUUAUGGAAAUCAUAAUUAUAUGUCAUUAUUUACUAUCAUAAUAGGUUAGCUCAAAUUAAAAGUGAUCUAAUUUGGUUAAAAUUUUAUUCGGCUUUAAUGAUUAAAUAAAAUAUGGGUCAAAUAUGUGUAAAUACUCUAGUAAUUAAGUUCCAAUUCAAUUUUAAUUAAUGAUGGACUAAUUAAAAUUUAAUUAGAACUAAUAUACCAAGGUUAUAAAUAUUAGGGUUAUGGUCCUCAAUUUAUACACAAUAUAUCUUUUUUAAUAUCUCAUCAUUAGGAAAGAGAGAGCAAAUAUUCUCUGAAUUUCUUGUGUACUAAUUUGAAAAAUUAAAUCCCCAAGAUCCGGUAAAACUUCAAGGAAUUCAUGGAUUUAGGUACGCUUCUGUCUCUAGUUUUGUUCUUGAUUUAUUCUUUAUGAUUUGACAUGAUAGAUUCUGAUUUAUUAAGUUUUAUUUCAGAUUUAUUUUACAAAUUCUAACAUGUGGCAUUCGAGUUUUGUCAUAUUGAAUUAUUGAAAAUGUAUUGAUUCUUUAUUAAUUUUGGAUUGAUUCGUUUUUUUUUAAAUUUUAUGGAUUUGAUUUUUUAAUUAUAUAUUAUGUUGAAUCUUUGAGAUUCUUGAUAAAUUUUUGGGUUUUGAUCCUUUAAAUUAGGUUUUAAGGUUUUAUAAAUAUAAUCUAGUUUAAUAUUUGCAUAUGCUAUUCAAAAUAUGAAUGUUUAUUUAUUUAUUUAUAAUCAAUUGAUAAAAAUUGAUUUAUGAGAUUUCUUUCUUUUUCUUUUCACACAAUUAUUUUAUAAAUUUUGGUUAAAAUCAUUAUUAAAUUAAAGUUACAACUUACAACUUUUUGCAAUUGAAGAAUUCCAAUUAGGUUGUAUAAUUGGUUUUGAAAGUUAAUUCACUUGGUACUCGAAUAAAUGAAUAUUGGUAAGAUUUUUUUUUCCGCACUAUUUGUUUUAAAAUUUCUGUUUCUGGUUGAAUAUAUAUGGAAUUAUCAUCUUUUGUUUUUAUUCAUGAUGACUUAUAUUCACCAUUGAAUUUAAUUCAUAUAUGCGAAUGAUUACUUUUGGUUUCUGUUAUAAUUAUUUUAUAUAAGUUUUAGCCCUUAUGGAAUCUAACUAAAAUUAAAAUAUUUGGGAUUUUUUUUAAAAUAUAGUGGCUAUGAAUUUUCAUAAGUAGUUGCGCAUAUAAAGACUUUUAUAUAAUUUGGGAUUCUUUUUAAACUUAGUGGUUAUGGAUUUUUUUUAAGUAUGUGUGCGUAUAAAGAAGUUUUAUGAUAAUGUCUUUAGCCAUGAAUAUAAAUUUGAGUUUACAUGAAAUAUGUAAGGCAAGCUAGUAUUAUUUUUAUAUUAUUAUAAUUGUGUGUAUAUAUUAUGUGUGUAUAUAUAUUAUAUGCAUAUCAAUGAUUUUGAGGAUUAAUGCAUGAUUAUAGUUUGUGUGAAUAGGUGUUUAUAACCAUUAUUCAAUAAGAUAUCUUUUAUAGUUUAAUUAGUGAAAUUAAGUUUUGAUGGAUACCGUUGGAGUUGUUAAUUUUUUUUUUGUUAUGGUUAUAUAUUUAAUUUUAUAGGUGUUUUGGUACAAAUUCAUGUCAACUAUAUACAUAUUUAAAUAUUUUGGUUUUAAGUUUGGCUUUAUAAUCUUAGGUUUUGGCAUCUUAUGGUUCCAAAUAUUUGGUUAAAUUAUAAUGAUAUCGUUUAUUGUAUGAAUUGUGGUAUAGGCCAACUAUUAUAAUUUUGUUUUUUUGAGAUUUAUUGGCAUGAAAAUAUUUUUUAAGUAUUCAUGUGAAUAUCUGUUUAAUCAUAAAUACAAAUUUGGACUUACAUGGUAAAUUCAGGGUAAGUUUUUCUAUUUAAUUAUGAAUACAUGUAUAUGUGUGAAUUGUUUUGGUAUUUUUAUCCAAGCCAAAAUUAUGAAUACAUGUGCUUGUUAAUUAUUUGGCUUUGAACUACCAAAUCAGAGGUGGAUACAAGGGGGGCUGGCAGUGGCCCUGGCCCCCCCCCCAAAUCGGAAAUUUCUAUUUAGGCCCUUGAUUUUUUUUAAAUUUUAAAUUGGUAAAGGUAAAAUUGUACUCUGGCCCCCUAAAAUUAUAAAAAUUUGAUUUAAUUCUUUAAAAUUAUAAAGAUAUAGAUUAUAAAAAAUUAAAAUUUUAUUCGGCCUCCCCUAAAAAUUUGUUCUGGCUUCGCCCCUGCACUACAUUAUUUAUGUUUGGUUUUGAUAUAUAUGGUUUUGGAACCAAAAAAAAAAGGAAAAAGAAAUAGUCAAAAAUUAAGGUUCUCAGUUUUUUAUUGCAUUAUUAAGAUAAUCUUAUUUUAGAUUAUUUCGGAGUCUAUAAUAUAUAUUUUAAAAUAACUUAAUUGAAGCAAUAAGUCACCAAGUGAUUUUUUGUAUAAAUUAUUUCGUUUUAAAAUAUAAAAGGUUGUGUGCAUGUAACUUAAGUUAUGUUAAUAUUGAUCGACCCAAAUAAAGGUUCAUAAUAUAACAUGUGCAACUAUGGUAACAAACAUGUGACAAUUAUUCGAUUUCACAUGUAAGCAAUAAAUUGGUCCAAAGGAAGAUUUAUGGUUUGACAUAUUAUUAUUGUCAAUAUUUGACUGUUAUACCAAUAUAUCAUUUACAAGUUAAUAUUUUGUCUAAAGAUUAAAUAUUAAUGGAGUGUCUGAUAUCUUGAGAUGAGGUUUACCUUUAUUCAAAUUAUUUUGGUUUAAUUUUGAAGUCUUAUAUGAUGUUGUUUAUGAUUUAUGAUUUAUUCAACUAUUAUUAUAUUUUCCAACAUCAUUGUCUGUUGUUCUGGGAUAACUAUAUAUACAUAUAUAUACUAGUAUCUUUUAAUUUGAUUGAGAGAUGAAAUUAAAAGAAAUAUUUCGAAACAAAUAAAUUCAAGUUUUGGCUUUGAGUUUUAAUUAAUGAUGUCUAAUAUUUUAAAUAGAUUAGUUGAAACAAAAUGCCGCCAAAGUGACCUCUUUUGUGUAGAUUAAUUUAUUUGAAAUAUCAAGAUGAUUAUAUGUUUUUAUGAUUCAUGCAUUUAUUAAUUGACCCAAAGGUAAGUUAAUAUUUGGCAGAAUUUCAACGACAUCUGUGGUGAUAAAUGUGUGAAAAUUAUAAAGUAUUUUAUGUGAGCAAUAAGUUAGUCCAAAGAUUAAAUAAUUGUUUGACAUAAUUUAUUGUCAAUGUUUGAUUGCUACAACAAAAGGACCACUUACUGUUAAUAUUAUUGUUUAAAGACUUGAUAUUAAUGUUGUGUUUGGUAUCUUGAGAUGGGAUUAGCCAUUAUCUUGAAUUUAUUGUUUACUUAUGAAUAUUGAUGUAAGCUUAUUUUUAUGUAUUUUUUCUAUAUUCAGCUAAUUCAUCUUCUACUGCCACAAUAUCUGCUAAUAUAAAUUCUAUACCCAUGCUUAAUGGGACUAAUUUUAAUGAAUGGAAAAGACACUUACUUAUAAUGUUUGGUUGUAUGAACAUAUACAUUGCACUAAGGGAACAACAACCUGCACCUCUCAUUGCGGAAAAUACCCCUUAUGUUAAAAAGGAUUUUGAGAGGUGGGAUCGUUCAAAUUGCAUGGUUUUAAUGAUCAUGAAGCACAACAUUUUAGAAGCCUUUAGGGGUAUAGAAUCUGAAAAGAUUUCUCUGGCUAAGGUUUCUUUGACGAAAUUGAGAAAUGUUUUGCUAAAAACGAUAAAGUUGAAAUGACAUCAUUUUUAACUUCUUUGAUGUCUAUAAAGUAUAAUGGUCAAGAAAAUAUUGAGCGAUCUAAGGGCCAUGAGUUUUAUGAUCCUACAAUUAGGAAUAUUUUUGAGAUGAGAAUUGCAAUAUUCUUUUAGGAUGUUGAGUUUAGAGGGAGAAAUAAGGUUAGAAACAUUGCUUUUAAGGAGGAGUUAAAUUCUAACUUAAUUCCUACUAUCACUUUUGAUGAUAUUUAGGUUCUCAUACCUAUCAUUGAUUAAGAAGUGAAUCUAGAACCUCAAUAAGACAAUGUUGAACAAUUCCCUAUUUAAGAUAAGGUAAUUGUUUUAGAAGAAUAAACUCAACAACCUCAAGAAUGAAUAUCAUUAAAAAGGUCCAUUAGAGAAAGGGGUAUAAUGGCUUUAGUGGAAUAUUUUGACCUUAAGCUAUAUCAGAUGAAUAUUAAGUUAAUGGUUUCUCAAUGGUAACAUUGAUCAUACAUUUAUAUGGUGCAAUUAGAAAACUUUGUGUCUGAUGAUGCAAAGGUAAUGUUUUGCAAAUUAAAGAACUUCAUCUAUGGGCUUAGUAGACUCCUCGUCAAUAAUAUUACAAAAUUUACCAAAUGAUUAUCUCAUUCGAUUUAGAGAUGAAUUUUAUUGAUAAUCAUAUAUACCAUAAGUUUAGUGGGAGUAAGGUUCUAUAUUUGGUUUUAUAUGUUAAUGACAUACUGCUUGUCAAUAAUAAGUAUAGCCUCAAUCAAUGCCUGAAGAAUGAUUUUGAGAUUACAAAAAAUGCAUUAGUUUUUUUUUACAUUUUAGCAGUAGAAAGUCUAAUGUAUGUUCAGGUUUGUAUACAUUGGAAUAUUGUGUACACUAUUGGGAUGUUAGGAAGAUAUUUUAAGCAACCCUGAUUUGGACCAUUGGAUAGCAUCCAAGAGGUUUAUAAGGUAUUUACAGAAAACAAAACAUCACAUGCUCACAUAUCGGAGGUUUAAUCAGUUAGAGAUCAUCAGGUAUAUAGACUCUGAUUUUGAUGGAAAAUAGAUACAAGAUUUUGUCACUAAGGUGCAAAUUGUGAAAACAAAUGGGUGUAAUGUCACACUUAAGGUUUUAUAAGAGUACACUACUCAUAUAGGUGUAAUGUCAUUUAAAGGAUAUUUGGUUUUAGUGUGAGUUUGUAUUUUUAAAUGCUUUUAUGUUAUAGACACAUUUUCAGUUAUUUUAGUUUAAAGAUAUUAAGUUUAUUUUCUGCAGAAAUAAAGUUUAUUUGGUUUAUUCACACUCUGAUUUUGGUAAGGUUUGAUCUCACUAAGGAGGACCAGUUGGAAAUAGACAUGUUUAGAUCAUAUUGCAUGUAAUUUUCAUGCUAUACAUCCAUACUUGAUCUAUGUCAUUUGGUUGUGUUAAUAUACGUGAUCAUAAUAGAUUUAGUUAUGAUAUAUGUAACAAAAGUCACCUUGGUUCUAUGUUAACAUAAUUAAUAGACGAGAUUGUUUGGAAUAUCUUUUGAAUAUGAUAGUAAAAUUUUGAGCUCAUAAGGUUAUAUAAUGACAUGUAAUUUUAAAGUAAUUAGUAUAUAUAUGUGGUCCAAGUGAGAGAUUGUUGGAAAAUAUGGACAUCACAUAUAUAAUAAGGGUAAUUACAUAUUAUUAUUUACUAUCAUAAUAGGUUAGCCCAAAUUAAAAGUGAUCUAAUUUGGUUAAAAUUUUAUUGGGCUUUAAUUAUUAAAUAACGUAUGGGUCAAAUAUGUGUAGGUACUCUAGUAAUUGAGUUCUAAUCAAAUUCUAAUUAAUGAUGGGCUAAUUAGAAUUUGAUUAGAACAAAUAUACCAAGGUUAUAAAUAUUAAGGUUAUGGUCCCCAAAUUAUACACAAGAUAUCUUUUCUAAUAUCCCAUUAUUAGGAAAUAGAGAGCAAAUAUUCUUUGAAUUUCUUGUAUACUAAUUUGGAAGAUCAAAUCCCCAAUAUCCAAUAAAACUUCGAGGAAUUCAUGGAUUCAAGUAAGCUUCCACCUCUAGUUUUGUUCUUGAUUUAUUCUUGAUGAUUUGACAUGAUAGAUCCUGGUUUAUUAAGUUUUAUUUCAAAUUUAUUUUACAAAUUCUAACAUAAAAUUUCGGUGACUGAAGUGCUGGUGAUUCCAGAUCUGAUGGGGAUCAGAAUACUAAAAAAGUGAGAUUCAAGGAAGGAAUUGAUGGGGAGAUUGCUGCUAUGGCUGUAGACUCUGAUCCGAUCUCGAAUCUGUCUUAGAAGGACCAACUUUUGGAGGGAGGAGCAGUCAUUUCUGGUAUGGCUUGUAAUGACCAUAGCGAGGGAAGUGAAAGUGAUUUUGAAUUGUUGAAAGGUGAUGUGAGUACGACCAUGGACAACGGGAUCCCAAUAAUUGUCUUUUCGGAUCGUAUUAAAAAAAUUCUCUUCAAAGAGAUGGAAAUGAUGGUCGUACUGAAGCUCUUAAGAUGGAACAUUGGCUAUAACACUCUUUAUAAUCGAAUAAGCAGCUUAUGGAAACUUACAAAAUUGUUCCAUCUCAUGGACAUAGAAAAAAUUAAUUUUUGGUUAGGUUUUAGAACAAUAAAGAUUAUAAUCGAGUUUUAACUUAGGGACCGUGGAUCAUUUAUGAUCAGUACCUUACUAUUUAACCUUGGACUAAAUAUUUUAGUCCAUCGCAGCCAUAUCCCAACGUGGUAAUGGCUUGGAUCCAGUUGUCGAGACUCACGGGAUUCAUGUACAAACGAAAGAUCAUAGAGGCCAUCAAGAGGCUAGUCGAAAAAGUUGCAAAAUUGGAUUUUCAGACUGAUAGCAGAACCAGAGGCCAGUUUGCUCACCUAGCUGUGUUUAUUAAUCUUGACAAGCCUUUGGUUUAUCAGGUUAUAGUCGACGGCGUCAUCUAACGAGUGGAAUAUAAGGCGCUUUCGACAAUAUGUUUUUCUUGCGGUAAGUAUGGGCAUGUCAAUGAUUUGUACCUGUCAGUGGUGGUAGAUCUGACCCAGGAAAGUAAUCAGAAAUGGUGGUUGCAAACUCAAGCGAGGCCAUUGCCGGAAUAGAAGGAAGGAUAAGAUCGGAGAUGGAUCGUGGAAGUUGGUGAAAAGGAAAUCGUGGCGUAGUCAAAGGGAUUUACGGGUUAACGAUACGGCGAAAACUAGAAAGGAAUCGUUAGGAUCCAGAUUCACGGCAUUAAAUGCGGUGAGGGAGAUGGGAAAUGGUAAUGGUGAGGGUGAUGAAGGAAUCUCGAGGAGAAAGGAUAAUGAGAAGGCGAAUGGGGCUUUAGGUGGUAAUGAGGCUAGGGUUAAGGAAAGUCCUAAAGAGGGUUUGGGCUCAAGCAAUGGUGCAAGUUAUGGGGGAAAUGUUAUGGGGCCUGUUAAGCUUACUAAUUUAGGUAGUACAUAGGUUGUUAAUUUGGGCAGCAAAUCUAGUGGUUUAAUGGAAAAAAUAAUGGGAAAUAGACCUAUCCUGAUAGUUGGACUUGGCCAGGAUAUUAAGGGGUCUGCUAAUAAAGAUAUAUCCAAAUCUAACUUAAAUAUUUUCAUUGGACAUGCAGGUUUGGCACAGGACAAUUCGACUGGUGAUGGCUUGGAUCCCGAAAUAAAUGGUCAAGGUGAUAUAGAUUUAGGGUUCGGGCGAACAUUAAUUCUGGAAAUUUUGAGAAAAUUAGGGCACACUGUGACUCCACAUUUGAAGAAUUAGGGGGAAUUGAAGUCCCAAUAACUGAUGGUGUCCUUGUCCCCAGAAAAUAUUUCGCGGUGAUUUUUAAGAAAAAAUUACACUCAAACUAGUAGGAUAUUUCGAUCAACCGAUCAUUAGAGACCUUGAGUAUGGGUACCUCAGGCCCUAAAGAUAGGAAGAAUGGUGGUAGAGACAUCAUCGGUCAUAAUGGUCGAAAGCCUUCUAAUGAUUUAUGGGGUCAGGAGAAUCGCUUUAAAUCCUUUAGGAAUCUGCGGUCUCCUUUAGCAGAAUCCAUGAAGUUUGUGGUAGAGCUUUUUUCUUCUCAGAUGUUUAGUAAAGUAGUGAAUGAUACCUAGGAAGUCGCAGCCUCAACUGUAGAUGGGGUUAAUGAUUAUUGAUAGUAAUGGUAUGGUUCCUAAUUUUUUGUAUUAAUUCAUAAAUUUUACAAUUUUUUCUUAGAAUUGCUAGGGUUGUGCUAGUGUUAAAUUUCCUCGAGUUUUUUUGGAAUACAACAUGGAAUAUAAACAUGAUAUUAUUAGUCUUCUUAAGCCAAGAGUGAGUGGUACUAAAAUAGAUAGCAUUAUCGUAAAGCUAGGGUUCUAGUGUUCACAUUGAGUGGAGGCAAUAGGAUAUUCCGGGGGUAUUUGGAUUAGACAGAAAGAUUCAGUUCAUGUUAAGGUGGUUCGUAGUCAUUCUCAGUUUAUUCUGACUUAGGUUUGGCUUAUAUCUUUCCCAACACCGAUUUCCAUCUCCUUUGUGUAUGGAAGCCUUAAUUGGUAGAGAUGUAAGGACCUUGGGAAAGAUUUGAUAUCUCUGAUUCCGCUGGGGCAAAUUCCAUGGAUUCUUAUUAGCGAUUUCAACACAAUCCUAUAUUCUAUUGAGAAAUUAGGUGGUCUUUCUAACAGAAGAAGAUGCCCUCAUUUUGGUGAUUUUGUCGAUAUAGCCAAGGUACAUGAUUUAAGAUUCAAAUGACCUCCCUUUACUUGGCAUAGAUGUACUCUUUUUGAAAGGUUAGAUCGUGCAUUGGUAAUGAAGCUUGAGUCUACAAAUUUCCAAAUAGCUUGAUCACUUACCUUCCAAAGAUUAAGUCAGGUAUAGACCUCUUUUCCUACCCCUAAACCUGGAGGUUAUUCUACCUAAAGGUCAGCGUUUUCAAUUUUUGGCUGAGUGGGCAGAAUAUCCAGAUUUUGAGUAUUUUGUAGGUGAUAAUUGGAAAUUUAGAGGGGAUAUGUCUGAUACUUUAGCCAAGUUCACUCAUAGUCUAAAGGAGUGGAAUAAAUCAGUUUAUGGACACAUCACCACUCGAAAGAGAUAUAUGAUAAAUAAACCUAUCAAUAUUCAGAGGAAAAUGGACCUCUCUAGUUCAAUUCAUUUAGCUUUCGUAGAUUUGAACCUUAGACAAGAGUUGGAGAAUGUACGACAUCACGAGGAACUUCUUUGGAAAUAAAAGGUGAGAUACGAUUGGUUAAAUCUAAGGGAUCAUAAUACUAAGUUUUUCUUUACUCGUACAUUGCGAAGAAAGAAAAAAUAAUUACAUCAUUGCUAUUCACAAUUCUGAUGGUAUGAUUCUAAAUCCAUUGAAUCUAAGGCGAAUGAAUUUUUGCAAAAUUUGUAUGGGGAGGUUCUUAGGUCUAUGGGACGCUUGCCUCCAAGCGGUUUUCCUCAUCUUGAUAUUAUUUAUAUUUAUUUUUUGGAGAAGUCGGUCACGAAUGACAAAAUUAAGGAAACUCUCUUUGACAUGACACUUCUCAAAGCACCGGGUAGUGAUGGGUUUCAUACCCUCUUCUUCUAAAAGUAAUGGAGCAAAGUUGGGGGAGCGAUCUGUGAUUAGGUUAAAAUGGUCUUUAAUGAAAGUAUUAUCGAUUCCAAAAUGAAUAAUACAUUGAUAGUUCUUAUACCCAAUGUGUCAAAUCCAGAAGGCUUCGCCCAGUUUCUUCAAAUAAGCCUUUGCUCUGUCAUUUACAAGUUGGUGAUGAAGGUAAUCGCUAAUCAUUUUAAGUACAUCUUUCUUAAAAGCCAGUUUUAUUGCAGGUAGAAACAUCACCAAUUAUAUUAUUAUCCCACAAGAGGUAAUCCAUUCCAUGCUAUGUUAGAACAAAAGGAAGUGGAUGACGAUUAAAAUAGAUCUAGAGAAAGCUUACGACAGAGUGAGAUGAGACUUCAUCAACACUUCUUUCCAAGUGGUAAGUAUCUCAGACUACCUUAGAAAAGUUAUAAUAUUUUCAAUUUCUAAUUUUACCAUGCAAAUUAUGUUGAAUGGAGUCCCUUUGUCUAAGUUUAGGCCUGCUAGAGGAAUUCGACAAGGGUACCCGCUACCUCCAUACCUUUUUGUGCUGUGCAUGGAAUGGUAUGACCAUUCUAUUCUAUUAGUUAUUUCUAUUAGAAAAUGAAGUCUCAUACAUAUUUCUCAUUCGAGGUCAAGUAUCUCACAUUUGUUCUUUGCUGAUGAUUUAGUCAUCUUCAACAAAGCAGAUUUGAAACAUGGCAAGGUACUUAAAGAAAUAUUGGAAAUUUUUUGUGCAUUUUCUGGACACAAAAUUAAAGCUAGAAAGUCCAAUAUCCUUUUUUCUAAAAUGGUGCAAGAGCCAAUGACUGAUAUGAUUAGUACUUUGUAUUGAUUCCAAAAAGUACAAAAUCUUGGGCAUUAACUAGGAGUUGCCCUUUUUCCAUCAGAAGGUGAUGAAUAGUACUAUGUCCUUUGUAGUUGAAAAAGUGUUUGGGAAGUUAAAAAGUUGUGGGAUGCCAGACAACUCUCAAUCGCUGGCCUUGUUACUUUAGCACAGUCCGUACUUUUAUCGAUUCCUAGCUAGUUCAUGCAAUCCAUGAUGAUACCUAGGAAAAUUUAUGAAGAGAUUGAAAUUUUGGUUAAAAAGUUUAUUUGGGGAUCUUUAGACAGUAAAAAGAAGAUGUUUCUUGUGGGGUGAGUCUCUAUCUGUCAACCAAAAUGGUGCAGUGGUCUUGAAAUGAGAAAAUUACAUGAUCAAAAUAUCUCGUUUUUAUUUAAAUUGGGUUUUAAUAUUAUGUCUGACGAGGAGGCAUUAUGGGUUUAUGUAAUUAGGUCAAAGUACCAAAUGAAUGAAAAUUUGUCAAAUUGUAUUGGCCGAGAUAGUUCUUUUCUUUAGAUAUCUCUCUUAAAAAUUUGGUUGUUACUAUGAGAGAACUUAAUCUGGUCUAUAGGUAAUGGUAAUAAGAUUCAUUGCUGGAGAGAUAAUUAGAUCCAAAGUGUUGGGCCACUACUUGGACAUAUCCCUGCUAAUGUCAAUUUUGAUUCUGAUUGUUUUCUCAAUGAGAUUAUCAUAGAGGAAGGUUUGUGGUGUAACACCCCGAACCCGAAACCGACACCGGAGUCGAACACGAGGUGUUAACUGACUUUAACCCCUUAUAAAAUUUAUUUUCCAGACACUGCCCAAUCUGUAUACUAGUCGUUUUAAAAAUCAUAUCUUGAGUUUCGUAACUCGAAAAUCAGUUUCGUAAUUUUUCCCAGAAACUAGACUCAUGUGCCCAUCUAUGUAUUUUUUUCUAGAAUUUUUGGUCGGGCCAAUUAGUACAGUUUAUUAGUCAAAGUCUCCCAUGUUGCAGGGGUCGACUACACUGACCUUUGCCCAUUACGACUUGGAUAUCUCCCUGCACGGGUCUUCAAUACUGAUUCCGUUUGUUUCUAUGAAAACUAGACUCAGAGAGGAAUCUAUACAUAUAUGGUACGACCCCUAAUUAUCUCUUGUUAAUUUAUAAUGAAUUUCCAAAGUCGGAUCAGGGAAUCCAGAAACCGUUCUGGUCCUGUCCCACAAAAAUCUGAUUAUCUCUUAAUAUACUGCCCAUAUGAUCUUUUCGUUACUUCCUCAUGAAAACAGACUCAUCGAGCUUCGAUUACAUAAUUUAUUCAUCAAUUAAUUCCACUCCUACUAUUUUUAGUGAUUUUUCAAUCUCAUGACACUGCUGCUGCCAGCAUCUGUUACGAAAGUAACUAGGUCCAUU